UCGACUCGCGUUCGGCUCGAUAUUCGGCUCGCUCGAGCUCGAUUCGAAUUAAUUUCAAGCCGAGCUUGAGCCUAAAUUUAGACUCUAAAUUAAUUUCAGGCCGUGCUUGAGUAUUACCAGGCUCGCUCAAAUUAGGCUCUCAAAGCUCGAUAUAUAUAUAUAUAUAUAUAUAUAGUCCGGCUACUAUAAUUUUAUGAGUAUUGGCUCCCUUAUACUCAUAAAUUUUCGGCCCUUAGAUUUAUUCCAUUGAUCAUUUUCACUCAUUAUAUUAUACUAUUCAACCAACUACCCACUCAACCCUAGGGGACCACUAUCAUUCUAAGUGGGGACCACCAUCAUCCUAACCACACAUCUCAUCAAUCAACGGUUAAAAAUUUAUGAGUACAUGAAGGUCUAUACUCAUAAGAGUAUAGUAGCCCCAGCCUAUAUAUAUAUAUAUAGAGAGAGAGAGAGAGAGAGAUCUAGAGAGAGAGAGAGAGAGAAUUAGUCUACUAUGCUAUUAAUAGUUCUAACCACUUGCUAUUAGGUUUCGGCCCUUGAAUGAAGGGAUGUGCGGUUAGAAUGAGAGUGAUCUCCUAGGUUUAAGUGGGUGGUUAGUUGAAGAGUAUGAACUAUCGGAUGGAAAUGGUUAAAGAUGUAGAUCUAACAGCACAAAAUUCGAUAGCACUAAGCAUUAGUUACAAUCGAUAAUAUAGUAGUCGGACUCUAUCUCUCAGUCUAGGUUGAUACUAUUAAUAAUAUAGUAGCCUAAUUCUAUAUAUAUAAGCUAGGCCUACUACUCUUAUGAGUAUAGACUCCUUUAUAUCAUAAAUUUUCGGCUGUUAGACGUGCAAUUAGGAUGACAGUGGUAUUCUAGGAUUGAAUGAGUGAUUAGUUGAAUAGUAUGGUUUACGAAUGGAAAUGGUCAAAAGUAUAGAUCUAACGAUCGAAAACUUAUGAGUAUAAAGGAAUCUAUAUUAAUAACAGUAUAGUAACCGAACUCUCUAUAUAUAAUUAUAUAUAAUAUAUAUUUUAAUUAUAUAAAAUAAUAUAUAUUAUGUAUUUUGAUUAUAUGUAUAUAUAAUUUAGAUUAUUGGGCGGACAAAACUAAACCAGCAAAAUCCUACUUUAAUUACUCUCUCUCUCUCUUUCACUCUCUGACAGAGUCGCUUUUUCAAAUUUUUUUUAAUAUUAUAAUAUUGUAUUUCAUGCAUUUAUCUUGUAUGUUGAACUAUUAGAUAUUUUUUAUAUCAAAUUUUAGAUAAUAUUUUAUAAAAAUUAAACUAGAGAUUGCACGAUGUUAAGAAUUUCAAGCGACUCGUUUAGGGCUCGAGCUCGCGCGACUCGAAGUUAGUGUUGGCUUAAAUGGGUCAGCAUCCUGUCCUAUGGCAGGAGACCAUAUUGGACCGAGUCAUGUUCGAAGUGGCGUAAGGCUGGGUAGGCCGAGUCAUGUUCGAAGUGGCGUGAGGCUGGUUGGGCCGAGUCAUAAUCGAGACCCGUGGAUUAAUGGUUAACGCCAACGAUCUGACAAGUGAUAUCGGAGCUGUUAGAAAUACACAACCAAUUCACUUAAAGCGUACAGAUAUAGAGGUCACAGGCUCGAUUCCCGCAUGCUGCAAAUGUGUGCAGGUGCUGGAGUCGGGAUUGUUGGCUUAAAUAAGCGAGCAUCCUGCCCUGUGGCGGAAGGCCAUGUUAGGCCGAGUCAUGUUCGAAGUAGCGUGAGGUUGGGUGGGCCGAGUCAUGUUCGAAGUGGCGUGAGGCUGGUUGAGCCGAGUCAUAAUCGAGACCCGUGGGCGCUGUAUCUGUACGCUUUAAGUGAAUUUGUUGUGUAUUUCUAACAGCUCGAGUUUUUGGAAUUAAUGGUUAGCGCCAACGAUCUGACAGGUAGGCUCGUUAGAGCUUGGCUCAAAUUAAUUUCAAGCCGAGCUUGAGCCUAACUUUACGCUCGAAAUUAAUUUCAAGCCAAGCUGGAGCUGAGAUAAGCUCGCUCGAGCUCAGCUCGUUUCCACCCCCUAUUAUUAUCUCUGAUACAUAUUGUUAGAGAAUUUUGGAUCAAAUUUAGAUCAACAUGCACCCAUGCAAGUAUAUAACAUAUCUAAUAAAACUCACUCAAACCUAAAAGCUUAAAUCUAUAAGGCCCGAGCCCACUAGUAUNUCUGAUACAUAUUGUUAGAGAAUUUUGGAUCAAAUUUAGAUCAACAUGCACCCAUGCAAGUAUAUAACAUAUCUAAUAAAACUCACUCAAACCUAAAAGCUUAAAUCUAUAAGGCCCGAGCCCACUAGUAUAUAUAUCUUCUCUACUCUUUUAUAAUUCCGUGUUGUACAAUUUUCGGCAUAAAUUAAACAAACAAACAAAAAGUUAUUUUUGGUAUGAAAUAUAUUUUUUUCAUUUAUUUAGCUCGACAUAAAGUAAUUUUUCCAUAAAAAUAUUUUUACAGAUUUAGAGAAAAAUUAAAGUUUUCAUUUUUCAUUAUUUUUUGGCGGAAAACGAAACUCCCUAGAAGAGAGUCAUGUACCCUCUCUUUCUCUUUAUAUUAAUAUCACUACAACGUAAUAGGGUUAUAGGGACACAUUUUUGGGACACUUUUGUCCGAGUGUCCCAUUAUGUACCAUUAUGUCCAAAAUUCCUGAGAAGAAGAAAAAAAUCUACCAAAGCCCAAUCCAUAAAUAAAAAAAUAUUUUUUUAAAAGUGUUUCAUUCUCAUCAAAAAUUUGUUAGGCCCAAAAGAAGGCCCUUCCUAUCACACAUCACAACCUUUGAGCCCAAAGCCACAGAACUUUUUAAAAAACCCAACCACACCUAAUGAGAAAAAAGGGAUAAAAAAAAAUAAAAAAAACCCACUGCAUAGAAGAAAAAAAAAAAAGAAAAAAAAGAAAGGAAAAAGAAAUUAAGCCCACCGUGCUCCUCUCAGAUCCUCCUCCCCGCGUCGUCUCCUCCGCCGCACCUCCCUCGCGAUCUCCAUGGCGAGCUCUCGCCACUACCUCUCAUCUCAUGUCAACAUCUCGGCGUAGUAGCUCGAUUAGCAUCUCCAUCGCCGCAACGCCAUCCUCAUCACCUCCGCUCUCCUCCUCUGCUGGCUCCUCUUCUGGCCGUCUCCUCGUCAUCAACUUUGGAGAAGCUCGAGAACUCGGAGAUAGUGCACAAUCGGCUCCCGAUCUCAAUCUAGGGUUUUUAUUCUUGAAAUCUUACAGUGGAAGAGAACGUAAUUUGGUAUGCAAUUAUAUUUUUCAAAUUAAGAUCCUUAUUCAUAUCAUUUUGUUCUUGCAUUUGGAUGAAAAUUUGAUAGAUUCCUUCUUCAUAGGCCAUUGUCUUCUACUUUCUCGAGUAGUUUAAAUAGGCACUUCGUUAGUAAAAUUAAUUGAUAGCUUCGUUACCCACUUUGUUCAGAUGUUAUUCUAAUGCUAAUUAAGAAAGCAAUUCUAAUUUAAUUCCUUCUGAUUCUGAUCCCUAAUUUCUACCAACUUUAGUAUUCUGUUAUCAAAUCUAGUUGUACUUUACAAGCUAUCAUUAAUAAUCAUUUAAGUACUGAACCAUUGAUCAACAGAUUAUUCUACAAUCUGCAUUUUCCUUUCUAAUAGUUCAUAAUGUUGUUAGUGGCCUUAGUUAUCUCAUGCACUACCAUAAGACUCAUGAUUGCAUUAGGCACCCUAAUGUGUAAAAUACUCUUGCAUUAAGACAACAUAAUUAUAAUGAAUAUGCUUUGGCCUUAGUUAUCUCAUGCACUACCUUUGGCCUCUCUCACAAGUCACCACUUACUACUACUCAUUUAACAUAUUAUUUUAGCAAAUCCCUUCUUUCAAGGAUCUUAAGUCCUAUCCUGCACCUCCUUUUUCUCAUUGUAAAAGUGCUUUCCUCGAAAGCUAAGAGCACUGCUAAUGGGAUUUGAGAUGGCUUUUCCCAUCUUGAUUAGAGCUUUUCCUAGGCUAUGAUUGUGAGGGUUCUCUUUUGAGUUUAUGCACGAAAGAUGGGUGGAUUCUUGUAUCUUAAUUAAUUAAUCACUUAAUAGUGAGUACACAUAAUAUUCUAAGCACUUGCCAUAUUUUCUAGUUGAUCUGUUUUCUGUCCCGCCUAUCAUUUGUUAUUCAUGCAUCUCAUUUGGUAAGUACAUUAAUGGCUUCUUGAUAUGAUAAAACUGAAGUUAAGCCUCUCUAUAAUUUAUUUGAAUCUUGUCAAAUAGCAAAGCAUGUUAUCUGGAAAAUAAGAGAUCAUAGUAGAAUGAGCUCUCUAUCUAGACAUAUUAUAAGACCCCCAAAAUUGCAUGUGUUAAUUCUAAUAUCUAUUUAAGAAAUUAGGCCCUAUGGAGAUCAACAAUAAGAGAUCAGAUUAAUAUAUAAUUCCUUCAUUAUUAGAUUAUUAUGUUGGUAUUAAUCGCUAUUAACAAUAAUGUUGAUUACGACUUAACGUAGACGCAUUAAGCAUGUCUUAGUAACAUUUCAGGAUCCUUGCAAUCUUUUUUAGAAUCCAAUGAUUUAGUAAUUACGCUCGCUUUAAUUAAUAAAGCCGUGGUUAGAUACCGAUGACUAUGAUCACUUUGACAUGUACAUUGAAUUAGAGGGUCAGUUAUCAUCAUUUAAUUUGGAUAAGUAAUAUCUGGGCAAUAGGAACAACCAUUAGCAUGGUAUUACUAAACUGGUUGUAUGACAUUUGAAUGCAAUUGACCUUUGGAUUCCUAAUUAGUAGUUUCUGUCACAAGCUUGAACUUUUUGCUUUUAAGAAUUUCAUUGAGGUGUUAUUCCUUUCUCCUUUCGGUGGUUGUCACAAUCCAAUUAUUAAGCCUCUUUUUAUUUCUCAUUUUUUUCUUUAUUCUUCACUUUAUUCUUUUCUUUAAUCUUAAUUGAUUAAAGAAAAGAACAAUUUAAUUUUGUUCUUUUUUUUAAUUUGUUACUCUGAUCAAUUUAAUUUAUUAUUAUUUUUUGGGACACUUUUGUGUAAGUGUCCUAUCUAUGUCCAAAGCCUCUUUAAGAAAAAAAAAAUCUAUAGAUGUAUGAACAGCAAACAUCUAUAAUUGAUGGAAUAAGGUGUUAGGUGUGAUCUCUAUAAUUGGGUAAUUGGACUCAAACUACCUCACUGGUUUAAUUUACUUUAAACCUCAGGUUACUGAGUUAACGUUGUCUAGUUUCAGAUUAUUAUAUUUGUUUUAAAGUGGUGGUCAAGUCAUUGGUCUAUCACGUUAAAGGGGGUUGAUUCAAUAUACUUAACCUAAAUUCUACUUCACCGUCUCAUUCGUACUAUUUGAUCAACUCCUUAAAAAUCCAAGAGAUCAAUUUUUAUAUCAGUAAAUGAUCAUCUAUCGUUUCUAGAAGUUUCCGGAACUUCACCUUCGAUUAAACUAAAGAUUUGUGGUUAUGGAAUAGGAUACUUACUAACAAAAGAGAUGUCCUUAGAACCAAGACUGGGUCCUUUUCUACUUCUUACAAAAUGAAGAAUGCGGAAACUUGUCUUAUUUUAAAGACUUAAUUAUUCACUUUACUGCAACGAACUUCUUGCUUUGUUUAACUACCUUCGUUUCAACUUUCUUUACGCAAAAGAAAGUUGAGACGNUGCAUCUCGUGCACCGCCAACGGAUCCUUGAUCCUCCAUGACGAAGAUGAUACCAUUUGAAUCGACGUCGAGUUCAAGACCGGGGCCGAGUAGAAGGAGGCCACCGAGAACACCCUCGCCACCUACAAAGCUGAUUAGGACAUGGUUCUGGCAGAGUGGACGCCGACGGGACACGUCCACCACUUGUUUGAUGAAAUGUCCAGGAUGUCGCUUUGACGGAGUUCGCACCGACGAACCAUGCCUACCAACUGUUCGACGAAAUUCCUGAAUGAAACCGGAGCUCCGUCAUCAACAAAGCCCGCCAGCUGCUCGACGGCGAACCUGAGAGAGAGAGCGGUGCUCUCCUCUCAAACGGGUUCCGCCCGGUUCCGCCCGCCAAGUGCUCGAUGUACCCGGAGUCCGCCCACCAACCGCUCGACGGCGAACCUGAGAGAGAGAGAGCGGUGCUCUCCUCUCAAAUGAAGUUAGAUCCGCCCGCCAAGUGCUCGGCGGCGAAUAAAGAGAGAGAGCGGUGCUCUUCUCUUUAUAAAAAAUGAAAGAGCGGUGCUCUUCAAAAAAUAUAUAUUUGAGAGAGAGAGAGAAAGAUAGUACUUCUCUAAUCAUGAUUAUGAAAGAGAGAGGGAGCUUUGUAAAAAAAAAGAGGGAGGCAAAGGAGGGAUCUUCCCACCUUAGUUGUCCCCAAGAUGUAAAAAAAUGAUGAUGAUGAAUGAUGCAUCUUAUUUUUUAAGAGACAGAGAAAAAAUAUUCUCUUAAUUCUCUUUCAGUGGAGAAAUAAAAGAAAAUUAAUUAGAUUUUUUAUUAAUAUUCUUUUGAUUUGAUAGUGUUCGAAAAUAAUGGAACUGUUCAAUUUGAUCGAAUUAGAUCAAAUUGGUUGGAUAUCGUAUACGAUUGAGGAAUUGACAAACUUGGAUGAACUUGAUUUUGAAUCAGAUACCGAAAUAUUUUGAUUUCAUAUAGACUCAAAUUCAAACUCGACAAAAUUAUACGAAUCAAAUUCGAAUUCGAAUCCAAAUUCGAAUCCAAACCCGACUCGAAUCCAAAUCCAAAUCAAAUCCAAUACCAAAUCCGAAUUCAAAUCCUAAAACCCAUAUCAAAACCCAAUCCAAAGUCCAAGGCCCAAACCCAUAUCAAAACCCAAUCCAAAGUCCAAGGCCCAAACCCAUAUCAAAACCCAAUCCAAAGUCCAAGGCCCAAACCCAUAUCAAAACCCAAUCCCAAGUCCAAGGCCCAAACCCAUAUCAAAACCCAAUCCAAAGUCCAAGGCCCAAAUCCAUAAUCAAACCAAUCCCAAAUCCUAAACCCAAAUAAACCUAAAAUUCACAUACAAAUUGAGCUCAUUUUAAAUCCAAUUGAGCCCAUAUUGAGCCCAAAUCUAAAUCCCAUAUUAAAUCCAUAUCCACUUCAAAAUGAUUUGGCCCAUUUUGAGCCCGAAUACAAAAUGAAAUGAGCCCGUAUUGAGCCCGAAUCCAUAUCCAAAAUGAAAUAAAUCGGGUUCAUGGGCCUGAAUUUAGCCCACCAGAAUCCAUAUCAUAUAGCCUAUUUACAUAUAGCUUUACGGGCUCGAUUUCAGCUCAAAUCAAACCCAAUAGCCAAUCUACAAAACCCAAACCUAUAACCCAAUCCAAUUAAACCUUAGCCCAAUUCUAAACCCAUAUACUAUAACCCAAUCCAAUUAAAUCUAGGCCUAGUCCAAAGCCCAGAGCCCAUUUACAAAUGGCCCCGGUCCAAAACCCAUUUAGGCCUACUAUCUAAGCCCAUUAUCCAAAACUCAUUAAAACCAUUAACCCAUAAACCCAUAUACAUAAACCCAUAUACAUUUACCCAUAAACCCAUACACAUUUAACCCAUAUCCAAGCCCAUAACCUUAACCAAGUCCAUGAACUUUGAACUAAAACCAUGGACCAAACCAUAUACCAAAUCCUGUGGACCAUACCAUACACCAAAUCCACAAACUAUGAAUCAAGUUCAUGAACCAUAAGCCCAUGAACCACAAGUUCAUAAACCCAUGAACCAUACCACAAGUUCAUGAACCAUAAGCCCAUGAACCAAACCCAUAAACCAUAAGUCCAUGAACCAUAAACCCAUGAACCAUAUCUAAGUUCAUGAACCAUAAUCCCAUAUACCCAAUACCAUAAACCUUGUGAACCAAACCCAAACCUUCGACCGAAACGUCGUUAAACUAAUCCACCAAAUCAAUCGACCGAAACGUCGUUAAACUAAACCUAAAUCCGAUAUCGACCGAAAUGUCGUUAAACUAAACUCAAAUUCAAUUUUCAUGAACAUCCCAAUUCCCAAAAUAUUUGAUUCUCUAGCAUAUAAAACUAGAGUCAAAUCACAAUCAUGUUCAAACUUGAUCAAAUUCUAAACCUAUAUUUAGAAUUGAUCAAACCAUCUGAUCAAAUUAAUUUGUUGGAUUCCAAUACAUACACUUGGAGUUUAAUUUAAAUCAAAUAUGACUAAUCCUAAUACAUAUAAUUAGGAUUUAGUUAAUAUUUCACCUUGAGAUGAACCAAAAUCAAAUGUGACUAAGCUCUAAUACAUAAACUUAGAGCCUAAUUGUAUCAGACUCUAAAAUAUAAAAUUAGAGUCUAAUUCAAGAUAUUUGGGACUAAUCCUAACACAUAUAUUUAGGAUGAAAGCUCAAAUCAAACUCUAUUGGACUUUAUUGCAUAUAUUUAAAGUUCAGAGUUUAAUCAAGUUCGAUUAAAUUCCAAUGUAUACAUACGGGAUUUAAUCACUCUUUCAUCUCAUGGUAAACAAAGUUGAGCUCCAAAAUAUAUAGAGCUCAACAAAAUCUGAUCAUCUAUUGGACUUUAUUACAUACAUUUAAAGUUCAAUUAACCAAAUCAAACUCUAAUACAUAUAAUUAGAGUUUAAUCUGAAUUAAAUCUGAUUAAAUUCCAAUGCAUAUAUAUAUGGAAUUUAACCAAUCUUUCAUCUUAGGGUGAAUAGUGUUGAGCUCCACAAUAUAUAGAGUCCAACAAAAUUAAUUUGACCAUAUAUUGGGUAUCUUAGAACAUAUAACUAAGAUACAAUUGAAAAAUACAUUCUUUACGCUCUAUUCAUGUACACUGAGGGUAUGCCCUUGGUUAAAGCCAUGUAAUUGAGCAAUAAAUUAUAAAUUUCCUUUUGUCCAAUUCCAGUUUAUCUUCAGCAUUUCAGAGGUCUCUUAAUCGAAGGUGCCCUAAUAUUCUAUAGGGGUAAUUAACAAUAGACGCUUGCGUUUAUUGGAAGCCAUGGAUCCGCAAUACCUGAUAACCAUACAUACACAUACUUUAAUCUACAUCAUGAAUACUACCCCACGGGAGAAUCAAAAGAUAAAAAUUCCCCGUGCGAGGUGCGUCAUUCGUGGUGGCAGACAAUAAUCGGAGACAAAAGCCCCAAAAUUCAUGCCCUAAUAAUGCCAUAAUGGAAUUUCUCCUAGAUUGAUCUCAUUUCUAAGCAAAUACUAGCUUAGAAUCACCUAGGAAGCUCUCUAAUACUAUUUCCAAGCUAUUUGGACCAUUCCUAGGGCAUCUACUUUAAACCUUAUCUGUUCACCAUAGGAGCACCUUGAGAAAACCAUGGUUUUCAUGGUGUUCAAGGCUCACAAUACUUCUAAACAUGAGAGAAGCCCCAAAACCUUAAGUUUCAUAGUGGAAAUUCAAACCCUAUAUGAGCUUUUGUACUAAAACUCACCUUAGCCAAAAGCUAUCCCCAUGUCCACCUUGAUGGAGAGCUUCUACACCUUCAAAACCUUCAAAAAUCUCCUCCAAGCCUGCUUUUCCUUCUCAUCCAAGCUCUACGGCAAGAUCUCUAGAGAGAGAAAGAGAGAAAUGAAAGGGAGAGAGUGGAGGGGUGUUUGCUGUGAAGGAGAGGAGUGUUGGGUUUAUUAUAGUGUGCAACAAUUACAACUAGGCCCUCCAAAUAUUUGUAUUUGCAACAGAUCAAUUCCUUGCUGCCAGACCAAAGUGUACCAAUACACGGGACUCUGUCACCGGUAACACGAUUACGCAGAGCCAAACCCGAAAGCAAAUUCCUCGAAUUUUACCAAAGUGUACCGGUACACACUACGGGUGUACCGGUACAUUUCUGCGAAAACUCAAACCCGAGAGCAAACUCUUCUCGGUCUGUAGAGCUGUACCGGUGACAACUCGAUGGUUGUACCGGUACACUUUGCCCAGAAUGCUGGUUUUGCACCGUUUUCGAUUCUAUUUUGCGCCGAUCAAUGCUAAAACCUUUUUAACACCUCUUAAACUCAUUUUUUCCCCUUCCAACAUUGUUGGAAUGCUAAAUGCAACUUGCCCAACUAUUUCUUUCGCAUUGUUCACUUUUAAAUCACGCCGAGGAAUGUUAAAACUUGCUUAACACUCUCGGCACUCGACUUUGACUCUUCCAAUAUUAUUGGAAUGUCAACCGGACUUUGUUCAUCCAUUUCUCUCGGUACUUUAACCAAUUUGGCUAAAGUUCGAUAAUCGCUAUCGAGGUUUCGAUACGUUGCAUCCAUGCUUCCCCAAGUUUCAGGUAAUGGUGCCUCGAAUUGCCGUUUUCAAAAGUUCCCACCCGGUGUUUAAUAAAUGAUUAUUUCUUACUUUGGCUUUUUUGGUUAAUCCGAUGGUCGAAAAUUAGAGUUCUUGGGAGUACGAUGAUAGUGAGGAAUCCCUCUACGCUGUGCUCAUGUUGCUGGUGCGAAUCGGAUGAUCGGUGGAAUCAUGAACCUGUUGUACCCGAUAUUGGCUCCACAUGGCCUAUUCUUGCUCUCCGACGGUCAGUGACCGUUGGGUGACUCUGGUGCUUGUUCACGGUAGCCAGAGGCACGUCAUCCAUCCUCGUGCACUUCUGUUUCAUUUCCGGAUUAUGGAAGUUCGGUAAGUUGCUCAAAUUUUCCUUUAUGUUGCUUUAGUUAAUAUUCAUGUGAUUGCAUUAUGAAUUCAGCGUUUCGAUGCUUUUUGCACGGUGGGCAGUGUUGGACAGCGAUGUUUAGUAUGGUUUGAUGCUUGGGCUUGUUGUUGGAGGUCCCAAAACCUCCUGCAGUCGAUUUGAUGCGAAACAACCCAAAUCGGGCCGAAAUCAAAUCGAUAAUGCGGUUUUCGAUUUUGUUAUCACGAAAUCGAUAUUGCUAUUGUCCAAAUUUGUUGUUAAGCUUGUUGGUUGGUCUAGCCUCGUGUUUUGCAUCCCUCGUGACAGUGAGUGCAUUGUGGGUGGUCCCGGUACCGAAAUAGGUAUUUCGAAAAUUCGGUUUGAGUUACUUUUGGAAAUUUAGAACCUCGUGUCGCGUACUUUGAGUGUAGCUGUCCUAAAACUUAAAAUGUGGUGUUUGGGAAUAGCAGAUGUGAUUUGGAGGUGUUUGGUGUGACCCAGUACACUACAUGAGCUGAAGUGGCAUCUCAGUGAGUUUAUGCGAAUUUCGGCGGAAUUGAUAAAUGUGUUCGAUAUUCUGAUUAUGCCAUUGCAUGUUGUGGGUGACUUUAUGUCACCAAUUGGUGAUGUUGUGGUGUUGAGAGUGUCUUGGGGUUGAUUAUAUAGUUCGUGUGUGAUUCGACACUUUCGGAUCUGCGCUUUUCAUUCCCACCAUGAUGUUGUUCCACAAUUGUUGUCCAGUUUGCCGACCACUUGAUGUGUGGGCGUCUAAGCACCUAAAGAUGUGUAUCUUGGAAUUGUGGACAUGUUGUUGUGACUCCCUAUUGAGUUGGCUAGUUUUUGGGCCUAGUUCCAUAAGCUAGUUUGUGGAACUGAGGUUCCGGUCGCGUCGUGGUAUACGUGGGUGUGGGUUGAACGUGUCGGGUGAUAGAAAUAACAUGUAGGAUACUGAUUGUAACAUAUUGUCCCUCGUAAAUCGUGCCGAGUUCCGUCGAAAUGAGCGGAACGCGGAGUGGAACGGGUUUGUAUAGGCUCUAAGUGUAUUGGAGCCUAUAUAAGGUGUUAAGGGACCCGAGAGAGUGAAAUUUCAAAAUCUGGCUAAGUUCUAGAUUUUGUGCUCUCAGGGACCGGUCCCUGAAGGAGAGACCGGUCCCUGUACGUGUAGCCUGCCAGGAAUCCUGAGGCAACCAGUUCCUGGCAGUGAGACCGAUCCCUGAGAAACCGGUCCCUGAGGGAGAGACCGGUCCCUCAUUGCGCAGCCAGCCAGGAAACCCAAAAAUCGGCUAAGUACUGGAAAUCAGCCUUUUGGGAACCGGUCCCUGGUCGGGGAGACCGGUCUCCCACUAUGAGUUUUGCCCAGUAAGGGCUGAUGCAAAUAUUGGGAGUUGAGGGGUCUUGUUGCUAUUGUUGCAACAUGUUAUGUACCCAUCCCCUCUUUCCCUCUCUUCCAUAGCCAUUCCCACUCCCCUCUCUCAUAUUUCCCUCUUUCUCUCUCUAAAAGCUUAGGCUAGGGCUUGGAAGAGAAGGAGAAGAAGCUAGGAGAAGGUGGUUUCAAAGGAUUUGGUGGAUCUAGAAGCUCUCCAACAAGAAGGAGCUUGCUAGAACUUGGGCCAAGGUAAGUUCUAGCGUGUAGAACUCUAGGGUUUGGAUUUUAACCCUAAGUUUUGGGAUCUUGAGUUUGUUUCAAGCUUUGGAAACCUUGUAGAGCUAAGAAACCAUGAAAUCCAUGGUUUUCUUGUAGAGCUCUCAUGGUGGAUCACUAGGGCUCAUGGUAGAUGCCCUAGGGAUGGUUCCAAAGGCCUAGAAACCUUAGUAGAAUGCUUCUUAGAUGAUUCCAAGCUAUUAUUUACUUAGGGUUGAGAUCCAUUUAGGAGCUAUCACAUUAGGGCAUUGUUAGGGCUCAAAUUUGGGGCUUUUGCCCUAGAAUUUUUCGAGGCAAAUUGACCUCGUCGAAACCUAAUUCGGGGUCAAAUGAACGUGUUGGGCAACUCCGUUCGUCGAAACGAAAAUGUUUAAGUAUAGUCCAUGUACAAAGGACCUAAUUUGGGCACUAUUUUGGGUUGUAGGACGCGGAUCGUCGUUCGUAAUGUUCGGGAGAUUAUCGCGUUCGUCUUCUACUACCUCACAAGGUGAGGGGUGCAUUUCAAAAUCGUUGGAUUCCCUUCUAUGUCUAUAUCCCUUGUUAUUUGAGCAUUAUGUACGGUAUCGUCCAUGCAUGAGAAGGUAGUUGUACAUGAGAGUUUUGGUUGUUUACUUAUAUGUUUCUAUCUUGAAUAAACAUAGAAAACGAAAACCAUAAUGGGCAUGUAUGCUGGAACCCUAGAGAUGCAUGAGUAUGAGACUUGGACCUUGAUUAUAGUAAACAAGGGUGACAUUGACAAUAGAGACAAGAUUUGGCAUUGAGAAAAUAAUUGUUAAACAUAGUUUAACCAAGAGUGGCAUUGUGACAAGAUGGCUUAGAAAAUGACAUGAACAAAUAGGUAGAAACCUAUCAUGACAAUGGCAUUGAGGCUAGUGGCUAAAGUAUCCUCAAGUUGAGGGUUGGAUCGAUGCUCACGCGAACUUAGGCUUGAGGGAGGUCGCUGCUCCACAAGCGGUGUACUCCGGAGUGUAGACACCAACGGGGAAGUACCCCGUCGACGAUCCCUCUGGUGGUUGUGCUUAAAGCCUCCCCCGGUAGAUGGGAAAUGGAAUUGUGAGUUAUUGGAGUUAACAAAGUUAACCGGUAAGAUUGGGUAAAGAAAGACAAGGUAAAGAAGAGAACAUGCAUGCAUGCAUAUUAAAUAUUGUUGAUUACAUAUAUCCACUGACCUUCUUUCUGCAGGCAUAGUAUUAGAUGCACUAGUUGUUAUGGUUACUGUUUCCAUUUCCUUGAUAUACUUAUGCCUGGAUAGACCUAGUGGGUAAGUCGGCGAGGUCGGUUGUCGAACCCACUGGGAAUUUCGUUCUAGUUCUCAUUACCACUAACCCUACAGGUCCGAGCGUGAGCGGGGUGGCGGAGGACCGAGGCAAGGGUUUAGCGCUAUAGUUAGUGGCCGCCGGGACAUCAUUCAUUUUGUAGUCAUUUCUCUUUUUGGUAUACAUGUAUCAACUUUCAUUUUGUUGAUUUAGAGUUGUAAAGUUGAAAAAAUAAUUAUGUAGUGAAUGGCUAAAAUUGUAAUGAAAUGAUGAAGGAAUGGAAAACAAUGAAUUAGUAUUGGUUUACUUUUAUUUGGUGCAAAAGCAAUCAAGUACUAUGUAUGUAAUAUGUUAUAGCUUAGAGCUUUCGCUUUCGUUGUUGCUUGCCCUCGUGCAAGCUUUGUAUAAUUGCAAUUCUCAUUGUUUAAUUGCUUUAUUAUACUUGUUGUUAGAGCCUUGGGUGGACAGGGGAGGCUCUGUCCGCUCGGCGUCUAUUGACGUGAUCUGAACCCGACCAAAUUGGCGGGGAUUGGGGCGUGACACUGAUGGUGGUUUUUGGUGGUACUUCUUAGGUAUAGGUGAUGGUUAGAUACAUCGGUCGAGUCGAGAACUCAGAUACUGGGUGAGGUGAGUGCUCCAUUCCAAAGUCGGUAAAAUUGUAUCUUAGUCGGCUUCCUCUUAUGUUUGAUCUAUUCUAUAUAGUGGUUGAGUAGGACAACAUGUCGUGGCUUCAUAUUGGUAUAUGCUUUUACUCUAUAUGCAUGUUGCUUGUUAUGUUGGUUAUCAUGUCGAUUCUUAGUCUCUUGAUUAAUUUUUCUUUAUAGUUGUUGUUUGAUAUGUAGAGUAGGUGGUGAUCUGGUGUAUUAUCCACCUAUCCAUGAUAGGACCUAAUUGGUCGGUGUGUAUUCCUUGUUGAGUAUUGAUUAUGUGGGUUCAUUGAUUUAUCCCUUGUGCAAUUGGACCCCCAUCGGUCUGCUAUCCUACUAUGUGUGAUUUUAUUUUGUAAGUUGGCACUCUUUUUACGAGAUUGACUAUAGAAGUUGGUAGACUCACUGUGUUCAUGAUUGAGACCCCAACAUGCUACUCCUUUGCUCCCUUAUAAUUAUCAUCAUCCUCGUCGUGUAGCAUGCUAGUUGACGCGAGAUUUCCUCUUGGCUCUUCUUGUCGCCUGUGGGCAGUAAUUUGACUAUGAAUGAGCUUUGAGUACACACAUGUGGUUAUAGCUUGUGACGGCACUGUAGUAGUCUUAGAACAUGGUUCACAACCUUGAGUUCUUCAGUUACCAGCCCAGUGGGAGGUGUUGUUUCAUGGCUACCCUAAGUUCUUCACCCCUAGAUUUGGUGUACACCUCUCUUAGACAGAGUUAUCGACAUUGGGUGUAGGUGGUUAUGUUCCUCCAGAGUGGUACUUGAUUUUUGUUCUUCACGACCUAGUGGGCGAGCUUAGGCCGGUCUUUAUGACAAGUCAUGGUGAUUGGGUAUAAUUUGGACUAUUCUUAUGUCCAGUUGAUGCAUAGUAUCUCUGAUAGAGUUAUGCAUGGUGUUCAAGUAGUUGUUUGGAUUACAGUAGCGGUAUUCCUCAUUAGUGACUUAUGAUAUUUCGUUAUUUAUCAUCUUACUACUAUAGUUGGUGUUCCUAUUGCAUUGUAUAUGACUUUUAUUUACAGUAGCGGUAUCCUUUGGUUAGUUGUUCAUGAUAGUUAUUCACUUGUUAACUUGCUAUUGCUAUUCAUAGUCAUUGCAUUCAGUACCUAGCUUUAUGUUUAUAAUAGCAGCAUUAUUCUGUAUUCUAGUUCAUGACACUUAUCUAUUUACAUUAUGCUACUGUGAUUGACUUGUCCAUAUUUGCAGUUAUUCGUUUAUUGCACUCCUUUGUUUACCAGUGAGUGCGACUUGCCCUCGUCAGCUGGUUCGUCCUAGUGGAAAACAUAUUUAUAUGUCUCUCACUUUACUGUUUUUACAAGUGUCACUGACAGUGCGCGUUGGGGCACGGUAUGAGGAUGCGAUUAGCAAGCGCCUAGAUAGCUCGUGCUGUCGAGUUAGUUCUAGAUUUAUUCUUAUUCAUUAUAUUUAUUUCAUGUGGAGGUUUUGUGAUUUGGUUAUUGUGGUUUGAGUUUAGCUAUUGUGUUGGGUUUUCCUAUUAUAGUGGUUUAGCGGGAUCCUAAUUAUGGUUUUGAAUAGUUACAAGUUGUGGUAGCUUCCAUAUGUACAUCUACCUUGUUCAAGUUGGUUGUGGUUGCGUUUUUGUGCUCGUAAGCCGUGCAUGUAUAUGGGAGACUCUGUCCGCGUGGACUGUAGUGUCCCUAGGACUUAACUGUCGGAAUAACUACAAUAUUAAUGACUAGUCGACACAUUUAUAGAGUGUCAGAAAUAGUCGAAGUCGUUUUGGCGCAAAUAGAUGCGAAAACGGACUCGACGCACUCAAAUAAGCAAAAACUGAUGUUCUGACAGUUUAGGGUGCCCAGAAGCUUAGGACACAUCGAUUCAGAGUGCUAUUUGGUAUAUGUUGCUAAAGUCAUUACAGACCCAGUUUAGAGUGCCCAAAAUAUGCGCUCAAAUUCUUCCUCGUGAAUAUCGAUUGUUUUGACACGUGGCAUGUGGUAGGUUUGAGUUGCAAAUGGAGGUUAGGCACAUCGGACCGCCACACGGGUGAGUCCUUUUGCUGGAUGUAGUGGUAAGCUGUUUGCGGCACCCGAAUUAUGGGUUUAGGGUGCCCGAAUCUGCAUUUUCAGUGCUGAAAUAGGUUAGCUUCUGUUUUUCUUGUGGCUUAUUCUACCCAUCUAUUGCUUAUAUUGCUUCUAUAAAAGGCUGUGGAUAACUCCUGAGAGCUCUUUUACUUCAUCUUUCACAUCAAGCUUGAAUUCCUCAUCUAAAUCACCUCCAAUUUAGCUCAAAUCCAUCUAUUGUUCCCUGUGAGUAGGCUUCACAGCAGGAAAAUCCAGCAACAACUUCAACAAAGAAUGGAAUUGUGAUUUUUUGAUGCUUCCGAUUGCUGUGGGUAAUUCUUUGGUGGAAUGUAGACUUGAAGGAAUGUGUUUGGAACAAUCCUAUAGUAAUUAAUUAUAGGUUAAUUAGUGAUAUUAAAUUGCUGAAUUUAGCUUGACUUGGAGAUUUUGAGCUGAUUUUGGAAUUUUAUUAGAGUUCAUGGAUUCGAAUCCCAUUUCAACCAGAUUUUCGAAGUUGAAUCAGUUCCUACACCUUUCUUGGGUAUUUUAGGUGUUCUUUCACUAGGAAUUUCAAAUUUGGAAGGUCAGUUUAAUUCAGAAUUUUAAAUUUUUGUGUAAUAGAGCAGUUUUGGGAGACUUCGCUUGAUUUUAAUGAAAUUUUGGAUCCAGAUUUUUAUAGUGAGUUGAUUGCUGGAUUUGGAUUGGUUAUUCUCUUAUAUUUGGAGGUUUUAGACUCCUUUCCAUGGAAUUUACAAAUUAGAAUUCUUAUAUUCUAGCUUGAAGUGAGUUGAAGUGCUGAGUGCUAAUUUUUUGAAUGCUGAUUUGGGCAUUCUUUUCUGGAUCCGAAUUGUCUUGAAGGACUUUUGGUUGCUAUUUUAGUUGAGAACUGGUGAGGCAACACACCUGGGUGAUUGGUCCUAUUACUAGGAGGUGAGUUUGAGUAAUUUUAGCACUUUAAUUCUAGAUUUUGCUCUGUUGAGCCUGUUUGAAAUAAUGCCAUUUUGGUUGGUGAUGUUACUGAUUUGUGCUCAGCCAGAACUUGUUGUUUCGGGAUCCAACAGUGAGGCUAUUGUGUGAAGGACUUAAGUUGGGCUUGUUGAUCACGGUAUUCCUUUCUAUGGUUGGAUUAGCUCUUCAGAUUGGUUAAUGUCUACCGAAAUUUGUGAAAUUUUUUCAAAGUUGUAGAGAUUUCAGCAUGCAUUAUUUUGUAUCAAUCAUCAUGUUUAGUGGCUUAAAUUGUAGACUUGCAUGUUAAUGUAUGAAAUCUGAUUUUGGAGUAUGAUUUAGAUAUUUUAGAUGAUUACUACAUGCUGAAUUGAAAAUCAACUUAGGAGAAAACGUACACAUUGAACUUGUCAUUUAUUCGAUCAGAUUUAGCUACAGAAGCUUUUUUUUACUAUUGUAUUGUAGAUUUUACUGCGUCGCGGAUACUUAUACAUUAGUAUAGGUAGAGAUUAGGCUCAUAUUGAGAUACCAAGUGGAUUUUAUAGUAAUGUUUAGACUGUUUGUAAGACCCUAGAUAUUCCUAUAUAUAAGAUAUAAUAGGGCUGAAACUCUUAAUCCAACUUAAGCAUUUUGGGUAGUGGGUAGGCCCAAAAGGUUAAGAGAGUUAAGCAUGCUAGGACGAGAGUAGUCCUAGGAUGGUUAACCCCUAGGAAGUUAAGGCGUUACACUGUUUCGCAUUGUCGGGUGCCAUUCGGAUUAAUGGUAAACCCAGAUCCUUUCUUUUGUAUAAGAUUGUGUCGUGUUAAGGAUAUUUCUAAGUUGGCGAAGUUCGUGAAGUCGAAUGGAGUCUUAAAAAAGUGAAGAUGGAGAUUGAAGAGAUGAUUCAAGUAAUUCAAGAUCAAAAGACUCGUUCGGUGAUGCUCGGAACCCCAGGUAUGGAUAAGAAUAAUUUGUGGUGCAAUAUUGAUUUAUAAACAUAUUUGGAAGACUUAGGAUGGUUUUAAAAUCAAUUCUAAUCAAAAACUAAGUUUUUCAGGGUUCGGGGACCGGUCCCUGAACUGGGGGACCGGACCCCGUAGGUUCUCUCUGCGUGGAAACUACGAGGGACCGGUCUCUGUUCUUGAAGGACCGGUUCCCGUAAGGUGUCUCAUUUGAUACGAUCAGAGGGACCGGUUCCUGAACUGAGGACCGGUUCCCGUAACUUGAUUUCCACAUUACGCAGAGACAGACCGGUCUCCGACUUGAAGGACCGGUUCCUGUGGCUUGUGUUUUCAACCAUGCAACGAGGGACCGGUCCCUGGCUUUGAGGACCGGUCCCCCAAGGACCGGUCUCUUCGGAAGGACCGGACCCUAAGACCGUCGUCAGUUUUUAAAAUUGUGUUUUUGAAAUUCUAGUCUAUCUAGAAGUCUUCUAAACCUAUAAAUAUGAUAUGAGGAGCCCCAUAUGACGCAAGCUUAGAGAGAAAACUUUUUAGAAAUCCUAACGGCUUGAUUCGAAGCUUUUGAUCUAUGUUUUACAAAUCAAGUUUUUCUUUGAUCACCGAUUCGGUUCUUUGAUGUUUGAUUUCAAUGGUUCUUUAAGGAUCAAAUCGGUGAUGUUCUAAUUAGGGUUUCUCCUCAUAUCAUAUGUGCUUUCUAAGUUUUUAAAUCACCACAAAGUAUUAACAUUCUUCGAGCUACGGAUGGAGCGUUGGCGCGUGGACUUUGCGUGAAGGCCGUAGAUUCGGUGGGUGCUUCGUGGAUUCGAGACGUGUUUGCUGCGAGGGCUUGCAGCGUGAUCGGUUGAAGGAGUUCGAUCGAUCGAGGACCGGCGAAGGCGAUCUACAACGAGGAUUCGGUAAAUUGAGUCGUGUAUUUUCGGUAAAUCACUUGUACUCAAUUUUUCAUAGUGGAUUGUUUUGUGUGAUUGGUCCCGUAGGUUUUUCUCUCCGGAUUGGAGUUUUUUCACGUUAAAUCUCGGUGUUUGGUUUUAUUUUUCGCUAUUAGUUUUAUUUUGCAUCGAGAGAUUUGUUUUUGCCAUUUACACCUAUUCACUCCCCCUCUAGGUGUUAUUUAUCUUUUAGAUCUUUAGGAUUCAUAUCUUACAUGCUUGGUUCCUAGAUCUAUUUGAUUAUUUGCAUCGACUAUAAACUGCGUGAGCCUAAUUGAGCUCGACACAGUGUGCUCUUUUGCUCAACUAAGUAUCUUCCCUGAGUGCCACUCCGGAGUAAGGCCUUCUUACAUUCUUGUCGCAGUAGUCCUUUUUAUGCAUUCAACUUAGACCUUGUGGGUAGUGUACGGAGUAGCAUGGGCAUAGGCUGGACUUGCCGGUUGGCGGUCGCUUUGGAUUGAGUCAAUUGUAAUUGUUUCAUAACUAGUAAUGCAUAUAUACACAAAGAACAUGAUAUGAGUAGUGGUAGUGUAAUGGCGUAUUAGCUAUAGAGUUUAUUCUAGCUUACCAUAUUGUUCUUUUACCUACCAACUAUACUGUUAAUUUUGUAGAUUUAGUCGGUAGGCUGUUGGGGCCAGUGACGAUAUACACUAAGGACUACUUUGUUUGUAAUAGUUUUCACACCUAUUGUUGUCAUUUUUUCUUAUAGAGCCUUCGGCUGCUGCUGUAACACACUGAACUUUAGCAUAUUGCGAUGUUCCAGUGUUAGAAUAGCGUUUUAAGCUAUUUCCGGUGUUUUUGUUGGUCGUUGACUGAGUACCGACCCAUUUCUCGUGUUGCAGGAAUGCGCGAAAGAGAACUUAGCAUCAAAACCUCCAAACUGCAGGUUUUGGGGUGCUGCGUACCGGUAGCAGAGAGAAGGGGUACCGGAACUCUCCUGUAUAACCGAGAAAAGCUGCUCUCAGGUUUGAGCUGUUGGGUGGUCUGGUACCGGUACGGCAUCGGCUGAGUACCGGUACGCCGCACUGUUUCUGCUUGACCGAGGCUCGGGUUUGGCAGUUUUGUUGACCUGGUACCGGUACUCUUUCCCGCAUACCGGUACGCACUGCAAAAAUUGCAGUUCAUGCAGUUUGCAAUUUCUGGUGUUUUAAGGGGCUUUUUGGGGUUUGUUACAAUAUGUUAUAUAACCCCCUCAUCUCCCUCACAGCACCCUUUGUGCUGAGCUUGGAGAAGGAGAAAGCUAGGGUUUUUCUCCCUUUUUCUCUCUAGAUUUCUCCCAAACUUCUUUUAAUUUGAGGUUUGAUCUCUUUGUCUUCUUCUUCUUUAUGGUGGCAAGCUUGUAGACCUUGGAGGAAGCUUGGAUGAGAAGAGGAGAGCUUCUUGGUGGAUUAAUCUUCAACCCUACCUCAAGAUAGCUUGAUUUGGAACUCUCUUGAAGGUUAGUACCCAUCUUGCAACCUCUAUUUGUGAUUUUUGCAAGAUCUGGAGAUGAAAACCUAGUUUUGAAAAAACUAGGAUUUGGUUUGGGAUUUCUUGAUUUGAGGCUUUUGGAACUUAAUUGAUGAGUAUAGAACUCUUCUUUAGGUUAGAUUUGAAGAUCCUUUGGAUUGAUAUAUUUGAGCUUUGGACAAGUGUAGCUUGAUCAAAGGUGAUUUUCUACCUCUUGUUGGGUUGGUUAAAGUUAAGCUUGUGGGGUGUUCGUUCAUUACCCCUAACCCUUUUAGAAAUUUAUUUAGGGUACUAGGAGCUUGGUGGACAACUUCGUUCGAAGGAAUGAAAUGGUUCGAAGAUCAUCCGGUGGGUUUGACCUCACCGAAAUGGGUAAACUCCCUCUAUGUCUUCCUUAUGGUUUUAAGACAUAUUUAGAUGCUUAUUCAUGCUCAUUAUGACAUGCUAGAAUUUAUGAAGACAUAAUAUGUACAUGUUAUGUAUAGUAAAAAUUUAUGCUCUAUGUAGUAGAGGCAUUGUUCGGAGCCGAAUUUCCUGAUCCUUGACCCGGUCAAAGAUCUUCCUCGGAGAACGUGUAGGGAUGAAAAACAGCUACGAAUAGUGACCCUCGAAGUUUGCGCCCUUCGACUGGAUCAAGCGAUUCGGCUGAUGAGGGAUCGAAUCAGCCGAGUUCGAAGACCUUUACUUUAGACUCGGUUCGGCUGGAAGAGCCGAAUGUACAGAAUGCACAAAGUUUUAGGUCGGCUGAUGAGCCAAAUAGAUGGAAUACACAGAAACUGGUCAACUGAAAGAGCCGAAUGCCUUUAUAUAUUAAAAUGAAGUUGGGAACUCAUACAAAACAGAGUGUGCCCGAAGAGCAUACAAACUCUGAAAAUCUAGAUUAUAACAGAGUGUGCCCGUGGGGCAUACAGACUCUAGGGAUCUAACUUAAAAACUACUCUUAGAAAAGCAAUAAAUUUAGGUAAAAAAGUUUACAUGUAGACUACUCCUAGAAAACGAUAAAUGUAGGAAAGGAAAGUAUUGAAAACGCGGCGGUCUUCUCGUUCAGGGGAGAGAAAGACCUUUAUUACAGGCUUCAAAGUUACUAUUAUAAUAUCUUAUCAGCCCACAUUAUUAGUUGGUUAUAGUAGUGAGGGAAGUGGUGUAGCCAUGAUCAUAGAAGUUACGCUCCACUUCUCAUGGAAGUUACGCCCCACUUCACAUGGAAGUUACGCUCCACUUCACAUAGAAGUUACGCCCCACUUCACAUGGAAGUUACGCCUCACUUCUCAACCGUUCCCGCCUAAACACUCUUGACCUUCAGGCGCCCUAUUACCGACUCCUGGUGUACCACGUGUCCUUAUUUCUUUAGCUCAUAUGUGGGUUACGUCGGCGUGUUAAUUUUAAAUUUGGCAUCAACAAUGCCCCCCCAAUAGUCUUUCGAAUAAACAUUUGGAUGACUAUUGGUGCCAAAUCGACUACUCAAUGGCACAGCUGAGACCUAAGCUUUAGUUUCGCUGGUUUUGGUUGGCUUAAAGAAAGCGACUCUUUAUCAUCCCAGCCGUAUAUACCUCAGCUUCAUCAGUCGAUUCUUUACUUUUACUCGAUUGGUUCGGCUCUUCUUGAACUGAAUGUUCUUCUAUCAAGAAUUUCUCUUUGAAGAAAGCGGCUCUUUACCAGCCGCAUAUACCUCGGCGUCAUCAGCCGAUUCUUCACUUUCACUCGAUUGGCUCUGCUCUUCUUGAACCGACUGUUCUUCUAUCAAGGAUUUCUCUUUGCCUUUGCUUUGCUUUUUAUAUCGGCUCUAUUACAGCCGAUUGUCCUUACUUUUUUUUCAAAAUUGCUCAUAUUGGGCAACUCGAACACCUAGAUCAAAUAGGUUAGAAAAAUACUUAUCUUCAAAAUAGUCUUUUAUCUUAAAAUGCAGACCAUUUAACGUCAUUUUGGCGAACUCUAAUUCCGGCAUUCUCAUAAAGCACCGGGUAUUGGCUAUUUUGAAACUGUUCAAAUACUCUUUGACCGUUUCACCUGACUUUUGUUGGUAUAAAGCCAAGUCGGCAACCGAUAAUUGUGGCUUCGACCUAUAGAAUUGCUCAUGAAAUUUUCUUUCCAAUUCGUCCCAAUCUUGGACGGAAUUGGCUGAUAAACUUGUAUACCAAGUAAACGCCGUUUUAGUUAACGACGUGUUAAAUAAUCGAAGUUUCAAAAAUAAGUCAGCGGUCGCUUCUCUACAUGGGGCCGUGAACCGGGCUAUAUGCUCGACCGUAUUCUCGGUCUCAUCGCCCGAGAACUUAUCGAACUUCGGCAUUUUUCAGUUUGCCGGAUAUGGAUCCUCCACAUCGAUGUUCGCGGGAUAAGGAGAUUUAAACACAGGCAGCAUUGCCAGCCUUGCGCCAACUCCAAAAGUAUUUCGGAUGGCUUCUUCAAUCCGUGCGUAUAUUUCAUUAUUGUUCCCCUACAAAGGAACCUGUGCUUGUAUUACAUUCGGUCCUUGCGGUAAACCGAAAUUCGGUAUAAUAGGGUUAACUCCUUGCAUAUUCGGAGCCUGCCCCCUAGCCCUUACGCCUACAUUUUGGGGCUGGUAAGCUGGUAAAGGAGGUAAACACAAUGCCAUCUCCGACUGCGGGCCGGCGUUUAUAUUCGUCGGCCUAUAAGCAGCCUGGAAAGGUGCCAUUUGCGGUUGCGCCUGUGAAACCGCCGGCGUGAUGGGAUUUUGUUGCACCGGGCAUAUUUAGGGGCCCCUGUUGCCCCCCGUAAGGUUGCUCAUUUCGAGUAAAUAACUGUCUAAUUCGAACAAUAUUUUCAUUGUAGGCCGUUAUGGCGGCCAACACCGUGUCUAGUUGAGCGGUACUUUGAUGGAUAUUUUGAUCAACAGUUUGCAAGACUCGGGUCAUAUGGCCGAGUGCCUGAGUGUAAGGAAGUGAAUUCUUGAAAUCCGGGGAUUAGACUUCGUUUAGAAUUGACUAAUUGUCGAGUGAGUAGGUUUCGGAAAGUCUAAAGGUGAUUAAAAUGCAUAAGGUGCAUUGAGGAAGAGUCCGCGAGAGCAUCAGUGCAAAACCUGCACUGGAGCAAAAUUGCUCUCGGGGACCGGUCCCCGGCAGGGAGGGACCGGUCCCAUCGGCUGGUGUGGCGGGGAUCCUUGAUGCAACCGAUCCCUGGCAGGGAGGGACCGGUCCCCAAACGUCAACCCAGCGAGAAAGACCGAAAUUUGGCUAAGUCCCAAAAAUCCAACUCUCGGGAACCGGUCUCUCAGGCAAGGACCGGUCUCCCAGGGACCGGUCUUUCAGGCUAAGAUCGGUUCCCGAACGUGAGAUUUUCCUCUGCCCGAAUGGGAGGCUCUCGGGGACCGGUCUUCCCGACCUGGGACCAGUCCCUCACUGCGAAAUUGCCCAGUGAGGGCUGCUUUGUAGAAUGGAAAGUUGAGGGGUUUAAUUGCAAAAUGGCCUAUAUGAGAGAUGGGGAACCCUUUUCUCUCCCUCACUACUCUCUUUUCCCCUCACACUCUCACCCUUUCUCCCUUACUCUCUCUCUAGAAAGAAAAGAAGGAGAAGAAAAAGAAGAGGAAGAAGAAGAAGGAAAAGAAAAGAAAGAGGGGGGAGAAGACUAAGAAGAAGAAGAAGAUCAUCUUCUUCUUCCUCAAGCUAGGAGCUCUAACCCUACAAUGGUAUUUCUAGGGUUUAGGGUUCUUGUUGUUUGGAGAUGGUUUUAAUGAGACCUAAUGGAGUCAAAUAGAUGAUUCUAGCAUGAAUCUAAAGCUUGAAUCAUGGAUUUCUCCGUGGUUGCAACCUAGGGCUCCGAUUUGGGAUUUUUGGAAAUCUAGGGUUUAAUAUAUUUUAAUGGGUCAUAAACCUAAUUGCUAAGUCUUCGAACGCGUAGGCGAAGACGGUCCUUCGUUACGACGAGCGAGUGCGAAAAUAUCGCCGGAACAAGUGCUCGAGGGUUCGGAUUAGCCUGAAGAGUCGAGGCGACGACGAAGGAUCACGGCGUCGAGUUUACUAGCUACACGGUAGUACCAAAAAGGUGGGGGUGCUAUCCCGAAGCAGUUGAACUGCUUCCUAUGUCUAAGUCAUCAUGUUGAUCAAGUGCUUAUUGUAUUAUUGCAUUAUAGGGUGCUGAAUGUAAUUGUUACAUUUUAUUGCAUGCUAGAGUUAGCUUAGCUUCGUGGAUAUAGCGUCGAACCUAGUAUGCAUGAGUUGAACAGGAGAUAGUCAACCCUAUAUGUGAUGAAUGUGUUAUGCGAAUGAGAACCUAGUAUGGAAUAACUAGUAUAUGAGAACAUUGAACCUUGGCGAGUGGCAUCUAGUUAAUGUUAACCUUGACGAGUGGCAUCUAGUUAAUAUUAACCUAUGAUGAAUAGCUAUGAGAACCUUAGUGUGGUUGGUAACACUAGAGUGAUGAGUAUGGUAUUUGCUUGCAUAUAUGAUGAUACUAUCCUUAGUUGACAAGAUGUUCCCAGUUUGUGAAGGUUUGGAUCGAGCUUACAUAGCCUAUCUGCGCCUGUGGUGGUAGCUCCACACAGGUAGUGCACUCCGGAGGUUGUCACACGAGGGGGGGCCAAUGUAGUUGCCCUUGGACUAUUGUAGCUGUUCGCAGGCGGUCUCGGGGGUAGUUGAGUAGCUAGUCUCCUCCCCUAUGAGACUUACACACAUGAGAUUGUGAGCAAGCCUCGAGUUCGCAGAGGGAUUGGGUAACCUGAUGAGUUCCACGUUUUUGUGCAUAGUAGUAUAUUAGCUACAGGUUUCACUAUGAUGUGCAUGCAUGCAUUAUACAGAUUGAGGCAUAGUUAGAUGUUGUAUAUAUAUAUAUAUGUAUAUCUGCUUAAAUGUUGCCGAUGCUUUCAAUUACAGGUAUCUAUCUAUCUGUCUAUUGUCUCUCUAUGCCUGCUUAGACCUAGUGGGGAGAUCGGCGGAGCUGGCGGCCGAACCCACUGGGAACUAUGAAAGAUAGUUCUCACCCCACUCUCUAUAGGUCCGAGUUCGAGUGUCCCCGGCGAGCGCGACGAUCGUGGCAAGGGCAUAGCGCCCUAGGGGUAUCCAUAGCUAGCUUUACUUCCUUCUGCAUUAAUUCCACUCUAUGUUUUAUGUUUAAGAGUAGAUGAUGUAUAGGGUGAGGUUUUGAGAGUGAUUGUACAUAUGUUUUGGAAGAAUGUAAAGGUUGAAAUAAUUGUAUCAAAGUUAAUGAAUUCAAUAGUUAAGUAUAUCUCUCUUUUGAUCACUUAUAUGCUUUACUCGUGUUGCUUACUCUUGGUUGAUAUGCACUGUUUGCGCUUCGUUAUCGUUGUAUGAUCAUGUAUGUAAUCAAGUGUAUUUCCUGGGAACUUGUGUACAUGAUCUCAUCGUUUGAGCCUUGGUCGGGCAGGGGAGUUGCUGUCCGUUCGGCGGUCCGUUCGCCGCGCCCGAACCGGACCAAAUUGGUAGCGGUCUCGGGGCGGGGGCGUGACACUGAGUUAAACUCGGCUCUUGAUAAGCCGGCUGUUCACUAGUCUCUCCUCCAACAGGUAGUACCGCCUAAUUCUUAUUCGCAUUUUUGGCGCUACCAGCUUGGUCAUUCCCUGAAGGCCUGGGAAUGGCUCUAUUUAGGAGGUUCAUAGCAUUAUCGUCAGCCAUAGGACAAAGUCUAGAUUAGGAAUACCUGAGUGUGUCCCACUGGGCGUGCCAAAAAUUAUUAGGAGCCGAAUUCCCUGAUCCUUGACCCGGUCAAAGAUCUUCCUCGGAGAACGUGUAAGGAUGAAAAACGGCUACGAAUAGUGACCUUCGAAGUUUGCGCCCUUCGACUGGAUUAAGCGAUUUGGCUGAUGAGGGAUCAGAUCAGCCGAGUUCGAAGACCUUUACUUUAGAUUCGGUUCGGCUGGAAGAGCCGAAUGUACAGAAUGCACAAGGUUUUGGGUCGGCUAAUAAGCCGAAUAGAUGGAAUACACAGAAACUGGUCGACUGAAAGAGCUGAAUGCCUUUAUAUAUUAAAAUAAAGUUGGGAACUCAUACAAAACAGAGUGUGCCCGAAGAGCAUACAGACUCUGAAAAUCUAGAUUACAACAGAGUGUGCCCAUGGGGCAUACAGACUCCAGGGAUCUAACUUAAAAACUACUCCUAUGAAAGCAAUAAAUGCGGGUAAAAAAGAUUACAUGUAGAUUACUCCUAGAAAACGAUAAAUGCAGGAAUGGAAAGUAUUGAAAAUGCGGUGGUCUUCUCGUUUAGGGGUGAGAAAUACCUUUAUUACAGACUUCAAAGUUACUAUUUAUAAUAUCUUAUCAGCCCACAUUAUUGGUUGGUUAUAGUAGUGGGGGAAAUGGUAUAGCCAUGAUUAUGGAAGUUACGCCCCACUUUUCAUGGAUGUUACGUCCCACUUCAUAUGGAAGUUACGCCCCACUUCACAUGGAAGUUACGCCCCACUUUUCAACCGUUCCCGCCUAAACCCUCUUGACCUUCAGGCGCCCUAUUGCCGACUACUGGUGUACCACGUGUCCUUAUUUCUUUAGCUCAUAUGUGGGUUAGGUCGGCGUGUUAAUUUUAAUUUUGGCAUCAACAAGCAUACAUGUGGAUUUAGGCACUACAUGACACUUCUUGAUGAUUUCUCUCUUAUGCAACUAUAGGAAGCAUGUUAGAGUAUGAAUGUUGGUAUAACUCCUUGAGGGAACCUAGAGAAUGGGUUAGAUAAGUGGUUAAAUUACAUGAGGACAAUAUUACACUUGUUAUAGACAAGGUGAAUGGAACUUAGCAUUUCUUGCAUGAUAAUAUUAUACUUGUUAUAGACAAGGUAGUUGUGACAUUGUAACUUGGUACAUUUAACCUAGUAGAACAACUAGUAUUGGCCAUUGUGAUAUUGCAUUCGAUUUAGGGAUCGAUAUUUAUAUUCCUUGUUUUAGACAUGAGGAAAUGAGAGUGUAAAGCCUUUGAGGUGAACCCUAAUAGAGAUAAUGGCAUGUAAUACUAGUGGAAUUUAGUUGCUUGCAUGAUAAUACUUCUACUCCAUGUAAUGGAGAUUUUAGCAGAAAGACAUAUGCAUAAUAUGUAUUGUGGUACCUAUGGACAUUUCAUAAUUCUCUUGCAUAUGGCAUUAGUAAAUAUUUCUCUUGACAAUUAUUGGAACUGCAUGUCAUAAACCUGUUUGGAGUCUUGUAUAAAAUAGUGAACUAUCCUAGAUAGGAUAAUGACAUAUGAACUAUGCAUGCUUUAGGCAUUAUAUGUGUUGGUAGAGACAUACCACCCAAGUAGUUGUUAAACAAGACAUGACAUGAAUGAUUUAGAACCCGACCGUCGAGUCGAUGAGUGAGAAUUCCAUAUUUUAGACAUGAUGAUUGAGUAUCCCAAAUUGUGGACCCUAUACUAUGAUCACACUUGCUUGCCCUUGUGCUCAUUCGCACAUACUUGUGAGGGUCGCUCCCUACAAGCCAGCACUCUGGAGUUUAGCCUUGCGACGAUAGAUCGCCCGUGUGGGAUUGGGCGCCAAAGUGGGAUGCCGUGGGCGGAGUCUCUUUUCUUGUAGGGAAAAUGAUGACUCCCACGGGGCCACUAAGGCACGGCACGAGCCGGGACGUUAUCACGUGUACGUUCCUUGUAAAUUGAGUAUUGAGACUUAACUUGACAUUGUACAUCACCGUAAUGGAUGCAUACAUGGUAAAUAUUCAUACAUGUGGUUUGCUACCUUAUAUUACUACUUGAUGCAUUCAUAAUAGUUGGACAUUUUGUGGGACAUCAUGACAUUAACAGCUUUAGUGGUAGUACACCUAUACUUAUGUGGAUUAGUAUGCACGCAUGGCUAGGAUAACAAUGAAAAGCACAAUUUACUCUAUAUAGCAUCAUGGACAUUAUGAAUAUGCAUGUAAUUUGACAUUGGCAUACAAUUGAACAUGCAUGUAAACUGACAUUGGCAUAUAGUUGAAUAAAUGAAAUUUGACCAUCUUAUACUUGAUAGUUAAUCUUUUAGUAGAGGCAUGACUAUGGAAUGAACAUGUUUAAUUUACUUACCUUUCAUAUAUUGCUUAAUUAUCACCUUAUAGCAUGCCUCAGUUGACCUCGUGGUGUAUUUCGCCACCCUCGGCGGCUUAUCCACUGGGAACUAUUGUUUAAUAGUUCUCACCCCCAUUUGUUGUUGGUUUUUGUUUCAGAACCUUCCGCGGCGGGAGAGGUUAUAGGGAUCGUGGCAAGGGGUUAGCGACUUGCUAGAGCCCCUACGGAGCUAUUUAGAGGGACCCGACAUCAUCUUUCUUUUUGUAUCUUGUGGAAAGAUGUAUUAUAUAUUUGAUUUAGAGAUGUUGUUAGACUUUCGGAUUUAGUUGUAUACACUUUGUAUAUUUCGUGGAUCCCUUUGUGAUAGAACAUUAGUAAUUUUAUAUUACUCGUUCUGAUAGCCUUGUUAGGACUUGAUCUUGUUCAUCCUUGUAUUAGUAGACGCCUUGUGUGCAUUCUAGUUGUUUGGUGUACACGGCGGGUCUGUGCACGCGUCGGGCGGGUUUCCGCUAGACCGGGGUGUGACAGCUGCUGUUGCUUCUGAUCGAGAUAAGGGAAUCACGAACUUGAUCCCUACCUACCCCUGUCGACAUGCUAGAGGAGUACUCUUUUUGGAGCUAGCUUACUUUUGUUUAGUCAUAUACAUACAAUUGUUUUUUAUUUUUCACUGUCCGCUGUUGUGAGGUGAUGUUAUUGUACUUUUGGAUUAUGUUAUACACCUUCAAUUACAUGUAUGUACGUCAAGUGACUAUUUAUUUCUAUUUUAAUAGCUCUAUUACUCUCUAAUAGUGGUUCUUGUACUAUUUACAAGUGCUUCUAUCACUCUGUGUACAUAAGGUUUCUUGUGUAUUCGGCGUAUCUGUUGGCGAGCCAGUUAGAGCUGGAGCCCGGAGCGUCACAUGGACAGAGGAAUCUCUAUACGUGUGGCGGGUUUGUGAACAUAUCGGGCAAGGUUUCAAAAAGAAAAAAAAAUUAUACAUUUUUCCGCAAACUUUAUUUUCAAAAAUGAUCACAGGGUAUAACAAUUUAGUUCGACUAUAUAAGGCAAUAGUGAUCAAAUAAUUAUAGUUAAUAGUUAAUAAGUAAUUAAUAAUAAUAAAAAUGACAAAUCACAUAUCAUAUUAUCGCUAGAUAAUAAUAAUAUUAAAUAAUAAUUUAAACUCAUAAGUAUACAUUUCAUUAGUUAUUAUUAACUAUUAACCAUAAGGGCCUAUUUGGUUUCUUGAAAAAUAGUAGAAAACUAUUUUCUAAAGAAAAAAGUUGUUGGGGAAAAGAAAUUUUUUAGUUUCUGUUGUUUGGUUCGAUGGAAAAGAAAAAUAGUUUUUUAUGUACGCGUGUAGUCACGCCCCGGAUUACUCGUUUCUCCGGGCACGUCAACAGACCCACCGUAUAAAUAAGAAUUUUUUCUAUAUACGAAGCGAUAGCUGUACCUGUACCUGUAAUAUACAAUACUACAAUCAGUAGUAUAGAGCUGCUAAAAAGAAUAAUAUAUAAAUAAAACUGGUUCACUAUACAUACAUAGCAUCCUGGUACAAAAACACUCGCUCCAGCGAGGAUCUAACAUCAGUAUGUACAAGAACCAAAAACUACCACUCCCUGUAGCUGGUAUAUCUCUAAGUCAGUAGCAAAACGGGAAGGGAUCUAGCUCACAACUCCCUUUCCACAAUCGAUAACCGCGACAGAAGCAGCCGAAGAGGAAGGCUCUGCAAAAAAAGAGGUAACAACUGGGCGUGAGAACUACUGCAAAAAUAAGCAAUCCUCAGUGGUACCGCCCUCAAUCUCAUCGGCUCACCCACAAAGUCUACUACAGAUGUAUGCUCAAAUAAUAGUAAAGGAACUGGAAACAAUCUACAGCUAUAUGCCACGAUACUAUCAUGAUCCAAUACUAACUAUCUGUAGAAUAAUACAAAUCUCUGACCCAAUCUCACUAGAGACUGUGAAAACACCCGUCUCGCUUGUCGAAGCGAACCCGUAUACUACCCUAUGAGUAGUCGGUGGAUAAAACUCUCUAGGGACUGUAUACACCCGUCCCGUCUAAUUAGACUACACCAUAGCUCAAGAGUAGCCGGUGGAGAAAACUCUCUAGAGACUGUGAAUAUACCCGUCUCGCCUAAUUAGGCUACACCGUAGCUCAAGAAUAGUCGGUGGAGAAAACUCUCCAGAGACUGUGAAUACACCCGUCUUGCCUAACUAAACUACACCGUAGCUGAAGAGUAGCUGGUCUAGGUAAAAAGGUCCGACAGGACGGCUGUAACUCCCCUCACGUCACAACCUCAUUGAAGGUCGAGAAAGGCGUCACUAACUACCACUGAUCCAACCUCACACGGGCUGCCCAAACGGGCCCACCCUGCCUGUAUCCAACUACGCUGUACACCACCCACUGGGGUGGCCAGUACAAGAACUAUCCGAGCAGAAACUGCGAUCUUAUCGCACUAAAAGCUCAUUCCGGAAUGGCAUUCGUGGGCGCGACCCAACCGAGUUUACAAGUGUCUCUGUGAAGUUCAAUCAGUCUCUCACAGGCUAUAAUCGAAGUGAACAGGUCACACUGGUCUAACCACCAAAUCUCACGUGCUUUUAGCACAAUCUAAUGCAAAAACAGCCAACAGGGUCCACCAUUAACCACGACGGCACCCGACACAGUUCGGAACAGCCUAAACACUGCUGUAAAAAUAAGCUUGGCAUCCGAUCACGAGUGUAAAUGCAUUCUAUACUAUCUUGAGUAUCCACCGCCCACAAACUGCGGUGAUACAAACAAACUACGGCUCCUAGAGCUAAAUCUGGUAGUUUUAAUAUAGGUCGGUGUAAAAUUAUCAGUUUUCUCCUAAGUCAAGUUUCAAGUCCAACAUAUAUAAUUUAUCUAACUCACUACAGCAUGCUCCAAAUUCGGAUUUUGUUUAACAUGUUAAUCGAUGAAUUCGAGCUAAAAACAUGAUAUACAAUUGCUGAAAAUAUACAUGUUGACUAUGCGUACACUUAGGAGGAGAAUCCGAUGAUUAACCCACCUCUAGCGCUAAUCCACGACAGCACGGGGUCGCGAAGUUACUGGGAUACACAACCGAAACCACCCCUGGACCAGCAGCAAGGAUUCUCCAAGAACUAAAACAACGAUACCAAUAAUUCUAUCAAUAUACUAAAAUUCAGCCCCUAAGGUCAAAUUCCUUCAAUCUCAAUGUCAAUUUCACCUUUCGAUCUUCAAAUCUGGUGAAGCAAGGUUCCAAAACCUGUGUACUAAGAUGGAGAAUCACCCCCAGGUCCAAAAUCCAGCUUCCUCCAAAGAUUGCAUCAUGAAAAUUCACAAAACUCAAAUUUCAGCUUCAAUACUGCAGCAGUCCAGAAAAAUAGCAAUUUGACCAAACUAACCUCAAUCAAAUUCGUCAAAAAACGCUCCACGGAUUCUUCUUGAAGUCCAGAAUCCAAAAAACCAAGUUUCACAGCAAACGGAGCUUCCUACGUCGCACACGAGCCAAAACGUCGAAGGUCGCUGCUGGAAAUCUGCAGAAUCAGCACUCCUCAAGCUUGGAAUUGUAGAAUUUGGAGUAAUUUGAGGGACUUAGAUGCAAAAUGGAGCUUCUCUGUGAAGAAGGAAUGAAAAGUCUUCACUGUAGUCGAACACUACAUAUUUAUAGGGUGAUCAAAUGGUCAGAUAAGCCUCAGGAACAAAAGAGGUUAACCUGCAGAGUUUGCAGAAAACCACACUUUCGGGCGCCCAAAACCCCUUUCUGGGCGUCCGAAACCUCCAGGCUACACACUUGCUCCCCUUCGGUUCCUCUGCCUGGGGUGUGCUGCGCCCAUAUCCGGCUCCGGUGGAGCUCACCUACCACCAGCCAAGUGUCAGCGCAAACGAUACUCACGAAGUGAAAUUUCGGACCCACUUCUGGGCGCCCGAAACUAGGAUUCGAAUUGGCUUCCAGUUCUGCUCAGUUCAGCACUCGAGUUCUAGGCGACCCAAACCCUGUUCUGGGCGCCCGAAACUGGCAAAACUCCUGUUUUGCUCCUUUGAGUGCGCCGAGUCCAUUUCUGCAUCUAUUUCAUGCAGAAACGACUCCGACUCAGUCCGACACUCUCCAGAGGUGUCGACCAGUCACUAAUACUGUAGCCAAUCCUAUCCAAACCUCUGGAACACUGCACGUGUUUGGUUGAUAAGGAAAAAUAAAAUGAAAAAUAGUUUUUCGUUUUUAUUUAACUUGUUUGGUUAGUUAGAAAAUUUGGGAUAUAAACAUUUUCUACAAAAAGAGGGUAAGAUUACUAAUUUUUUAGAACUUAACAUACUACUCACAAACUAUUUAUACUAUAAAUAAUAAAUAAAUUAAAUAAAAAUAAAUUUUAACUAUAUUUUAGUCUAGAUAAUAUAAUUUGACAAAAGAGAUGGACUUGAUGAAGAUGACAGAUAAGAGAUGAAGAUGGUUCUUCCAUGUGUAUAUGUACACACAAGCGCAUGCGCGCGCGCAUCCGCGCGCGCACACACAUAUAUAUAUAGAGAGAGUCCAGCUACUAUACUCUUAUGAGUAUAGUCAACUUUUUACUCAUAAGUUUUUGACUGUUAGAUCUUCUUUGUUAAUCAUUUCCACCCGUUAGAUCAUACUAUUUAACCAACCACCAACUCAAUCCUAGGGGACCACUAUUAACCUAACCGGGGACCGCUAUCAUCCUAACCGCAUAUCUUUUCAUCCAAUGAUCGAAAACUUAUGAGUACAAAGGAUGCUAUACUCAUAAGAGUAUAGUAGCCUUAGCCUAUAUAUAGAGUUCAGCUACUAUACUCUUAUGAGUAUAGUCAAUUUUGUACUCAUAAGUUUUUGACCGUUAGAUCUACUUUUUUGAUCAUUUCCACCCGUUAGAUCAUACUAUUCAACAAACCACUAACUCAACUUUAGGAGACCACUAUUAACCUAACCGGGGGUUGCUAUCAUCCUAACCACACAUCUAUUCAUCCAAUGGUGGGAAACUUAUGAGUACAAAAGGGGCUAUACUCAUAAAAGUAUAGUAGCCCUAGCCUAUAUAUAGAUUCCAGCUACUAUACUCUUUUGAGUAUAGUCAACUUUGUACUCAUAAGUUUUUGGCCGUUAGAUCUACUUUUUUGAUCAUUUCCACCCGUUAGAUCAUACUAUUCAACCAACCACUAACUCAACCCUAGGGAACCACUAUUAACCUAACCGAGACCACUAUUAACCUAACCGGGGACCGCUAUCAUCCUAACCGCACAUAUUUUCAUCUAGUGGUCGGAAACUUAUGAGUACAUAUAUAUAUAGGUUAGGGCUACUAUACUCUUAUGAGUAUAGACCCAUUUGUACUCAGAAUUUUUUGGCCAUUGGCUGAAGGGAUAUGCGCUUAGGAUGAUAGUAGUACCCGGCUAGCAUAAUAGUGGUCCCCUAGGGAUGAGUAAGUGGAUAAUUGAAUAGUAUGAUCUAACGGGUGGAAAUAGUCAAAGAGGUAGAUCUAACAGCCGAAAACUUAUGAGAAAGGAGUCUAUACUCAUAAUAGUAUAGUAGUCGGACUCUACAUAUAUAAAGAGAGAGAGAGUUGAUCUAGAAUACUAUUAAUAGCAUUUGGGCUCUUUUGCUAUCAAUUUUUUAACCGUUAGAUCUACACUUUAAUCAAUUCCAUCUUUUAGAUCAUACUAUUCAAUCAACCACCCACUCAACCCUAGGGAGACUACCACUAAACCUUGGGGAUCACUAUUAUCCUAACCCUAUAAUUUUUUAUCCAAUAAUUAAAAACUCGAUAGCGAAAGAGCCCAAAUUUUAUUAAUAGUAUUCCAACCAAAUUCUACAUAUAUAUAUAUAUAUAUAUAUAUAUAUAUAUAUAUAUAUAUAUAUAUAUAUAUAUAUAUAUAUAUAGUCCGGCUAUGGUGCUUGUAAAAGCACCAAGCACUUGGUGCUUGUAAUUUUUUUACCGUUAGAUCUACGCCUUGAGCUAGAAUACUAUCGAUAGCAAACCGGCACUUUUGCCACCCAUUUGUUUUCGAUGAUGGAGCCUCCAAAUUGAUGAUUGGCACCGUUGAACAUGAUCUAUACCAUUUGAAGUAUUUAGAAAUUAAAUUUCAUACAUUUUCGAUAUUGCUCUCUUAUCCAUUGAGUGGACACAAAAAUGAACAGCUGAAAAUGAAUAUUUUUAAAAAAAUGAUGGUAGGAGUCUUGUAAUCAAGAUCAAGAGUAUAGAUCUUGUUUUAAAUAGUUUAAAGAAUUUUCUAACAAAAAUUCAAUUGAUUUGGAUAUCUUUACGCCGUUAAACGAGAAAACGCCUCAUAUCGACCAUUAAAAUUACAAAUUUUGAAACCCUUUGAUCAUUAGGCAAAUAAUGUCGAAAAGAUUUGAAAUUUGAUUUCUAAAUAUUUCAAGUAGUAUAAAUCAUGUUCAACGGUGCCGAUCGUCGAUUUGGAGGCUCCAUCAUCGAAAACAAAUGUGUGGCAAAAGUGCCGGUUUGCUAUCGAUAGCAUUCUGGCUCAACUAUAUAUAUAUAUAUAUAUAUAUAUAUAUAUAUAUAUAUAUAUAUAUAUAUAUAUAUACAUAUAUAUAUAUAUAUAUAUAUAUAUAUAUAUAUAUAUAUAUAUAUAUAUAUAUAUAUAUAUAUAUAUAUAUAUAUAUAUAUAUAUAUAUAUAUAUAUAUAUAUAUAUAUAUAUAUAUAUAUAUAUAUAUAUAUAUAUAUAUAUAUAUAUAUAUAUAUAUAUAUAUAUAUAUAUAUAUAUAUAUAUAUAUAUAUAUAUAUAUAUAUAUAUAUAUAUAUAUAUAUAUAUAUAUAUAUAUAUAGUUGGACUGGGCUAUUAUUAGUAGCAAAAUCCUAUUGUUGCUACCAGUUUUUCAGCCUUUGGAUCAACUCUUUUCAUUAUUUCUAACCAUUGGAUUAAAUACUAUAACCCAGUGGGAACCACUCAACCCUAGGGGGCCACUCAACUCUAACCGACUAAUAUCAUCCUGACCCUACAAUUUUUCAUCCAAGAGUUAAAAACUUGAUAGCAAAAAGAGCGUUUUACUAUUAAUAGUAUUCCAGCCUAAUUCUAUAUAUAUAUAUAUAUAUAUAUAUAUAUUCCGGCUACUAUACUAUUAUGAGUACGAUCGCCCUCGUACUCAUAAGUUGUUUUUGAUGAUAGAGCUUCCGAAUCGAUGAUCCACACCGUUAAACGUUAUUUACAGCAUUUAAAACUUCUAGAAAUAAAAUUUUAUAAUUUUUCGACAUCAUUUACCUUACGAUCAAGACGUCACAAAUUUGACAAUUUUUAACGGCCGGUAUGGGAUACUUGCUAGUUUAACGAUGUAAAAGAAUCGAAAUUUGUUGAAUUUUUGAUAGAAAAUUCUAUUCACUAACUAGAUAAAGAUCAAUAACUCGGAUCUUGAAUUGAAGGAUCCGAUCAUCGUUAUUUAGGACGUCGUUCGAUUUUGACCGUUCAUUUUAUACCCGUUUGAUGGACUUUAUUAUAAUUUCGAAAAUUUACGAAAUUUAUUUUCUAGAAGUUUCAAAUACUCUAGAUCAUAUUUAACGGAGUGGAUCGUCGAUUCGGAAUCUCCAUCAUCGAAAACAACUUAUGAGUAUGAGGGCUCCAAUACUCAUAAUAGUAUAGUAGCCGUGGCCUAUAUAUAUAUAUAUAUAUAUAUAUUGUGUGUGUGUGUGUGUGUGUGUGUGUGUGUGUGUGUCAUUCACAAUUUCUAGAGAGCCUGGGGAAGGAAGAGGUUGAAAAGGGAGAAACAGUCCCGCUCCCUGUCGUGUUCCUAGUCUCGAUCUCGGUCGCGAGUGGGAUUUCAAAUUAGAUUUUGAUGAGUUUAGAAGAAAAGCAUGAGAAUCGAACAGGCGGAAUGGAAAACCAAAAGAUCUCUAAAAGUUCUUUUCUACCGAAGAGACGUAAAGAAAAAUGACACGAUAUUUAAAAGAUGGCAGGUUUUAGGGAAAAAAAUGAGUAAUAAAAGAGGUGAGCCACAAAACCAAUAGUUAAGAUAAAUUUGCCGCGUGAACAAAAUUAUAAGAUUAAUUAAAUAUUAAUUUUUAAUUAUUAUUAGCAUAAAAAUUAAUUAUUAUUAUAUAAUAAUACUAGGUUGGGGAAGGGGGAGAGUGUGCGUGUUGGUACAUUGAACCUGGACGUUAAGGACCAUGGUUCGCCGGAACGCUAUCAAAGAUGGGCCCCACACAUGUGCUGUGCACGUGCUAAAAGCCCCGUCCGUACAUGAGGACCGUUAUAUCUGCUACGGACCAAACCCCGAAACCCUAGCCCCGCCGCUGCCGCCGCCGCCGCCGCCGCCGCCGAUGGCCUCCGCGCCCCCCAGCGUCGCAUUUCUCCCUGGUUUAAACCCUAGCUCCGCCGUAAGCAUCGACCCGAGUCCCAAUUUCCUCCCCUCUCUCCAUCCUUCGAUCGCAAUUGCUUAAACCCUAGCCUCUUGAUCCCGACCUUCUGGUUUACUUGUAGGGCUCGAGCUCGAAGCAUCGGUUGGUGACCAAUCGAAGCCUAGGGUGUCGAUCGGAGAGAGCUUCCGCGACGGUGGCGAUGGCGAAGAGGUCGGAGGAGGAGAGGGAUUUUAGCGCUUCUUCGGCCGCUUCGGAGGAGAUCGUCACCAAUUCCUUGGAUGAUUUAGCCACCGAGUUGGGUAAGCUUAUGAUUAUGAUUCUCAUUUGAUAAUUACUUUCGUUAUCUGGCGAAAUUUUACUAAAGAUUUGGGUAAAAAAAAUUUAAAAUGUUAAUGAUGCAGAACUGAAGAGGAAGGAGCCCAGCAUUUCCACAAUUUUGACGAGUUUCGACAAUUCCUUCGAUCCCUAUGGGGCUUUGAGCACUCCAUUGUACCAAACAGCCACAUUUAGGCAGGUAAUGUCAUUUUGAUGUUAAUACUGACACUAUGAAAAGAUUUUGCAUGAGAAACUUCAUAUUCUUUUUAGCUUUAUUUCGAUUUGUUAAAAAGAAAUUAUUCGAGAAGUUCCUUGAUCAAAACAAAAUUUAUCCUCUAUGGCUUUAUUAUGAAAUUGAAUUUUUCUUGUUCCAGCCGUCGGCAACAGAAUAUGGUACAUACGAUUACACAAGAAGUGGUAAUCCUACUCGCGAUGCAUUGCAAGGGUCUGUUCUAUCGCCUUAGGUGUAAUUGGAGUAACCUCUUGAAUUUUCCUUUUUGCAAUUUUGUUUUGUAUUGGUUGAUAAUAAGCAUGUGCAUGUGCAUGUACAAAUGCUCAGUCUUAUGGCUAAGCUCGAGAAGGCCGAUCAAGCGUUCUGCUUCACUAGUGGAAUGGCCGCUCUCGCCGCCGUAACCCAUCUUCUUGAAACCGGUAUGCGUGAUGUGUCUUUUUUCUCUUAAGUUAUUGUUAUCGUUUCUAUGAAUUGCGGCUUUUACGUCUAUCUCCCUGCACAUGCACAUUAAUAUGCCCCCUAUAAAAUCUGAAUUUUUUCAUACAAAACUGCUGGAAAGUGUAGUUUUGUACAAAAGUUUUUUUAAGUUGGUGGCUCAGUUUGUUUACGAGGAAGGUUUUGUAUAAGAUGUUUUUGAAGCAGUGGCAUUUCUGCUAGUAUACAGUGAAUAAAUAAUGUUUUUGAAUGGCAGAUGCAAGGUUCAGAUAUUGCAGGUUUAAUUAUGUAAAAGUACAAGUUUUUCAGAGUACAAAUGUUAAUAUCUCUUCAAUGAAUUGUCUAGUUAACCUUGUAAUUAUUUAGGUCAAGAGAUUGUUGCGGGAGAGGACAUAUACGGCGGCUCGGAUCGGUUACUUUCACAGGUGGUUCCAAAGAAAGGGAUUAUUGUAAAGUUAGUAUGUUUCCUCCUUUUUCUGCUCUUGGUAGUUGGUAUUCCACCAUAAUAUUUUGUCAAUUAAAUCACUAAUAACGAAAUUAUUAUUGAUAUGGUAGUCGCGUAGAUACUUCCGAUCUUUGUAAAGUUGAAAAUGCAAUUGGCCGCUCAACAAAACUUGUCUGGUUAGAAAGUCCAACAAAUCCUCGCCAGCAAAUCGCUGAUAUACGGGUAAGAAAAUUUCUUGUGUAAAUUCAAUGUUUUGAUUUAUCUACGCAAGCACUUGUAAUUAUUCUUUCGACCUUGUAGUCACACCAAUGAUAGGCAGAUUAAUCCUCUGGUUAUAUUUUUUACAUUUACUCUUGAUAUUUUCUUCUUAUAUUUUUUUUUGUUAUUACUUUGCCUAUUUACAGAAAAUCUCUGAAAUAGCUCAUUCAUAUGGUGCUCUUGUUCUGGUGGACAAUAGUAUCAUGUCUCCUGUGCUUUGUCGUCCCUUGGAACUUGGUGCAGGUACUGAAGUUGCUUAUGAGGGUACAAGUAUUUAGAAUAACUCAACCUAGCCUUCGUUGAACUAUAAACAAGUCACUAAGAAAGAAACCAUAAUGAAUUUCGAUGUGGGUAUAGUCCAACACCAGUUUAUGAAGUAGAGAUAAAUGUUGUAGUAUUGGAGUAACUGGACUGAUAUCAUUAUGAUGCCAUUUUCUUAUAUUUGCAGAUAUUGUAAUGCACUCUGCUACUAAAUUUAUAGCUGGGCAUAGUGAUCUCAUGGCAGGAAUCCUUGCUGUAAAGGGUGAAAGGUUGAAAGUUUUAUUUUCCUUUACAUCACUACUGAACAUCUCUCUCUUUCGAAAUAUGACUUUUCUUCAUUUUUGGUGUUAUAUUUUGAUUCCUGCUUUCAAGCUAAAUCAAUUACACAUCCAGUUUUGUCAGAUGAUAUAAUCUUAUUUACUAUCUGUACGUACAGAAAUUGUGAUAGAAAACAAUUAGUUCAAUGAACCCUCUUUGCAAUUUCUUGAGCAAUGUCUUAACUUAUUGUAAUGUUAUACAUUUGAAAAUGGAUUAUGGAAUGGUGUGACUUUUUUUCUUGUGGCUGAAUUAUUUUGUUAAAUUUGAAUAUGUGGUACUUAGACUAUGUUAAUUUUUUUUUUUUUUUACUCUUCCUCUAGACUUAUUGUCCCAAACAGUUAUGUGAAUCUCUUGAACCGUUCGCUUUUAUGAUGACCCAUAGAUAUUCUUAUCUUUCUUCCAUGAUCACACAAAAUCAUCAAUCUUGUCAAAACCGCCGUCUAUGUGCUUUAUAAGUUUGAACUGCUUAGGCACUCAUCAAUUAGGCAUUUAUCAUUAGACUUGGGUACCUUGAAAGUUGGCUGAUGUAUCACCUAGCCUCGCCCAGGCAGCUAGCUCGAGUUUUUAUUAGCAAGAAUUAACUAAUGUAGAUGGCUUGCACUGUCUUAUUACUUCAGUUUUUUAUGAGGGAAAAAAAGUAAUAUGAGUCAUAUGACAAUGAUAAGAAAGUAUUAGUCAGGUAGUUUGAAUAAAUUAAUGAAAGAUUUCUUAUUGGAAUACUAUUUGUUGUAACAUAUGAUUAGUUCCUUUCUUAUGACAUAAAGUUGAAUUAAUCUCAUUAUUGGUUUCAUAUUUCAUGAUUUCAUAAUCAUUCAUAAUGUUAUAAUAAACAUUAAUAAUACAAAUAUAUUAUACGAUAUGGAUUUGUGUCGUGAUUAAUCGUUUGAUAUGUCAGUAUGUUUACGUACGUAUUAGGUAUAUAUGGCCAUCCUCCUUUUAAUAGUGAGUUUGGAUUUUAGGCAAAUACGUGGUGCCUUACGUGGAGACCAUCUGAUUGCCUUGACUAAUUGUGUUGAUCAUCUAUUGUUCACUCUUUCAACUAUGUUUCUUGUUGAAAAAAGUGAAUAAAUCUGCAUCUCUUUUUUUUUUUUUUUUUUUUUUUUUUUUUUUUUUUUUGUGUCAUGCAUUAUGCAGCCUGGCAAGAGAGAUUGCAUUCCUGCAGAAUGCUGAAGGCGCUGGAUUGGCACCUUUUGAUUGUUGGCUUUGCUUGAGAGGUAUCAAGACCAUGGCCUUACGUGUUGAGAAGCAACAGGUGCAACAUUUCUUUUUUACUUUUUCCCAUACCCUCUCUUUUUAGUUGCUUUGUAUGUAUUGUAUAUGAAUAUGAAUGUUCUGUUAAAGAUUGCAACCUUUUUUUAUUUUAUAUAUAUAGUGUUGAUACCUUUUUGGUUUGCCAACAGGCUAAUGCACAAAAACUUGCUGAAUACUUAUCUACUCAUCCAAGGGUGAAGAAAGUGAAUUAUGCAGGACUUCCCGGUCACCUGGCGCGUGAUUUGCAUUAUUCUCAGGUACUUGAAAAUAUAUUUGGCCAAAAACUUUAAUUAAGUGGCUCUCAACUCAGGAGUUUAUUUCUUAUUGCAUCCAUCCUUCUCUUUCUUGGUAGGCGAAAGGAGCUGGCUCGGUACUCAGUUUUUUGACAGGUUCGCUAGCUCUCUCAAAGCAUAUUGUCGAGACCACAGAGUACUUCAAUGUGACAGUUAGCUUUGGUAAUAAUUCUUACACCUUCCUCUGUUCAUCAUUUGGUAUAAAAUACUUUAAUAAAUAUUUCUGUCUUUCUUGCACCUUCUUCUGUUCAUCUUGUUGGCAUAAAAUAUAUUGAUAAACAUUCUGUCUAGGGUUACUGGAUCAGUAAUGGCUAAAUCAGUAGUCCUAUUUCUUCUCAGAAUAAGAAUAGGGAUACGGAUUAUAUAUCAGAUAUAUUCUAUAUUCAUCUCUAAGAUACACAAAUAUAGUGGAAAAUAGAAAUAUAUUAUACUAUAGUUAUAUAAAGGAAAAUCUAAUUGGAGACAUCCUGAAAUGUGUAUGGAAAAUUAUGCAUGUUAAUAAUCUACUAAAUUAUCUUAUGUGAUGUUUAAAUAUUCUAAUAUGCAAAUAAUCUCCAGAAGAGUACCUCAACCCAUGUCCAUAUACAGUAAAGUUUAUAUAUCUAGAUCCGUAUUCAGAUUUAGAUUUAAUGAUGUUGGAGGAAAUUUAAACCUAUAUCCAACAAAACUUGGAGUUGGAAUCUAAGAAAUUAUCUAGUAUCCAUCAUUCCUCCAAUGUUAAUCAUCAUUUGAAAUACUUUGCUUAUCAUCCUUUGGCUAUAAUUUACAUGUAAUUACAUAAAUUACUCCGUGCGGAUGCAGGGAGCGUGAAGUCGCUGAUUAGCUUGCCGUGCUUCAUGUCGCACGCGAGCAUACCCGCUUCAGUUCGUGAAGCACGCGGAUUGACCGAAGACCUCGUUCGCAUCUCUGUGGGCAUUGAGGAUGUAGAAGAUCUUAUUGCUGAUCUGGACUAUGCCUUUAGAACUGGACCUGCGUAAAAUUAGUUUAUAUUCAUUCUUUUUGUGGUAGUAAGCUUAGGGUUUAUGAUGUCGAUUGUAGAUAUACUGCUUGAGGCCUUGUUUGGAUGUCGGAAUAAAUUAUCUUAUUCGAUACAACAAUUUUCUAUUGUGAUCGUAAGAAAGAAGUUUGAUUUUUGUUCCUUAAAAAGUUCUGGGGUCCAUGAUUUGGUAAUAUAAUGUAUCUCAUCUAUGAGGUGAUUUAAGGCCGAAUAUAUUGUCCAUUUCUAGAUUUUGAUUACAUUUUUCACCUAUCAAACGUACAAACUUUUCAAGUAAAUUAUGGAGAUAUACUAGAUGAGAUACAUAUGCAUCCAAAUAGGGCCUAAAUGUAAUUGAAUUGCUAAUCUAUCCCAGACUCUGAACAUCAGUUAGGAUGAUAUAGUAUCUUUUGGAUUAGCUUUAAUUUGUCCUCAUAUUGUUUAGUUCAUUUUCACUUUGUCAACAUGUGGUUUUAAAAGGUGCACUUAACUAUUCUUUGGUGUACCUUAUUUUUAUUUUGCCAUCCUUUGGUUCAAAAGUGACACUUAGCUCUCUCAUGGUUAGCAAAAAAUUUACUUUGCUAUCCUAUUGAAUAGUAAGUUUUUUGGAUCAAAGAGAGAUAAAAUUACUAGGUAGCUAGUACAACCUAAGAAUGACAAAGUAAAAAUGAGCUAAACCACAUGGGAGGCAAAUUGAAGUUUACCCUAUCUUUUUUCUAUCUGUGGUUUUGUAUUGUUUAAUAAGUUGGGUUAAAAAACAUCAAUUGCCCUGAAAUGAUGAGAGGAAUUAUGACUUAUGAGAAGAGUGACACUUUGGUCAUUAAACUUUUAUUUAAACUUAGAUAGAAAUAUAAAGUAAUUAGACUUCGAAUUUGAGACAUCGAGUAUCAACCAUUAAAUUUUUUGUCACUUGCACUUGAGCAGUCAGUCAAUUACUAGUUAUUUGGCCAAUUAUUAGUUAUAUAGUUGGGUUAUUUUGGCAAUUUGGUCUGGAUCCUGUCCGUCCAAGUUGGUUAAAGCUUCUGGAUAAGUGCGGUUUGAGUAAAACUUUUUAGAGAAGCAUAAAUAGCUUUCUUAGCAAAAUGCUCUUUUUGCAGAUUUGCAAAUGGUCUUCAAGUCAAAAGUUUAGUGGGAAUAUGAAUGAAUGUUGUUCUCCGGGGCUACGUUUUAAAUAUUUUUGUCGAAGACUAUAUUGGAUCUGCUGAGGAAAUGCCUGCCCUUUUCCAGGAAUUAGAGUCCAUGGCUGGAUGGAGGAUUUCCUCGACGCCUUGACGGCGAAAUCAUAUGUAUUUUAAUUAUAUUAAGCCCAUGAUGAAUUAUAGUUAAUAAUGUCGAUCCGAACGUCUCCUUACUAGUUUACAUCUUAUUAAGGGCAUUAUUUCUAUUUACACAAUUGAUUGUAUUCUAAUUAAUUUAUAAAUAAAACUGAGGCUUUUAUAAUAUUACAUUCAGCAUUCAAGUUGUGAAUGCGCCAGUUCCGUUUAAGCUUUCGCCUAUUUACGGAUAGAUAUGUUCAGCUAUGUGAACUUUAAAAAUUUACUGCUCAGAUUAUUGUUUGUAUACUCAAUCAUCCAAAUUUAUAUUUUAUGACUAGCAUUGCAUGAACCGUUCAAAAACAAUAAAAGAUAUUGUUGGUGCCAAUAGAGUAGCGCCACGUGGCGAACCGGUGCACAGCUUAGCCAGGGACUCUAAAGCUAGAAACAAUGACAUAUGGUGCGCUGGGAGCAGAGGAUGAAUAGCAGCAAACCGCAGACGAUUUUCAUGCGGUUAAGAUCAGCUUGUAGUGGCCCGAAAAAUAGGGAGAAGUGGCCGAUCAUAUAGAUAACUGAAUAACAAUAGGCGGAAUAUAAAUAAGCAAAUGACACCUGGAAGAAGAGUCUUUUCCCUGCGAAUAGAAGACCACUUUUCAAUUUCUACGCAUUUUUCUUACAUUUCUCGGAGUAAUCCACUUGUAAUCUUUUCCUUUCCCGCAUUUGCUGUCUUUCUUAGGAGUAGUCUUUAAGUUAGAUUUUUGGAGUCUGUAUGCCACACAGGCACACUCUCUUUUGUACGAGUUUUCAGCCUUAGUUUUAAUAUAUAUAAAGGUAUUCGGCUCUUCGGCAGACCCAAAAAUACUCUGCAUUUCGUACAUUUGGCUUAUUUAGCCGAACCAACUCCACAGUAGAAGGUUUCGAACCUGGCUGAUCUGAUCUCUCAUCAGCCGAAUCGCUUGAUCUGUCGAAGGGCGCGAACUUCGAGGGUCACCACGUGAAGCCGUUUUGCAUCCCUAUGCGCUUCUAUAGGGAGAUCUUUGACUCGGUCAAAGGUUAGGGAAUUCGGCUCACAAUAAUUUUUGGCACGCCCAGUGGGACACUUUGCAGGUAAACUUGUGUUUUCAAUUAUUAAAAAAUUAUGGCUGAUGACAAUGCAAUGAACCUUCGAAACAGAGUCGUUUCACGAAAUUCUGGGAAUGAUCAAGCUAGUAAUACAGAGAGCGUGAAUGAGCGUAAUGUAGCCUUGCCGGUCGAAGGUGAGAUUAGCGGUCAAUUAGACCAACAAUAGCCAAGUUUGGCUCAGGCGCUCGGACAGAUGACACGAGUCUUACAAGUAUUAGACCAAAACAGUAACAGGAGUACUGCUCGUCUGGAUGUAGUUUUAGCCGCAAUCACGGCUUCCAACGACAAUAUUGUCCGAAUUGGGCAAAUAUUAACACGAAAUGAACAACCCAUGGCAGAUCUACAGGGGCCUAUGGGCACACCAGUGUUACAAAAUCCAGUGACACCGGUAAACACUCAACCUUAGGGAACACCUUUCAAGGCUGCUUAUAGACCAGCGACUACAAACGUCGUUCAAUAGCCCGAAGUGGCGUGGGGAUUACCCCCUCCGCCACCAUUGGCAGCAUAUCAACCCCAAAGUCCGGGGAUGUAACACACUGAACUUUAGCAAAUUGCGAGGUUCAAGUGUUUGAUUUGUGAACUGAGCCUUUUUGGGUUUUCUGUACGGUCGUCGACUGUGUUCCGACCUAUGACUCGCAUCCCGAGGAGUGAGGAUAAAAAUCUAGCACCAAAACCUCUAAAAAAAAGGAUUUGGGCUACUCUCGGGUUGACUCUGCAGGGCAGUGUACCGGUACUGUAUCGGCUUGGUACCGGUACUGCAUCGCGAUAGUACCGGUACACAGUGUAUUUUCUCGCUUACCCAAGGCUCGGGUUUGCGCGUGCUGCUGCCUGGUACCGGUACUCUUGCCUGCGUAUCGAUACGCAGUGUUGCGUGCAGUCUGCAUGUUUUUUAGGGUUCUCCUUGCAAUUGUUGAAACACUUUAUAUACCCCACAACCUUUGGUUGGGAUCUCUUGUGCUGCAACCAGAGAGGAGAAGAGGUAGGGUUCCUCUUCCAUUUUACUUAGAUUUUUCCCUCUCUUUUGCUUUGGAUUUGAGGUUUGAUCUCUCCACUUGCUUCCUUUUUGCAUCUUGGUGACCUUUCCACUAUUGGAGAAGCUUUGGAGCUUGGAUUGGAGCCAUUUCGAGGAAAGAUUUCUAACCCUAUCUUACUCCUAGCUUGGUUUGGAGCUUCUAGAGAGGUUACUAACUUUGAUCUUCCAUUUGAUUCAUGUUUUGGUAGUUUUUCGGAGAUAAAAACUUAGAAAUGAGAAUUUAGGGUUUUAUUUGGGGUUUCUUGAUUUGAGGCUUUUGAGUUCGAAUUGAUAGGUGUAGAACACUCUUAUAGGUUGGAUUUGAAGCUUUCUAGCUUCGAUUUGAGCUUUGAUCAAGUUCUUCUUGACCCAAGGAAUUUUUACACUUUUGUAUGUGUAAUUUUCGAAGUAGUCGUUUUAUAGCUUUUAACCCUUUAGAAUUUCUCUUAGGGUGCUAGAAGCUUGAGGGACAACUUCGUUCGAAGGAACGACAGGGUUCGAAGUGCUUCCGAUGGAUUUGACCUCACUGAAAUGGGUGAACUCUCCCUACGUCUUUCUUUUGAUGUUAAGACAUAAAUAGAUGCCUUUUCAUGCUCAUUAUGACAUGCUAGAAUUUAUGAGAACAUAAUAUAUACAUGUUAUGUAUAAUGAAAAAAAUUAUGCUCUAGGUGGUAGAGGCAUACAUGUGGAUUUGGGCACUAAAUAACAAUAGUUGAGAUUUUCUCUCUUAUGCAACCAUUGAAAGUAUGUUAGAGAAUGAAUAAUGUUAUAACCCGUUGGGGGUUACCUAGUGAAUGAAUUGGAAAGUAGCAUUACUUACAUGAUGACAAGAGUAGACAAGGUGAUUGAAAAUUAGCAUUACUUGCAUGAUAACAUUAUACUUGUAGUAGACAAGGUAGUAGUGCAUUGGGACAUAGAACAUGAUAAGGUUAUCAUGGAGCUAAACUUGAUAUAUUUAGCCUAGUUGGACAACUAGAACUUAGCAUGUGACACAGUAACUUGAUGCAUUAAAUUAGAAGAACGACUAGUAUUUGCCAUUGUGACAUUACAAUAAAUCUAGGGUUCGAUAGUUAUAUUCCAUGUUUUAGACAUGAGGAGAAUGAGAGUGUAUAGCCCUUGGGGCGAACCCUAAUAGAGAUGAUUGCACGUAAUACUACUGGAAUCUAAAUAAUUGCAUCAUAAUAUUUCUACUCCAUGUAGUGAGGAUGUUAGUUGAAAGACAUGUGCAUAACAUGCAUUGUGAUAAUUGUGGACAUUUCAUAGUUCUUUUGCAUAUGGCAUUGGUACAUGUUUCUUGUGAAAAUUUGUUGUAACUGCAUGUCAUGAACCUUGUUGGAGAUUUGAGUAAAAUAGUGAACUAUCCUAGGUAGCAUAUUGUCAUAUGAACUAUGCAUGCCUUAGGCAAUAUAUGUGUCGGUAGAGAUAUACCACCCAAGUUGUUGUAAACAUGACAUGAAUGAUCUAGAAUCCGACCGUUGAGUCGAUAGUGACAAUUCCAUGUUUUAGACAUGAUGGUUAAGUAUCCCAAAUUGUGGACCUUAUGCUAUGAUCACGCUUGCUUGCCCUUGUGCCCAUUCGCACAUGCUUGUGAGGGUCUCUCCCUACAAGCCGGCACUCCGGAGUUUAGCCUUGCGACGAUAGAUCACCCAUGCGGGAUUGGGCGCCGAAGUGGGAUGCCGUGGGCGGAGUCUCUUUUCUUGCGGGAAAAAUGAUGACCACCACGGGGCCACUAAGGCACGACACGAGCCGGGAUGUUAUCAUGUGUACGUUCCUUGUAAAUUGGGUAUUAAGACUUAACUUGAUAAUGUACAUCAUCGUAGUUGAUGCAUACAUAGUAGAUGUUCAUACAUGUGGUUUGCUACCUUGUACUACUAAUUGAUGCAUACUUAGUAGUUGGACAUUUUGUGGAACAUUGUGACAUUAGUAACUUUAGUGGUAGUGAACCUAUAUUCUUGUGGACUAGUAUGUAUGCAGGGCUAGAAUAACAAUAAAAAGCAUAAUUUACUCUAUGUAGCAUUAUGGACAUUAUAAUUAUGCAUGUAAAUAGACAUUGGCAUACAUUUGAUUAGGCAUGUUAAUCAACAUUGACAUAUAAUUAAUCAAGUGAAAGUAGAACAUCAUAUACAUGAUAAUAAACUUGUAGUAGAGGCAUGACUAUGAUUAAUCUUGUUUAAUUACUUGCUUUUCAUAUUUUUGCUUAAUUAAUUCCUUUAUAGCAUGCCUAUAUUAGCCUAGUGGUGUAUUUCGCUAAGGUCGGCGACUUGCCCACUGGGAACUAUUGUUUAAUAGUUUUCACGCCCUCUGUUUUGUUGUUUGUUUCAGAGCCAUCCGCAUCGGGAGUGGCUAGAGAUCGUGGCAAGGGGUUAGCGACUAGCUAGAGCUCCUACGGAGUUAUUUUAGAGGGACCCAACAUCAUCUUUCUUUUUGUAUUUUGUGGAAAGAUGUAUUAUGUAUUUUGGUUUAGAGAUUAUGUUAGACUUUUGGAUUUAGUUGUAUACUUUUUGUGUAUAUUGUGAAUCUCUUUAUACUAGAACAUUAGAAAUUUUAUAUUACUCGCUCUGAUAGCCUUGUUUGGACUUUAUCUUGUUCAUUUCUAGUUUUUGGUAGACGCCUUGUAUGCACUGUGGUUGUUUGGUGUACACGGCGGGUCUGUGCAUGCGCCGGGCAGGCUUCCGCUAGGUCCCGGGGCAUGACAGGGGAUUAGAGCUAGGGGGCAAGCCCCUAAUGCUAUGCAGGGAGCGAAUCCUACAAUACAGAAUUAUGGACUUCCUCCAGGACCGAAUCCGGCUCAAGCACACCGGCUCAAGCACAAGCUCCGGUUACUGUACAAGGGAAUAAUAAUGAGCUGUGUGCUCAUAUCGAGGAAGCUAUCCUGAAUACCUUUGAAGUCGGGGUCAGGCUAGCGAUGCGGCCUGUGUUUCGAUCCCUUUACCCUGUAAAUAUAGAUACAAAACAUCCUUACCCGACAAGUUGGAAAAUGCCGAAAUUUGAUAAAUUUUUCGACAAUGAAACCGAAAAUACGGUUGAGCACGUCGCACGAUUUACGACCCGAUAUAGAAAGGCCGCCGCAGAUCCUUUCCUGAAACCUAGAUUAUUUAAUACUUUGUUAACCAAGACUACAUUUACUUGGUAUACGAGUCUACGAAUUGGAAAGAAAAUUUCAUGAACAGUUCUAUAGAUCGGAACCAGAUCUUUCGUUUGCUAAUCUAGCCCAGUUUCGACAAAAGUCAGGAGAAUCGGUCAAAGAAUAUUUAAACCAAUUUAAAACGGCAAGAAGCUGUUGCUUUGUUAGAAUGCCAGAGUCAGAAUUUGCUAAAAUGGCAUUCAAUGGUCUGUAUUUCAAGAUAAAAGACCAUUUUUGAGGAUAAAUACUUUCCAAAUCUAUUUGAUUUUGGAGUUCGAGUUGCUCAACAUGAGCAAUUUAGAAAAGGCAAUAAUGAAGAUCGGCCUAGGUGGAGCCGAAGCAAAUAUUGAAACAAAAAAAAGAAGAAAAAUAUCUCCUUUGUUGAAGAAUUUUCGGCUCAAAUGAGCUGAGUACGUCUGAUGAAACAGAAGAUUCGGCUGACAAAGCCGAAGUUUAUGUGGCAGAAAUGGUAAAAAACCGUUAGCCGUAUAAAUGUGCCUUACUCAAACCGGCCAAGCCAAGUAAAGCUAAAGCACGAGUGGCUGCAUACACAUACUCUUUUGAUGUUUCGAAACUUGAUUUGAUUUUUGAUCGGUUAUUAAAAGAUAGGAGAAUCCAACUCCAGGAGGGUCAAACGAUACCCCCUAGAGAAGAAUUGAAAAUGAGAAGAUAUUAUAAGUGGCACCACUCAUGGAGCCACAGAACAAAUGAUUGGACUGCCUUUAAAAGGCAGAUCCAAAAGGAAAUAAAUGAAGGUCGGCUCAUAUUUGCUGACCAAAAAAAUAAAAACAUGGAGGUUGAUAAAAAUCUAUUUCCUUCAUAGGUUAACCUGGUGGAUCUCAAAGGAAAAAGAAAAGAAAAAGCUCAUGCAAGUAGGAAGGCGGAUGAAGAUAUAGCAUAUACCAAGAGGACGUUACGGCUAUGCAUACGAUGCAAGGCCGAGAUGACAGGAUGAGAUUGGGAGGCGAUUAUCUAUGAAAAAAAAUUGUACGGGAAAUGGAAGGAGUUCAUGGCAUUUUUCGAAGAAUGGGAAGACAUACCCGAGGCAGAGAAAAAUUCGGAAGAUGGUUCGGAAUAAGGUUCCAAUGAUUCUGAACAGGAAGUUGAUUCCGUGAAAGACAAGAGAGACCUGUUAAUACAAAAGGUCUUAAAUGAUUAUUAUAAUCUAUGAAAUGAGGACUGAAAUAGCCAAAGGAGUUACCCUAAAAAGCCCCUCGGCUCCCGACCAAGAUUCCUAAGAUAUCGGCCAAACUGGCAACAUCAAGCCAGGCCGAGAUCUGAACCUGGAUUUGAAGGAAUGACUGAGGGUGGUAUCGAAUUCCUCGGUCGGAGAUUAAUUAAUGAACUCGGUAUUCAACCUUGGCCGAGACCGUGGGAGAGAAGAAAAAUCCUGAGAGAUCAUCUGAGGACUAUGAAAGUACCAUCGAAUGUGCUAGUCGAUCAAUGGCACACAACAACAGCACCGGCCAAAUGGCAUGGGCCGAUAUUAACAAAGAUCCAGAAGUGUCGGUGGCAAAUACUACAAGCUGAAGCAAGACAACACUGGGAAGAGGUGAAAGGGAUGAAACCUAACAUAUGGAGGCGACUAUAUGAGCCACAGCAGUCCUUUCGGUUCAUGAAGAAUGACUAUGAGGCGGGCGGCUCGACGCCCGUACCAUGGUUAAAGUCUAAAGUUGAGUGGCCACUCCCGGCAAAGCCAGAAAAGAAGGCAACUAGGAAGGAGUUGGAAGAAAAAAUCACUUCUCAAGAAACUAUAAUCAAGCGGGACAGGUAGCCUCCUAAAGAGAGAGAGGCUCGGAAGAAGAGCGAUUCCUCAGCUGAGACGGCGAAGAAAUCAGAAGAGAAAAAACAAAAAAUACAACAGAAAUCGGCUGAUGAAGAUUCGGCCGAUAUAAGUAUGGUGUACGCUUUGCCUCAAUCAUUCAAGGCAGAGUCCAUUGAAUAUGAAGAGACGGUCUAGAAUGGAGAGGAGCUCACUGGCAAACAAAGGAGUACAAUAAACAAGAGCAGAAAUGAAAUAGUCAAUGACAGUAGCAUCAUAGAUAGAUAGAUAACUGUCAUAAUCUAGAAUACAAAAUAAUGUCGCUACUGUAACAUGAAUCAAGAUACUAACCAUGAAGUGUCGAUCACAGUAGCAAAGAAAAUCAGUGAGUAGUCAUCAUGAACAAUCAUAUAAGAGGCACCGCUACUGUAAACAAGUCAUAUGCUAACAUAAAGGAUCAGCAACUACGGUAGCAAGAUGAAGAAUACAAAAUAACAUGACCCACUUAUGAUGGAAGAAGCUACUGCAGGCUAAACAACUGCUAGAUAUCAUGCAUGACUCAAAUCGAGAUACUAUGCAUCAACUAGACAUACGACUAGUCCAAGGUAUACCCAAUCCCUGUGGCCCGUCAUGAAGACUCGGCCUAUGCUUGCCCAUAGGUCUCGAAGACCGCAAAUCAAGUACCACUCCAGAGGGACACAUCAACCCGCACCCAAAGUCGCUAACUCUGUCAAAGCUUGGUGUAUAUCAAGUCUAGCGGUGAGAACUUAGGGUGGCGAACCCUGUCUAUGUAACAUCACCUCCCACUGGGCUAGCAACUGAAGUACCUCGGGUUAGUAACCCUGUCUAAGACUCUUUUAGUGCCAUACAAGCUAUAGUCAUAUGUAUAUGCUCAAAGCUCCAAUAAUCUAGACUCAACAGUCGAAUCAUUGUCCGUAGGCGACAAUAGGAGCCAAGAGACAAUCACACUAGAUACCAAUGAAAAUAUCAUGAGCCAAACUGUUCGGGUCGACUAGCAUGCUAUAUUAAACGAGUAUGUAGGAAAGAUAGGGAUAAUGCAAAUGAUAGAGGUGAGCAUGCUAAAGACCCAAUCAUGAUGAAAUACGUCAUCUGACCCUUAGGUCAAAAUCUGCGGAAGUGGACACCGACCGACUAGGUCAAUCUCAUGGACUAACUGUAACACACUGGACCUUUGCAAAUUGCGAGGUUCGAGUGUUUGGCCGUGUUCUGAGUUUUUCCAGACUUUCUGAUGGGUCGUUGACAGUGUUCCGACCUAUGGCUCGCAUCCCGAGAAUUGUGGUAUUUUAUGUAGCGCUAAGCUCACUAAAGAGUUGGACUUAGCCUACCCUCGGAUUGCAUUCUGCACGAGGUGUAACCGGUGACAGGUCGAUGGUUGUACCGGUACACAUUUUGUACCGGUACACCCUUGAUGGUCGUACCGGUACACUUAUGGCAGAUUUCAGACCCGAGCCUCGGGUUUGCGUUUUCGUAGGAUGUGUACCGGUACACUUUCCCGUGUACCGGUACACUUUCCCGUGUACCGGUACACUUUGGCAGAAUCUGAGCAGUUUGAACUGCAGGGGGUUUUUCGCAAUUGUGGCUCUCUAUAUGUAUCCCCCACGCCCUUGGGACUUCUCCUGAGCUUGGGACCAGCAGGAGAAGAGGUAAGGGAGCCCUCCACACUUUCCCCUUUGAUUCCUUUGGUUUUAUUUAGAUUUAGAGAGAUUAAAGUCUCUCUUUUUGCUCUUUUUGGGUGUUGGAGGCUUUUCCCACCAUUGGAGCUUGGGUUCAUGCUUGGUUGAGGGAUGAUCCUUGAAGUUUGAGGACUUUGAGCUUGGUUUGAAGCUUUCUAGAGGUAAGUGACUAGAUCUUUUCCUCUAGAUUUGAAUUUUAGAGAUUUCCUUGAGAUGAAACCCUAGAUGAGGUUCUAGGGCUUAUAUUUGGGCCUUUUUGAUCUAGGGCUUUUGGACCAAAAUUGGUUGGAUUAGAACCUUCCUUGGGCUUGGAUUGGAAGAGAUUUAGCUCUCUUUUGGAGCUUGAGAGAGAUUUUCCACACAUUGGGUGAGUUUUAGCCCUUUUUGCUAAAUUUGUUAAAGUUUGAUCUUAUAAUCGAUCGUAAUGCCCGUGUAUCUUUUCACUCAAUACUUUUAGGGUAUUUUGAGACUCGGGGACAACUUUGUUCGGCGAAACGAGACCCUACGCGAAGGUUCGGUGGGUUUGACCUAACCACACAAUGAGAAAUUCUCAUUUGUGCUUAAUUAAGCAUCGUUAAAUGAAAAAGCAUGCAUAUUCUUAUUAUAUGUAUUUAUUAUGAAUUUUAGAAUGCUUAAAAGGCCUAUGUUAUAUAUGUUGAAAUUUUGGACCUCUAUGUAGUAGAGAGUAGCUUGGUAGGCCUAUAGUUGCAUUUAGCAUUCUAUAUGAGACGUGAUUUCAUGAUUCUAUAGUGUAAAUGAGCUUUGGUUCAUGCAUUUAAACUUAAGUUUAUUUGAGACAUGAAAGAUGACAAAAUUGCCAUAUAGAGGUAUUGAACUAAAAUGUAUGUGAACUAGAGAGCUAAUGUCAUCAAGCGGCAUUGAGCUCGGGACAUGUGUGAACUUAGUGGAUAGGGUCAUUGAGGAAUGUGAAACAUGCUUAAUCAUUAAAUGUCUAAGUGUCAUGAAGGGGCACUAGACCUAGAGAAGGUUGGAACUUUAUUGUGACUUAGAACUAGAUCUUCGAGAUGCUAGCGACUAUACCAUGUUGGAGACAUGAGGACUGGAUACUUGAGACUUGGACUAUGCUUGCUUGCCAUUUGUGCUCAUUCGCACAUGCUUGUGAGGGUCGCUCCCUACAAGCCGGCACUCCGGAGUUGGCCUAUGCGAUUUUUGUUCGCUCGUGCAGUAUUGAGGAGCCUACGGGGUCGAGUGGGACAGACACAUUCCAUGAGUAGGAAUGUCGGGCUACCACAGGCACUUAGGCGGCACAAGCUGGAUUACCUUGGAUAGGUCCCUAAUUGGAAAUGGAAAUCGACACGGUUUGAGAAUGAACAAUCACUACUAGAUAGGCUUAGUAGUUGGAUUACAUUUACAUGCAUAUAGCAUAGGGUUGAGACAUGUAGUCUACUUGACAGUUACCUAUUUCAUCACAGUAUACUGGGUUGCCAGGAUAGAGCUUAUACAUCAUAUUUGAAUAAAGGGUUGUAACAGUAAACUAUUGCCUUUGAUUACUUUUCCUUAUGAUAGAAUAGAUGUACAACAUUUGACAUCGUGCUUAUGAGGGAUAUAGUAGUAUAGCAUUUUACUUAUGCACUCUCUUUCAGCAGUUUAUUUACAUGCUCCUUUUUAUUACUUAUUGCUAUUUGCAUUACUUACCCUUAUUUUUGGGGCCUAGUGGAGCAGGAGCUGAGGUCAGUAAUUGCCCACUGGGAACUAUAAAUUAUAGUUCUCACGCCCUCUUUUUCUCGAUGUUUUUCAGAGCCUUCCACGCAGGGAGAGGCCAGGGAUCGCGGAAAGGGUAUCGCCUCGGGCUAGCGUGCUUACCGAGGGAUCGUUCGAUAGGUGGUCUACCUCUCGUGUUAUCUUUUUGUGAAAGGUUGAGAGUUGUACCCGCAUAUGUAUAGAGACCACCAUUUUUGUACUAGAGACAGAUAUUGUACUACUUAUGAUUCCUUUUAUUGUCUAGCUUUACUUCUUUACCUUGGUGUAGAUGUUAGAACUUUACUCGCUCUGAUAUCAUUAGCUGCUUAUUAUUUCGUUUCUUCUAUUUGUUCUACUGCUUGCAUGUACUUCCGUUUCUUUUUUGUAGACGCCUUAUAUGUGUAGACAUAUGGCGGGUCUGGGCACGCUACCGGGAGGGCCUCCGCCGGUCCCGGGGCGUGACAUUAACUCUCUGACAAUAAGGUCAAGUCUCACCGAAGAUAAAUCAACUGAUCAACAUGAUCAUAUCGCAACAUGGAGUACACACCAAUCUAUACGGUAAUGAACAUGACAAUCAAUAGGCAAGUAGAGUAAAAGCACAAGCCAAUAUGAAGUCAACAGAAGUUGUUCUACUUAAUUAAUAGAAUAGAUCAAGCGAAAAGAAAAGCGAGUAAGUUACAACUUUACUGACUUCAGAAUGGAGCACCCACCUAACCAAGUACCUGAGUUCUCGACUCGAUCAGUGUAUUUAACCGUCACCUGUAUAGGACAUACGAUCACCAAAUGCCACAAUGAGUAUCCCACGUGUCAACUAUAUCAAUUCGACACGAUCAACCUGUACUAUUAUACUAUAGUGCGACUGGAACAUCAGUUCCAUAAACCGACAUACAUAACUAAGCCCAAGCCAAGCCGACUCAACAAGGAGUCACCAUGUCACAAUCACAGUCUCAAGAUUCACCGCUUUAGGUGAUGAGACUACCGCACACUAAGUGUUCACCAAACUGAACGACAACGGCCGCACAAGGCUACAGCCGAACCUACAAGUGUUGUUCUGAUGAUCCGAACACCACUUUGGUGUCGCACCAUGCACACACUGUACAAUUGGCACGAUGAUGCUCGCAAUAUUGCAACCUCACCAAUUGGUGACAUAAAGUCACCCACAAUGCGCAAAGAUUCACUCAGAACAUCGGACGUGCAAAUCCAAUUUCCGAAUCUGCCGACUUCCGAGAACUCCACUGGGAUGCCACUUCGGGUAUGAAGUGUUCCGAGUCAUGCCAAAACCUCUUUAACUCAUAUCUGCUGUCCCCAAACACCCUAUUUUAUGUGUUGGGACAGCCGCAAAGGAAAUGCACCGAAAAAAAGAGCCGUAGCUUUGAAAGUGACUCGAAGUGGGUCGAACGAUACGUAUUUCGGUAUUCAGACCGCCCACAACGCACUUGCUGCCAUCAGGGGCACAAAACACGAGGCUAUCAUAGCCAACAAGGCUCAACAAACAUUCCGGACAGCCACACAAUAAGCUUCGUGGUAACGAAACCGAGAACCGCGCUAUUGGUAUGAUUUCGGCUCCAUUUUAUGUCGUUUCACACCAAAUCGGUCUCGAAAUGUUUCCCAAACCUCGAACACUAUAUUUAAACAUCUAAUACCAUCAAACACUACUGCCCAACACCACUUAUAAUGCAUAAAGCAUUAAAAAGUCCAAGUCGCCCCAAUAUUACACGUAACGCAUCAUUAUAAUACAAUAGAGGGAUUUCAAGUGUUUUACUAGGUUGGAGCUAAACGAGUGUAGUCGAAUGGCACAGGAGGGUCGAAGACGCACCUCUAGCAACAGCGAACCAACAAUGGCGAUUGCCGACCAUCAGAGAGCGAAAGUUGGCCGCACGGAGCCAAUUUUGGGUACACGACGGGUUCGCGAUUCUAUCGAGCUUUCGGAUCACUCCAGCAAAGCAAGCAUCAUGUCACGCCCCGUAACCCGCCUCUUUGGUAUCGGCCCCGUCGAUAGACCGCCGAACGGACAGAGUCUACCCUGUACGUCCAAGGCGUCGGAACAGUACAAUUCAAGUGGUUCCAAAUAUGAACAGAAUUCAUACAUAGAAUGCAUAAGGAAGGUAUCGAAAACAUAAAUACUAAGCUAUUACAAGCAUUCGUCUCAAUUUUUACAUUUUCUUUACAUUCAACUUCCAAGUACAAUCCACUUAUUAUUACAAGUUUUUUCUUUUCUUUCCACACCCCUAAGCUAAACUGACUUAGGGUACUUCUAUCUCUGGUCUCGGCGGUAGGGAGCUAUCUACCGAGCUACGCCCUUUCCUCGCGCCGCCGCGCCGCUGACGUGUGGGCCUGAAAAACGUGGGGUGAGAACUAUAUACAUAGUUCCUAGUGGGUACAGCCACCCAAGGGAAGAGCUCGACCCACCAGGUCCAAAGGAGGCAAAACAAGCUUGUUAGUACAACAGAUAUAUAUAAACAUAUAAAAUUUAUGCAACUAACCACUAACAUGCUUAUGCCUCGCAACAUGCGAUAAUGCAACAUACAUGCAAUACAAGUAGAUCUACCGUUUUUACCUUUUUAUUUCAUUACCUAUAUUCUUUACAAUCCACUACUAAGAUUCAUUUAUCUUAGCCAAGUUAUACUACCCGACUUGGUCUUCAGUCAACUACCAGUGAACUGCCGCUCAUUGUUCAGGCUCGAGGUGAGGACGUCUCACAUGCCUCUCAGCCUUAAAUCCACUCGACUGUAGGUCAUCCGUUGGGUAAGGAAAUACCAUCAAACCCUUGACCACAAGUCGCAUACCGGGGGAAGAGAACCACACAUACCCGUAUCCACAAGUCACAUAUUGGGCGAGGAGAACCACACAUACCCGUUGAAUCACUGCCGAGCGAGGAGAACCAUACAUACCUGCAGUUAUGAUUCACUUGCCAGGCGAGGAGAACCACACGUACCUGCAAGUAUAACCGCUACCGAGCGAGGAAAACCACACGCACUUGCAGCCACCAAUCCUAGGGAUUCCGAAAUCCACUUUUCAAGACUUAAGGGUUUAUCUCAUACCCUAUGUUGUUAACCUUUCUAGGUUCAAGCCACUCGUACCCUAGUGGUCAUUCUACCACUAUGUUCCAUAACCUAGGUUCUACAACACUAGGUCCAAUGUCCAACUUAUGUUUAAUAACACUAGGUUCAAUGUCCAACCUAUGUUUAAUAAUACUAGGUUAAAUAUCCAAUCAAUUAUUUUCUAUCCUAGUUGUCCACAUCUAGGAUUCAUAGUUUUCAUGUCAUCUAGUCCUUGGCGCCACACUUAUCGAAUUCUCUAAUUUUUCCUAGAGUUCAUCGACCUAUAUUCACAUUCAUACCUAGGCAUACAUAUGCAUCCUAUAUGUUUCACAUGCCUAUGUUCUUGUUCAAUGAUAGAUUAUUUAUCCUAAGUAGCAUGCCAUCUAUGACUACUUAUUUAACCAAUUAAUCUAUCAUUACAUACAUGCAUCAAUAAAUAAAAUCAUACUUCACUUUGGCAUGGAAGCGACCUACUCACUUCGGUGAAGCACAACUCACCUCACAAUGCUUUCUAAUUGCUUGUAGACACUUGCAAUUAGGCCAACCACUUGGACCUCCAAGCUUAUUCCCAAGCUUUCCUUGCCCUAUAUAAGAGAUCCCUCGUUACCGUUUUCGAACCACUAAACGAUCUUUGCGUUUGAAAUCAAAUGAUCUCACAUGAUUUCCUAACCCUCAAUUAGGGUUUCAAAGAGUUAAAACAACAUGGGUUAAUUACAUCGGUAGUCCCCAACCUUCUCACCAAUUUUCACUUGAGUCCCCAACCUUUUUAUUUUUGCAAUUGAGUCUCUAACCUCUUGAUUUUAUUACAAUUACGGCCCAACCGUAAAAAAAACUGUUAAAAUUAACGGAAUUGCCACGUCAGCGUCUAUUUGGCAAUCUUUUGCAUGCAAUUUAGGUCCCUAAACUUUGCACAUUUUUCAUUUAGUCCCUAAAAAUAAAAUUUCAAAAUUUUAAAUUUAAAUUCAAAAAUAAUAUUAAAAUUAAAAUUUUAAACUAACAAGAAAUUAGAAUUUUGAAUUUUAAUGUGAGAUCCCUGGUGUUUGACUAUGGAGGCUUGUCGACAGCUCUAGAGAGUGUCGGGACAAGUCCGAGUCGCGUUGGCGUCAAAUAGACGCAAAACGGACUCCGUGCGACGCGAGGGCAGCCUUCAGCGAAGAAAUCUGCAAAAUAGCAGAUUUUCCUGCUUGCUGUACCGGUACAGCCAGCGAGGUGUACCGGUACACUAUACUGGUUGAGCACGUACUGCUCUCGGGUUUGCCUCCUGUACCGGUACGCGAUCCCGUGUACCGGUACACCAGGGUAGGUGAGGGGGUGUUUUGGUCUUUUUCUACCUCGUUCGUAUCACCCUCCUCUCCCCAGCUUAUUUACAUGUAGAGUGAGGCUGAGAGAGAGAGUUUUGCUCUUGGUUCUCUCCCUCUCUCUCUCUAGAGCCGAUUGUGAGCAAGGUGGAGCUCGGGUGAAGUUUCAUUGCCGACGUGGUGCCGCGGAGCCGUUCGGGCGCACGUUGUGUCGUCUUAGUGCUGUGAGGAGCUCGAGCGAGCGUGGAUUUCUGUCGUCCUCAACAUUGCGCCGACUCUUGAGGAUCUAUCGAGGUGAGUGCUCUGUGGAAUUGCUGCGCAUACUUCGGGUAUCAUUAAUUCGAGCUUAAGUGCUGACUCGCAGGAUCUUGUCGUCGACUGUUAGUAUUGCAGCUCGUUCUCGACGUAGGAGCAUCGGAUUGCGACGAGACUUGGUUCGUUGGAUUCGGGACUUCGAGAGGAAUCCACGAAGCCCUUACUUGCGAAUUUUGGUGAAGGUUAGCUUGGUCGAAAUCCUUCUCUUCUCUGCUGUUGUGGAUUUUGGACUGAAUUGAGGAUUUUUGGUGUUUUUAGUUUGGAGUUAGCUCGAUUUCGAGACUCGGGCGUUUUUGGUCGAUCCAGCAGGUGGUGUCGCAGCCGAGGGGGUUCCGUGCUGCCAGGGAUUAGCGUGCGAGGUGGGUUACAUCGGUUUUGACUCCUAAGUUCAUAAUCGUCGACAUGUAUAGAUCUCGAUUUUUGGAUAAUCUAUUCUAGCUCGAAUUUAUGGAUUAAAUGGUAGAUUGCAUAUCUGAAUUUGGAGCAUGUGGUAAUAAAUUGAAUAGGUUAUACAUGUUGGACUUGGAAGUUGAAUUAUGAGAAAAUCUGCGAUUUGGACCUGUCACUUGAUUAAACUGCCUGAUUUAGCUCUAGGAGCCGAUAUUAAAUUGUACUGUCGCAGUAUCUUCGAGACGAGUACUCCCGGUAGUUUAGAAUACAUUUACGCUCGUGCUGGUAUACCGAGUGGAUUUUUACAGGGUCGUUCAGAUUGUUCCAGACUGUUGGGUGCCGUCAGAGUUGACGGUGGACCCGUAUCGCCUUUUUGGCGUCAGAUUGUGCCGAGUGCACGUUACCUGUUUGUUGUUAGACCAGUUUGAGUCGAUUACUUGACUUUGGCUAUUGAGAGCCUGAUUGAGCUCGACAGAGAUACGCUGCAUACUCGGUUGGGUAGCGCCCACGAGUGCCACUCCGGAGACAGGCUUUGUGCUUUCGCGUUGGUGUCGCUCAUGCCAGUUGGACUUGCUCUCCACGGACCAAUUAGUGUGGAUAGAGCCCGAUAGUCGCAACGGGGCAGGGACGGGUGUAUUCACAGUCCCAGGGACGGAUAUGUUUACAGUCCCGAUUGGAAUGGGUCAGAUUUGACAUGUCCUACAGUUGGUUAGUGUAGAGCAUGAUAGUGUAGUGACUUAUGGCGGUUGAGUUAUUUCCUGCAUUUUUCCUACUAUUCUGGCUCCCUUCUGUAGACAUAGUAGGUGGACCGAUGUUGUUUUGGGCGGCACCCACUGAGGACUACUUAUUUUUACAGUAGUUCUCACGCCAGAUGUUACCCCUGUUUUGCAGAGCCACAGGUUUCGGCUGCUGCGCCUUCCGCGGAUCAGGAUCGAGGCAAGGGCGUCGCGAGUUAGAGCCCUACCCGCUGAGCAGAGCUAGAGACACCCUACUGCAGGUAGUUGUUUUACUUCGAGCUUAUGUACAUAGUACUUAACUCGCCAGUGCGAGUGAUGCUGUAUUUUGGAUUCUGAACUAUGUAUAUGAAGCUCAGUUUGUUUAGCUUUUGUUUACUCGAGCAGCUCUAUACUACUGUUUGUAGUAUUGUUUGAUUUACAGGUACUGAUGUCGCUUCGUAUAUAGGAAAAAUUCCUUUGUAUACGGCGGAUUUGUCGGCGUGCCCGGGGAACGAGACAUCCGGGGCGUGACAUUUAAUUUAAAGCUGAAUUUAAAUUCAAAUUUUAAAUUUAAAUUUUUAAUUGAAAUUAAAUUUUGAAUUCAAACUUAAAAUUUUGAUUUUGAUUUUGAUAUUUCAAUUUACAUUUAAAAUGAAAGUUUUGAAACCGAAAUUUAAAUUUAAAAUCAUAUUCAAAAUUUUGAUUUUAAAUUUUAAAUUUGAAUUCAAAAUUUAAAUUUGAAUUUAAGAUUUGAUUUCAAUUCUAAAUUUGAAUUUAAACUUCGAAUUCAAAUUCACAUUUUGAAUUUAAAAUUUCAAAUCAAUGUUUGAAAUUAAAUUAGAAUUUAUAAUUCCAAAUGUGAAUUUAAAUUUAAAAUUUAAAAUUUAAAAUUAAAUACAAAAUCAGAAUUUGAAUUCCAAUUUAAAUUUGAAUCCAAAAUCAAAAUUUAAAUUUAAAAUUUAAAUAUUAAAUUUUUUUUUUUUGAAUUUAUAUAUUUAAUAGAUUAAUUACACCAUUGGUCCUCAACCUUUGCACCGUUUUUCAAUAUGGUCCUCAACCUUUGCACCGUUUUUCAAUUUGGUCCCCAACCUUCUUUUUUUUUGCAAUCCGCUGACACAGCGCCACUGUGGCGUUGACAUGGCGCCUCUGUAGCACUGACGUGAUGCUGACGUGGCAUUUUCUGUCAAUUUUAACAGCUAUCUAACGGCUGUGACUUAAUUGAAAUGAAAUCAAAAGAUUAUGAACUUGAUUGCAAAAAAAAAAGGUUGGGGACCAAAUUGAAAAACAGUGUAAAGGUUAGGGACCAUUGGUGUAAUUAACCCAAACAACAUUUAAACCCUCCACUAGCAAACCCUUCUGUCUAACCUAGGGUUUUCCACAAAUAAUGACAAACCCAAAAAUCACAUGCUAAUCUCUAUAAUUUGUAGCUUAGAUUAGUCUAGGGAUUGCUAGAAAUCCAUUUAGAAGAUUUAAAUCGAAAACCCUAGCUCAAACCAUAAAAACGAACUCGAGUCGAAAGCAUCCCACGCCACCAAGCGCUCAAGAGCUCGAACCACCGCUCUCUACGCAUUCCCGAGCUCGAUCUCUACCAAGAUCUCCAACUUGGAGAAGAGGAAGAAGAGGGUGGAAGAGAUGGCUCCUCCCUCUCUGCAUGCGUGUGUGUGUGUGUGUGUUCGGCUGAGGGGAAGGGGUAGGCACCCCUUUAUAUAAGCCCCUAGUGAAAUUACACUUUUACUCCUCAAAAAUAGCAUUCUGGGAUGCUGCAUACUGGUACUCGGGCUCGCGUAUCGAUACCCAGCUCCAACACCUCGAAACCCGAGAGCUAGAUUUCUCAUUUUUACCACUGGUAUCGGUGUACCCGACUCCAGUACUAGUACCCGGCCAGUCCAGUACUGGUACCCGAUUCCAGUACCGGUACUCAGCACAAAAUUCUGCAACUUAGGCAGAUUUCAGCUUUUGGAGCCCGUUUUCGUGUCCAGUUUGCGCCGAAAAUACUCGAAUGCUCUCCAAACUUUGCCGGAACUUAUCUACUAACUUUUUAAGCUUGUUCCCACCAAAACUUCAUAAUGUUAGGAGUUCGGUAUAUUACACAUCGCGUAGAGGAUUUCCUCAUGAUCACCGUGCUUCAAAGAAACCUGAUUUUCAACUCCCGUAUUGCCCGGAAAAGUCAAAACAAGAAGCUGUCAUUCUAUCAAACACUAGGUGAGCGUAGCUCAAAAUAGCGAUUCGAAGCACCAAUUCCUGAAACUCGAGGGAGCACGGACGUGCACAGGUGUCAAGGAUGACCGUGUUCACCAGCAGAAUGUUGACGGAGGCGUCGAAGGGUCGUAACAGUGCCUACGGCCAAUCACAAGGUCAAGAAUGCAACAACAAAAUAGCAGCAACAAUAUUGUCACCUCAACAGAAUAGCAGCAACAAUAUCAUCACCUUAGGGAGGUUUCAUGUUGAGCCAGGGGAUGGAAGGAGGUUGGUGUAGGAGAGGGGAGGCCGGGGCUAGAACCAGUCGGCUGUGUCGGCGAGGGCAGUGGCCGGAGGAAGCACCUCGGGCCAGGGUGGCCAACAAGGCUGCACCAGAGCAAAAGCAGAUCGGGGGUAGUAGGCGAUGGAAGGAUGGUCUAGUAGGGUGGAAGAAGGACCAGUCAGCCGAGGAAGGGUCACCUAACUGGCGGCGACGGCCGGCGGUGGUGAUGGUAGAGCCUCGGCCAGGAGAAGAAGGUGGUGGCACUCAACCUGGCGACGGCGAUGGCUCGACCUGGCGACGGUAGCGGCGGCCUAAACUCCACCAAUAGUGGCUCUACGACGGCAAUGGCGGAGGUGACGGCUUCAAGCCAAGAAAGGAGGGGAGGAGGAGGGGGGUCACCUUUCUAUACUAUACAUACAUAUAAAGAUAGAGAGAGGGAUCGAGAGGAGGAGGUCUUCUCCUUGGCCGGAGCCUUGCCGGAAUGUGGCGCCGGCGAUCACGCGGAGGGAGGGGGCGGCGGCUGAGACCACGAGAGGAGAGGGAGGGGAAAAUAGGUUCGGGUUAAGUAUACACCUAUUAUAUAUAUACAUCUACUUAUAUUUUGAUAUUUUUCCAUUUGUAAAAUUGCAACUAACUCCCCAGCAUAGAACAAAUUGCGCAAAAGCCCUUCCGGUCUCAAAAUUUUGUAGUUUCGUGUGUUAAAUGCCGUACUUAUUCCAAAAGGUCCCCUGAGUGAUUUUCCCUUUCUGAUUUUAACUGUGCCAAUUUCCACAAAAAUUUAAGAAUUUCGAAAAACUUGAGUCCACGCGAUCCUCUCUUAGUCAAGUUUCACAUGAGCCCUUCCAUUCAUGAAAAUUUCAGAAUUCUCACAUGAAAUGUUAACCAUUUCGCAUAAUAUCCCAUUUUCACAAAUUACAAAAAUUGCAAUUUAGCCCCUCAAAUUCACAAUUCAAAUCCAAAACUCACUCGUAGGUGUAAUUUGCUUAUAAGUUCAUCCACCUCAAAAGUCGUGCAUUUUGACUCAUGAAAUAUCGUGCUUUUCACAUAAUUACUCCAAAUCGGCAAGUUUGCACUUAUGCAAAUUCAUUCCCAAAAUAUCACUAAAUCACGCCAAAUUGUAUAGGGGUCCAUUACCGAACUUACUAUACUGGCGAACCAUGAAAGUGGCACUUUUUGUUUCAUCGAAAAUCGCAUUAGAUUGCAAAAUACAACACCCUCUUUUGAAAGUUUACCAUAGAAUACAUUGGAUACUACAAAAAAUACUAUUUAUUAAGUUGUGGAAAAAAUAUUAUUUAUUUGUUUAUUAUAUAAAUUUUAAUAUUAUGUAAUAUAUAUACAUAAAUUUUUAAAUUAAUAUUAAAAAUAAUUUAAUAUAUUUUUUAUUUAGUAUGGAAAUUAAUACACUAGCUUUUUGAAUGAUAUUUAUUUUUAGUGGUUUAUUUUUGUGUUUAUUUGAUGCACAAGAGAAUAAUAUCGAAAAAAUAUAAAAUUUAAUUUUUAUACAUUUUUAGUGAUCUGUUGAUACCAAAAUUGAGCCGACCUAACCCACGUAUGAGCCAAUAAGGACACGUGGUACACCAGGAGUCGGUAAUAAGGCGCCUGAAGGACAAGAAAGCGGGAACGGUUGAAGAUUGGGACGUAACUUCAAUGAGGAGUUAGUAUAACUUCUAAGAUAAUGGUUACAACUAUUUCCCCCAACUACUUUCAACCAACUAAUAAUGUGGGCUAUAAAUAGUAACUUUGAAGCCUGCGAUAGGGGUCUUUGCCCCUGCGCACAAAAGACCACCCUUAUUUUCUCUGCAUUUUAUCGCUUUUCUAGGAGUAGUCUAAAUGUAAUCUUUUUUUUUUUCGCAUUUACUUCUUUUCUAGGAGUAGUUCUUGUAACUUAGAUCUUUAGAGUCUGUCUGCCCCAUGGGCAUCACUCCCUUCUAGAAUGUACUUGGAGUCUGUCUGCCCCAUGGGCAUCACUCCCUUAUAAAAUAUACUUGGAGUCUGUCUGCCCCACGAGCAUCACUCCCCUGUUCUUGUGUUCAUCUAUUCAAAUAUAAAGUCACGCUCGGCUAUUCAGGCCGACCAAAUCUUGUGUUGUGCUAGCUGUUCAGCUCAUCUCCCGGCUUAAUUUUCGACUUUUCCUGCACAUUCGACUCAUCCAGCCGAACCGGAGAGUGAAAAGAGUUUUCGAACCCGGCUGACCCGAUUCCUCGUCAGCCGAAUCGCUUGAUCUGUCGAAGGGCGCAAACUUCGAGGGUCACUAUUUGCAGCCGUUUUGCAUCCCGACGUUCUUCCUGAGGAGGAUUCUUGACCGUGUCAACGGUCGAGACUUUCGGCGCCAACAAUUUUUUGGCACGCCCGGUGGGACACAUUUUUAGGUAAAUUUAUAUUUUAUAUAAAUUAUGGCUGAUGAUCUAUGUAAUAGGGUUGUUCUUAGAAAUUCUGGGAGUGAUCAACCUAGUGAUUCAGACAAUGCUGGCGAAUGUCAAGCAGUUUUGCCAGUUGAAGGAGAAACUAGUGGACAGUCGGCUCAUCAAGAGCCUAGUCUAACUCAGGCGCUUGGCCAGAUGAGCCGAGUCCUACAAACUUUAGAUCAAAAUAUCCAUCAAAGUACCGCUCGACUAGACGGGGUGCUGGCCGCCAUCACGGCCUAUAAUGAAAAUAUUACACGAAUAGGGCAAUUAUUGACUCGAAAUGAGCAACCAAUGACAGGCUUACAAGGGCCUAUGAUGACACCGGUAUUGCAAAAUCCUACGAUAUCGGUAAAUGGACAGCCCCAAUAAUAGGCGGCACCAUUCCAAGCGGCUUACAGACCGGCCGUCGUCAAUACCGGUCAACAGCCGGAAAUUACAUGGGGAUUGCCAUCACCUCCGCCGAUGGCAACAUACCAACCCCAAAAUGUAGGGGCCAGAGCUGGGGGGCAGGCUCCAAAUAUUCAAGAAGCAAAUCCCAUAGUACAAAACUUCGGACCAUUACAAGGACCGAAUGCAGCACAAGCACAAGUUCCUUUGCAGGAAAACAAUAAUGAAAUAUAUGCGCAAAUCGAAGAAGCCAUUGGAAAUACUUUUGGAGUAGGCGCAAGGCCGGCAAUGUGGCCUAUAUUUAGAUCACCUUAUCCUGCAAAUAUAGACACAGAGCAUCCAUACCCGGCAAACUGGAAAAUGCCGAAGUUUGAUAAAUUUUCUGGGGAUGAGACCGAAAACACGGUCGAACAUGUGGCACGGUUCACGGCAUAGUGCAGGGAAGCCGCGACAGAUCCAUUUUUAAAAUUAAGAUUGUUUAACACGUCGUUAACUAAAACGGCGUUUACUUGGUAUACAAGUUUAUCAGCCAAUUCCGUCCAAGAUUGGGACGAAUUAGAAAGAAAAUUUCAUGAGCAAUUCUAUAGGUCGAAGCCACAAUUAUUGGUCACUGACUUGGCUUUAUACCGACAAAUGUCGGGUGAAACGGUCGAAGAGUAUUUGAACCAUUUCAAAAUAGCCAAAACCCGGUGUUUUAUGAGAAUACCGGAAUCAGAGUUCGCCAAAAUGGCGUUAAAUGGUCUGCAUUUUAAGAUAAAAGAUCAUUUUGAAGAUAAGUAUUUUUCUAACCUAUUUGAUCUAGGUGUUCGAGUUGCCCAAUACAAGCAAUUUCAGAAGAAAAGUGAGGACGAUUGGCUGCAAUGGAGCCGAUAUAAAAAUCAAAGCAAAGGUAAGGGAAAAUCCUUGCUAGAAGAACAGUCGGUUCAAGAAGAACAGUCGGUGUUUUAUGAGAAUACCGGAAUCAGAGUUCGCCAAAAUGGCGUUAAAUGGUCUGCAUUUUAAGAUAAAAGACCAUUUUGAAGAUAAGUAUUUUUCUAACCUAUUUGAUCUAGGUGUUCGAGUUGCCCAAUACAAGCAAUUUCAGAAGAAAAGUGAGGACGAUUGGCUGCAAUGGAGCCGAUAUAAAAAUCAAAGCAAAGGUAAGGGAAAAUCCUUGCUAGAAGAACAGUCGGUUCAAGAAGAACAGUCGGUGUUUUAUGAGAAUACCGGAAUCAGAGUUCGCCAAAAUGGCGUUAAAUGGUCUGCAUUUUAAGAUAAAAGACCAUUUUGAAGAUAAGUAUUUUUCUAACCUAUUUGAUCUAGGUGUUCGAGUUGCCCAAUACAAGCAAUUUCAGAAGAAAAGUGAGGACGAUCGGCUGCAAUGGAGCCGAUAUAAAAAUCAAAGCAAAGGUAAGGGGAAAUCCUUGCUAGAAGAACAGUCGGUUCAAGAAGAGCCGAGCCAAUCGAGUGAAAGUGAAGAAUCGGCUGAUGAAGCCGAGAUAUAGCCACUUUCUUUAAGAAGAAUUUCUUAAUAGAAAAACAUUCGGUUCAAGAAGAGCCGAACUAAUCGAAUAAAAAUAAAGAAUUGGCUGAUGAAGCCUAGAUAUAUGUGGCUGGGAUGAUAAAGCGCUGUUUUCCUAAAGCCGACCAAGACCAGCGAAACUAAAGCUUGGGUCUCGGCUGUGCUUUUGAACAGUCGAUUUGGCACCAAUAGUCAUCCGAAUAUUCAUUCGAAAGACUAUUGGGGGGGCAUUGUUGAUACCAAAAUUGAGCCGACCUAACCCACGUAUGAGCCAAUAAGGACACGUGGUACACCAGAAGUCGGCAAUAAGGCGCCUGAAAGAUAAGAAGGCGGGAACGGUUGAAGAUUGGGACGUAACUUCCAUGAGGAGUUAGCGUAACUUCCAUGAGGAGUUAGUAUAACUUCCAAGAUAAUGGUUACAACCAUUUCCCCCAACUACUUUCAACCAACUAAUAAUGUGGGCUAUAAAUAGUAACUUUGAAGCCUGCAAUAGGAGUUUUUGCCCCUGCGCACAAAAGACCACCCUUAUUUCCUCUGCAUUUUAUCGCUUUUCUAGGAGUAGUCUAAAUGUAAUCUUUUUCUUUUCCGCAUUUACUGCUUUUCUAGGAGUAGUUCUUGUAACUUAGAUUUUUAGAGUCUGUCUGCCCCAUGGGCAUCACUCCUUUCUAGAAUAUACUUGGAGUCUGUCUGUCCCAUGAGCAUCACUCCCUUGUAGAAUAUACUUGGAGUCUGUCUGCCCCACGGGCAUCACUCCCCUAUUCUUGUGCUCAUCUAUUCAAAUAAAAAGUCACGCUCGGUUAUUCGGGUUGACCAAAUCUUGUGUUGUGCUAGCCGUUCGGCUCAUCUCCCGGCUUAAUUUCUGACUUUUUCCGUACAUUCGGCUCAUCCAGCCGAACCGGAGAGUGAAAAGAGUUUUCGAACCCGGCUGACCCGAUCCCUCGUGAGCCGAAUCGCUUGAUCUGUCGAAGGGCGCAAACUUCGAGGGUCACUAUUCGCAGUCGUUUCGUAUCCCGACGCGCUCCCAGAGGAGGAUCGUUGACUAGGUCCAGGGUCGGGGAACUUCGGCACCAACAUGAUCUUAAUUAUGUUGAAUGAUAUUGAUCAUUGAAUUCGGCAGCUCUACAUUAAAAAUAAAUUAAUAGUAACGAAAUUUGCUUGUCAUCCUUAUCAAUAGUAUUCUAAGUCAUUUUCAAUUCUCCCCAAUUUAAUGUAAAAUAAAUAAAUAAAUAAAUAAUAUAAACCCAUUAUUUCUUCUUCCCCGGUUCCCCCACCUCAUCCACAACAAGGUGAUAUGUAAAUAUAUAAACAUAAACGCCAUCUCCCUCCUCACUCUCACUAUCUCCCAUUAGCUCUAUCCCCUCUCCUAUCGCCAUGCUCCUCACCUCCCCCUUCCUCCAUCCCCCUUCCUCCUCCUCCUCCCUCACUUGCUCUACCUUCCUCCAUGGGCCCCUCCCCCUCCCCGCCAACUUCAAAACCCUAACCCUAGCUCCUUCCCCUCCCCCUUCCUCCCUCCCCGUGGUCCGCGCCAUGAAGAAGCUACAGGGGCGCGUGGUGUGCGCCACCAACGACAAGACCGUGGCCGUGGAGGUGGUGCGCCUCGCCCCCCACCCCAAGUACAAGCGCCGCGUCCGCAAGAAGAAGAAGUACCAGGCCCACGACCCGGAGAACCUGUUCAAGGUCGGCGACUUCGUCCAGCUCGAGAAGUCCCGCCCCAUCAGCAAGACCAAGACCUUCCUCGCCGUCCCCGUCGCCGCCAGGAACGCCCCCAAGCCCGUCGACCCCGUCCCCUCCGCCCUCCUCGACCUUCCCCCCCUCCAAUCCCAGCAGCAGCCCACGGCGCCGCAGGAAUGAUCGCAACCCCAUCCUCUGAUCUCCUGGUUUUGUGUUAAGGUUUCCAUCUUUUGCGGUAGCUGUUAUUGUUUGAUUGGAAAUGGGAUUUGACUCGCUGCUUAGCCCGCCGCCUGUUUGAUUCUUGAUCUGGUUAUGGAUCUGCUCUACACCAAUUUUUCUUUGAAUGAAUUGGUUUGUAUUUAGCCCACCAUCAUUUUGAUGCUUGUUCUCUUUUGUGUUUCUGCUCCACUCAAUCUACUACUAAAGCCUUAAUUUCUUUUUUUUCUUUUUCUUUGAAAGAAUUAAGUUGCUAUUUAGCCCGCUACCUGACUGAUGUUUUCUCUAGCUAUGUUUCUGCUCCACACAAUCGAUCAAAGUUUGAAUUUUACUUUGAAUGAAUUGGGUGUGUAUCUAGCCCACCAUCUGUUUGAUGCUUGUCCUAUUUUAUGAAUCUGCUCCGCAAAAUCGGUUGAAGUUUGAAUCUUUCUUCUUGAGUGAACUGGGCUUGUAUUGAGCCCACCAUCUGUUUGAUGCUUGUUCUGUUCAUGUUUCUGCUCCGCACAAUCUAUUAAAGUUUGAAUUUUUAAUGAGAAUUUCAUGUGGUGGGUGUGCUUCUGAAUUGGUCCUUAUUGAACUCGCUACCUGUUCAACAGUAUGCUUAUGUGUCCGUCCACCGUCUGCUUGGUGCUUGUUCGAUGUGUAGAGUUUCCUAAAUUUGUUCAUUUCGGUGCCUUUAUUUUCAGCAUAUUUAUGAGAAUUAGGCGCCCUUGAAUGGUUUGCGUAUGCUUCAGUUAUGGGCCUUGAUGUGUCCACCUCUGUUUGAUGUUUGUUCUCAGUAUGUUUCUUAUCUACAAUCUCUUUUCAAAUUGUUGAUAAACAUAUGUGGGUAUCAUUUAGCACUGCUUUCUGCUAAUUUCUCAGACUGUUUGGUGUUGUAUUGCUUCCAAAAUUUUCAGUUAUGGCAUGUCGGCCUUCAUGUAGGCUAAAUGCGACACUUUGGUUCUUUUAGUAAGAUGUUGUUGUAUAUGAUACUUCUCUAUUUCUACGAUUAACUAUGUAACCAUGAACUUCUUCAUCCCAGAAUCUAUAUUUUUGCGCUUUGUGAAUUUCAUUUGUGGGCGUUACUAAGACCUAAAAAGUAGUAAUAGAUGUAGUUGGACAAUAAAUAAUGGAAAAAUUCUUUUAGGGAUGUUGUUAUAUUUUUCUGUUCCUCUUAGUUAAUCAGAACCAUAAUUUUUUGCACAAAGAAGUGGUUUAUCUUCUGCCAAACAAUUCUUUGGGUGCUGAACAGUGGUGUAUCGAUUUAAAUUCAUAUUUGAUGGUUCUCUUCGUAGCACUUGAAAAUGUAAACUACUCUUCUGUGAUUAGUAUUUCCUGAUAAUUGCAACUAUAUCCAACAUUAUUGCCGAGCUGUUGUUGUCAUCUUGUUUUAGGGCCUUGCCUUCUAUUUCAAUCUGCUAAAGUUUUAUUGAAUCGGAACGCCUCAACUUUUCUGGCGACAACUUUUCAAUAUUUAUUCUCAGUAAAUUCACCUGCAUGUUCUGUAAUUAUUUGAAUGUUACUUCUGUGUUAGAAAAAAAAAAAAAUCAUCAAAAGUAAUGUUGUUUGCAAAUAGUUGUUUCUCUGAUGAAUAUGUUGAGAUGGUUUUGAUGUAGUCUCUCCAGGAAAUGGGUGUUAGGUAAAAAAACACAUGCGUAGAUGCUUCUUGUGAGAAGGAUUACAAAGGAUAAGGUGAGAAUAAUCAUCUUAAACGCUUUUGAAUGUUUUUAACAGUGACAUUCUGUGCUGGCAUAAGGAUUGUUUUGCUUCUCUCCAAAGUUGUAAGGUGCAAAAAUGUCGUAUUAAUUUUUUUUUUUUUUUUUAAAGAACUAAAAAAGAAAGAAAAACUGAGAAGAGCUUAAAUAAUUGUGAGUAUAUUAUUUCUUUUGGAGGAAUGGAGAAAUGGGCUGGGUUUUCAUAAUGCGGCCUCAUGUGAUAGAGGCAAUGUAUUUUUUUUUUGAGAGAAAGGUAGCACGCUAUUUGCUUCAUUCAAUAAGAGAAAUGAACUAAGCGUACAAGGUGGAAGCAGUUUAGGCUUCCGUGAGUGAUAGAGGCAAUGUGGAGUGAGAAUUCUUUAAUCUUUCUGUAUAAUUUUAUGGUUUAUGGUUUAGGAAGUGUGAGAGAAGUCUGGUUCCAGGAUGGAAUAAGAACCAUUCCUUCCUGUUUUUUUUUUUUUUUUUUUUUUUUUUUUUUUUUUUUUUUUUUUUUUUCCUGUUUGGAAACAAUAUAUGCUGAUGGAAGUUACUUUUCCUUAUUAAACAAACUUUACACUUCCUCGAUUAUAAUUUCAUUUCUGUAUCUUGGACCAGAAACUUCUAUGCGGUUGCUUCUUGUUAGAUUAGAUACUUAUUAAAAGGGGGUGGUUUCAAUAGAAUCGUUCAUUCUCUGAAUUUUAUCUCGAUGGGGAAAACAAUAAAAACUUUAUUUGUAUUGGCUUAAUAAAGUUCACUCCAGAACUUUCCGAAUCAAAUAUAAUAAAUAUAGUUAUUAUUAUUCAUUCUAUAUUAUUUUAUUAUAUUAUUUUAUUUUUAUUCUCAUUUUAUCGUAAUUGAUCUCAGCCCAGUUUUGAAUGACUUCAAUUUCGAUUUUGUUUUUAUUACUUCGAACGAAAUAACGAAAGUGACUCUUUAUGGUCAGAAACGAUGUUACCCGAUCUACUUUCAUCCAAAUAAACUGAUCCUUGUUGUUUGAGAGGGGCAGACUCCGAAUUUGCAAAUUCAUGAGAUGCGCGCUUAUCCUUUUGGUUCCGGUAUAAGUACAAACUGUCUAUUUCAGAAAUAGAUAUAAGUUCAGAUAUAAGCAAGAAUUAUAUUAAUUUUGUAUUUAAAUGAAAAUUAAAUUAUUUUCGUGAAUAAGAAAAAUAGCGUUUGUAUCGAUAAGAUGAAAUAAGAAGAAUAGUGUGUAGUUAUAAAUAAGAAAUAAUGAUAUUACACCUCUUAUUAUAUUUGAAUUUAAAUUUUUAAAAUUUAUUUUUAUAUUUUAAGUUUUAAAUUUUAAAUUUUAAAAUUUAAUUUUUAAAUUUUAAAUUCUAAAAUUAAAAAUUUAAAUUAAAAUUUCAAACUUUAAAAUUUGAGAUUAAAUUUAAAUUUGAAAAAUAUAAAAUAUCAAAUUUUAAGUUUAAAAAUUUUAAAAUAUCAAAUUUAAAAUUUAAAAUUUAAAAUUAGAAUUUAAAAUUAAAAACUUUAAUUUUGAGAUUACAAAUUAUAAAUUUUAAAAAUUUAAAAUUAAAAUUAAAAUUUUUAAAUUUUUAAUUUUAAAAAUAAAAAUAGGAGUGUGAACAACAAUUAUUGUAGUGUCCCUGAUGUUUAGCUGUCUGAGAGACUUCAGCAUCUGUGGCUUGUUGACGUGUUUGGUGGAUGUUGGGACAAGUCGGAGUCGUUUUGGCCCGAAGUGGACGCAAAACGGACUCUGCGCGGUGCGAGAGUAGAGUUCUAAUACUGAAAUCUAUAAAGUGCAGGAUUUUAGUGUUGAGUACUGGUAACUGGGAGGAGUACCGGUACUUCAGAGGGAUUACAAAACUGAAUACUCUUGGGUUUGUGCAGUUUGAUGCUCAGUACUGAUACCUGUUAAUGAGUACCGGUACUGGGACUGCGUACCGGUACUACAUCGGGCUAGUACCGGCACCCGGCGCGCAAGUGUGCAGAAAGAGGGCCAAGUAUCAGUACCCAACUUGAGUACCGGUACUCCAAAAGGCAAAUUGAGUGGGUAAGGGGCCUUUUGGUCAUUUUUGUUGGCGAUAAAUCCAAACCGACCCCCCAGCCUUCUCUCUUUGUGCAUGAAAACAGGUUAGCUUCCCUCUUUCUCUCUCUAAUUUCUGCUCUCCGUUUCUUUGUGAUUUUGGAGAGUUGAUCUUAGUUUUCGUUCGCUUGUCUUUGGAGGUUUGCGCGUGCACUGUGGUUGAGUCUGGUUGAGGCCGUUGGAGGUCAAGUUAGCACGAGGUUUCUCCUAUCGACUUCUAGCCGACGUUGAACGAGCGUUCGGGGUGGGUUAGUGUUUACCGAAAUCGUCGGAUUUCCUUCUAAGUCAUAGAAUUGUCAGCAUAUAUUUUUGGCUUUGUACAUCAUGCUUAGUAGCUCGAAUUUAUAGAUUUGCAUGUUUUAUAUGAAAUCUGAAUUUGGAGCAUAAUUUAGUGAUUUUAGAUGAAGUUAUAUAUACCGAACUGAAAUUUGACUUAAGAGAAAACUCGUUAAACCUAUACUGUCACUUUUUGAAAGUUAACCGAAUUAGCUUCAGAAGCUGUUAUUCUUUUAUAUUACCGCUGUUAGUGCGUAGUAGAUAUUCAGGUUAGUGUAGGUUGACAUUACGCUCGUACUAGAGGGCCAAGCUCGUUUUACAGUAGCAUUUAGACUGUUUCGUACUGUCGGGUGUCGUCGGGGUUGACGGUGGACCCAGAUGUUUACAUCUUGUUCCAGAUUGUACCGAGAGCACGUGAGUUUUGGUUGUUAGACCAGUUUGUCCCAUUUGCAUUGACUAUAGCCUGUGUGAGGUUGAUUAAGCUCGGCAGAGACACGCUUGUAUACUCGGUUAGGUUGCGCCCACGAGUGCCGCUCCGGAGUGAGACUUUACUUACGUUGAUGUCGCAGCAGUCCUGUUUUGAUAGUGUACUUUGACCGGCCACCGCUAUGGAUGGUGUACGGUGUAGCUUGGCUACAGAUAGGGUGGAUCCGUUUGGGCAGCCCUUAUGAGAUUGGGUCAGUGUGAUGCAUGUCUAUGUCUACAGAUAGUGUACGGUGUAGCUUGGCUACAGAUAGGGUGGAUCCAUUUGGGCAGCCCUUGUGAGAUUGGGUCAGUGUGAUGCAUGUCUAUGUCUACAGAUAGUCUGUGUUGGUUAGUGAUAGUAUAGUGGCAUGUAGCUGUAGAGUUCUUUCCAAUUUUUCCUUACUAUCCUUUGCACAUAUUACUGUAGACUUAGUGGGUAGGCCGUUGGGGUCGGUGACGGUACCUACUGAGCACUACUCUGUUUUGUAGUAGUGUUUACACCCAGUUAUUGCUACCUCUUUGCAGAACCUUCGUCUGCGGCUGCUGCUGUUGCUGAUUCCGACCAUGGUAAGGGAGUUGCAAGCUAAAUCCCUUCCAUACCUGGUCUUUUGCUAGAGAAGCACCCAUCAGAGGUAGUUUUGUGGUUUUUCUAUAUACAUACUGUUAUGCUAAUGGUACUCGCUGGAGUGAGAUGGUUUUGUUAGCUUUUGUAUGUAUAGUGGACCGUUUUAUGUUUUAUAUAUACAUGUUUCAGUUUUAGCAGUUCUGUAUUUUGGUUGUAGUUCCUAUUUGUACUAGGUAUAGCUAUCGCUUCGUGUACACGAAAACUUCCUAUGUAUACGAUGGGUCUGUUGGCAUGCCCGAAAAAACUUGAUAAUCCGGAGCGUGACAAUUAUUUAAAUAAUUUAAUAUUAAUUAGAUUAAUUAAUUAUUUAAAUAUAAUAAUUAGAUUAAUUAAUGCUUUAAAAUUAUUAAUUAGUGUUUAAUUAAUCUUGUUCUUGAUUGUUCUAGGGAUAAAGGUGGAACAACAAUUACAUGCUUCUAUCGGAUUAUAACAGCUUAUUUCAACUACAUAAGAACUACUAUUCCCGGGUACGAGAAAUAGCAUUCGGGUACCAAACCAACCAUGGUAUAGUGAAUAAGAGUGGAAUAGUUGUUCCACCUUUCUCCUGAAACAUGGUAGGAACAUUCUUAAUUAAAGUUUAAAUCUAAUUUUAAUUAUUAUAUUAAUUUAUUAAUUAAUCUAAUUGAUGUAUUUUAAGUUAUUAUCUAUUGCUUAAAUUGUUAAAUAAAUAAUUAAUCUAUUAUUUAUGGUUAAUUAGCCCAUUAAGAAUUAUUUAUUUAAUAUGUUUAUCUAAUAACUAAUAUUUAUAUUGGUCAACUAAUUAAAUUAAUUUCUCAAUAAAUUAUCUCACUAAUUAAAUAAUUUACUCAUUAAUUAAAAAGUUAAGUUAUAUUUUUUAUUUAAUUAAAAAAUUAAAUAAUUAAUAUAUUUUUCUGUUAUCCUAUAAAAUAUUCAUAGCUAAUAAAAUUUUAAUUUAUUAAAUUAUGUUCAAUUAAUAUUUUGAUAUUAAUUAAUUAGAUAAAAUAUUAUUAAUUUAAAAUAAUAAAUACUUUUAUUCCCACUAUUCCAAUCAAUAAUAAUUACUUUUAUUCCCGCAUUUCAUGAACAACUCAAUUUUAAUCCAAACAAUAAUUUACUCUAGUUCCUGCUAUAUCUGAACUUGUAACUAUUCUUUAAAUAAGUGGUUUUUAUUUAUGCUCAACUUCCUAACUUUUUGGUUUAGAAUAAUAAUCGGAAUUGGAGUAAAUAUUCCUAUUUUUACUAUUUUGUUGAGAUAAAAAAUAAUUUUGAUUAUAAAAAGGAAAUGUUGAAAAUAAAAUUUAAAUUAAAAUACAAAAUACAAAAUAAAAUUUCAAACUGAGUUUAUAAUUCAAAACAUAGAAUUAAAUUUAUAAUUUAAAUUCACUAAAGUUAUAAAAUUUAAUUUAAUUUCAAAUCAAAUGUGCAAAAUUUAAUUGGCAAGAUAAAAUUUAAAACUGAGUUGGUAAUUCAAAACAUACAAUUAAGUUUAUAAUUUAUUCAUACUAAAAUUUAAAUUAAUGUUUGAAAAUUUACAUCAAAAUUUUAAAUAUAAUUUUUUACAAAAUUAAAAUUUAAAAUUGAAUUGACAAUUCAAAACAUAAAACUAAUUUACGAUUUGUCAAAUUCAAACUUAAAAACUACAAUUUAGAUUCCAAUUUGAGUCCAUAAAUAUAAUUUAAAUUUUAAAUAAAAUUUAAAUUUUAGAAUUGAAUGCAAAAUUUGAGUUAAAAUUGAAAUUUAUAAAUCAAAUUCAAAAUGCGUGAUUGAAUAUAUAUUCAAUUUAAAUUCAAAUCAAAAUCUAAAAUUAAAAAUCUAACUUUAAACUUAUAUUUUAAUUAAAAACUAAACUUAAAAAUUUUAAUUUAAUUUCAAAUCAAAUGUGCAAAAUAUAAUUGACAAAAUAAAAUUUAACACUGAGUUGGUAAUUCAAAACAUAAUUAUAAACUAAAAUUUAAAUGUUUAAAAAUUUACAUCAAAAUUUUAAAUAUAAUUUUUUUAAAAAAUUAAAAUUUAAAAUUGAAUCGACAAUUCAAAACAUAAAACUAAUUUACGAUUUGUCAAAUUCAAACUUAAAAACUACAAUUUAGAUUCCAAUUUGAGUCCAUAAAUAUAAUUUAAAUUUUAAAUAAAAUUUAAAUUUUAAGUUUGAAUGCAACAUUUGAGUUAAAAUUGAAAUUUAUAAAUCAAAUUCAAAAUGCAUGAUUGAAUAUACAUUUCAGUUUAAAUUCAAAUCAAAAUCUAAAAUUAAAAAUCUAACUUUAAACUUAUAUUUUAAUUAAAAACUAAAGUUAAAAAAUUUAAUUUAAUUUAUUUCAAAUCAAAAUGUGCCAAAUAUAAUUGAUAUAUUCUUGGAACAAGCUUUCAUUCAUUAAAAAUUGAAUUUUCAAUUGGGCAUGGGAGGCUGGAUUGGAAAAAAGGUUAGAAAAUUCUCAUUCUAUCUGAAAAUCGGAAUUGAAAUAAGACUCUCACAUACCAAAGACACAAAUUGAAUUAUCCAUUUCGAUUCCGAUUUCUUAGUACUAUUUGAUUGACUUAUUAAAAUGGUAAAAUGCACAUGUGGUCCUCAAACUAUAUGGAAGGUGAUACUUUAGUCCUCAAAUUUUAAUUUAUUGUAAUUUUUAGCUUGAAUUUUUAAAAUUAUUGCAAUCAAGUCCUACAAUCUAAUUUAGUUGAUUAAAUUUUGGAAAAAAUUUCAAAUAUCACCCCUGUGGUUUCGCACUUUUUUAUUUUACUACCAUGUGGUUCAAAGUAUAUCAAUUUAGUAUUCCGUGAUUUUAUUUUUCUCCUUUUAUUAUCCCCUAUACAUUUUUUUUAGUUAAGUCAGUAACAAAAUUAAAACUAAAAGAUAUUAAAGUGAAUAUUCGAUAAAACUAGGUGGGAUAUCUGAAGGAUUUUGCAUAUAAUUUAACGGAAUGUUAAUGGAGGAGCUGACGAGAAAAGAAAAAUAAAACCAUAAAGUACUAAAUUGAUACACUUUAAACCAUAGAGUACUAAAUUGAGAAAAUACGAAACCACAGAAGUGGUAUUUGAUGUAAGAUGAGGUGACUAUAAUUAGUUAAUUCGGAUCUGGCAAAAAUUCAGUACAAGUAUUAUACAAAUAAAACUCGUAUCCUAAUUUUUAAAUUCGUUGAAAAAUACAGCUUAAAAGGCAAGUUUGCCAAUUAUUUGGAUACGCAAUUUAUAUGAAAAUUAUAUGUUCACCAAUUAAAAAUUCAGGAUACAAGUUUGACUAUUAAAUUAAACUUUUUUUCUCUAGAUUUAUACUACUAGUAUAAAUAGUUAUAAUUCUUAUGAACAUAAAAUAUAGAGCUAUAAAAUAAAAUAGAUUAUGCAAAAAAAAUCAAUAAUUCGAUAAUAAUUCGUGAAUAAUUUGGCAAAAAUCCGCGAAUUAAUUAACUAUGUUGGAGAAAGGAAUUUUAUCUAAAAAUUCUAUGCGAUUUUUCGGCUGAAUAGCUAGGUACACGCGAAUUAUUCGUGAAUGAAAGAUCUAAUCCAAAAAUUCACAUUUUAUUCGGAUCUUUUGGGAUAAAAAUCACAUACAGACUGUUUUAUUUGGAUUUUCAAUAAUCUGCAAAUAAUUCAUGAAUAAUUCACAAGUUAACUAACUUUUGAUGUGACAUCUUAAUUACUAGCGCAACAUCAAUCACAACACUACUGUAUCAUCUCUAUAUUAGCGAUAUAUAAAUAUUUAGUCAACUACAUUAGAAUUUAAAACUUGAUUGCGAUAUUCUUAAAGUUCGAGACAAAAAUUACGACGAAUAAAAGUUCAGGACGGAGGUGUCACCAGUGCCAUAGUUUGAGAACUAUUAUUACAUUCAAUUUACCCUUUAUUAAAUAUAAAAUUGAAAAAAAAAACCGAACAUUGGUAAAUUUGCGCCCGUGGCCUAAUGGAUAAGGCGUCGGACUUCUAAUCAGGCGAUUGUGGGUUCGAGUCCCACCGGGCGUGUCUCUAUUAUUUUAUUUUGUUGUCUGUUUCAAACUUGUUUCACUUCCACUCAUUUUUAAUUUUUAUUCAUUUAUUUAUUUAUGGGAUGAGUUACAUGUUUGGACUUCAAAACACUUUAGUUCCAAAAAAAAAAAGAUUUUUUUUAAACUAAAUGAUAUUUUCAUCAAAUUCAAUAACUUAUACUAUCUUUAAGUUAUAAAAACAAUAAUUUUAAAUCUUAUUGAGCAUAAAUUUAAGCUCAAAAAAAAAAAAAAAAAAAAAAAAAAACAUAGUUGAGGGGUCUUAAUCAAAAAACUAAAUUUGGGUUUGUUUAAGAACGGCCUACAGUUGAGGGGGUAUCCAUACAUUUUUACCUACAAAUUUUUUUUUUAUUAAAUUUAAAUAUUUUAUUUGUUACAAAUCUUUACUGAUCUACUUUUAUGGACUAGAACAUAAAUACCGAUUUUAAAUUUGAUAAAAUUAUUAAUAUAUUUAAUAUUUCAUUUACUUAACUCAAAAUUAUUUAAUUGUGAAAUUUAAAGUAGAGAGAGAAUGAACAUAAAAAUUUGAAGCUUCGACGUAACAUAACAUUAUAAAUUAUUAUUUUAGAAAAAUAACUUAAAAUUGGAUAUAAUUUUUUUUUUUCCUUUUUCGGCAGACAUGUUCCACUUUUUCUAUGGGUGCAGUGCCACAAGGAAUGUCAAUCCAGUUCACUGUUGGCAAGUCAUCUCAUACCCGAUUUGAAAUUUCUUCAAACUCGGCUCUUUGCUCAAAAAACUAGCAGCAAACUCACUUUUUUCAGCUCAAUAAAAAUAAAUUAAUAAUAAUACUAAUUAUAAUUAAUAUGAAUUUUUUAUUAAAAUUUAACUAAAGCUGGCUGGAAAUAAUUUUGAGCUGGGCUCGAAUUUAUUUCAAAUUGAAAACGAGCAGGACUAACCAGCUUGUUUUAAUUUCGAGCCAAACACGGGCGGGCCUAAAUUAUUUUAAAUUAUUUUCGAGCUGAUCUCAAGCUGGCCCAGCGCGAGGUGACUGCUCUAGUACCCAUCUUUUUGUAAGCUUUGUAAUUUUGUGCUUUAUGUUGGAAAUCAUAAUACAAAUUUAAUUAGAGUUUAACUUAAAAUUCUAUCAGAGAGAAAAAUUAUCGAUAAUUUAGAUUAGAUGAAUUUUAUUAGUUUAAAGUGUAUAAUUUAUGAUUUUAUUUUUUCCUUUCUGUCAAUAUCUCUCUUAACUCUCCGUUAAAUCAUAUACCAAAAAACUUUAGAUACCGUACCUAUGCUUUAUUGAAUAUCCACUUUAGUAUCUUGUGGUUUACCAAAUUUUUAUUUUGAUAUCCUGUGGUUUUCACUUUAUUAUUGAUAUAACGGAAAAAUUAAUGAAGCGGAUAAUAGAAGAAAAAAACGAAAUCACAAGAUACUAAAAUAAUAUAUUUUAAACCAUAAGAUAUUAAGGUGAGAAAGUGCAAAACUACAAGGGUAGUACUCAAAGUUUUUCUAUUAUUUUAUAUAUUUAGUCAUCUUGCUCUCCCAUUGUCUUUUUUAAUAUUAUUUUAUUUUAGUAUUUGAUUCUAGAUUAUAAAGUCGGUAUCAAAGCAAAUCAUGUUUCCAACAUUUGGUAUUAGUGCUAGGAAGCGCUAGACGACGACGGAGCUGAGAUCAUAGAGUUAUGAAGAGCUAAUCAGACUCGAACGGCAUCAGAGUUACGCUACGUCAAAGCCAGAUAGCUCGUAACUGAUCGGUGUCGCUCAAGUAAAACUGAAGCAAAAGAAUUGUCUUGAAGGAGUUGGCCUUCAUACAACACCUAAGAGUAGGUGGCUGUGAAACUUGAUGAAAAAAACGUGCUAGAAGAGAUCAUGAAAAAAAUCAAAGAAGAUUUGACCAUGUAGUAAGGGAGGGUAGGCAAGCAAGCCGAAGUACGAAGAACUUGGCGAGAUCUCUCAACAAUAAGAUAAAAACAUCAUCGUAUUAAAAGUUACAUGUUUGAAAUUUAAUUUUUAAAUUCUUUGAGUUCUGUUAUGAAUUUGGAUUGAUUUCUUCAACCUAGCUUAUCAAUGUUCAAUGGAACGAAUUUUAAGCGAUAAAUAAUCACUGUUCAAUAAUUUUUAGAAUUCCAAGAUUUAUGGAAUGUGGUGGAGAAUAGAAAUUAUGAGAAAGAAUUUAGUAACGACAAAAUAGUUCUUUCAUAUAUUUUUUAAGCAAUAGAUCUGUUGUUGAUUGAAAAAAUUUCAGUGAUAAAGACAGUACGAGAAGCAUGAAUAAUGCUAGCAAAAAUUAAAGGAGAAGUUUCUUAUUAAGAAGAUUAAAUUCAGGGAGAAUAAGAAAUUCAACUCAACAAUGAAGAUGUGGAAGCCCAUUCGAACGAUGGAUCCGAGAAGCUCAUACCUGGAAGAUGGCAGAUCACUUCGGGGUGAACAAAACCUUGAAAAAUCUUCAGCGCUAUGUCUAUUAGCCUCACGUGCAAAACGAUGCGGCAAGAUUUGUGAAGGGAUGUGUCUUGUGUUAUGUAUCUAAGCCUGCUAAUCGAAAGAUGGGCCUCUAUACCCCUCUUCCGGUGCCGACUCGUCCUUGGAAAAAUAUCUCCAUGGACUUCUUAGGAGGCCUCCCGAAAAUCCGACGGAGUCACGACUACCUUUACAUAGUGGUCAAUCGAUUCUCUAAUUAAGAUGAUAGUACCGAUGCUGUGCAAGAAGACAAUCACCGGUGAGGAAGCAGCGCGGUUGUUCUUCCAACAUGUUUGGACACAUUUUGGACUACCAACUUUGAUUGUGUCUGACUAUGACAGCCAUUUUUUAAGCAACUUUUGGCGAUCUUUGUGAUCCAUGAUGGAUACAAAGCUACAACAGAGCACGGCCUUCCAUUCUCAAAUCGAUGGUCAAACAGAAGUGGUCAACCGUAUAGUUGUACAUUUGCUGUAAGGAUAUAACGCUCGACAUCUCAAGACUUGGUACGAGAGCCUUCCAUACUUGCAGUUCGUGUUCAAUCGAGCUAUACACAGUUUCACUGGCCAGACUCCUUUUGAGGUGUGCUUGGGUUACUUACCAACAAGCCCAUUCGACUUGGUAUUCAUGGUCGAGCAACCGCAAACCACCAAGAAGAAAAAUGAAAUUGCAAAGGCCGGCAUUGCUUCUUGGAGAGCGUUCAGAAAAUGCAUAGCGAGGUGGAGCAACAACUACAAAAAUCUCAGUAGAAGUAUAAAGAACGACAUGAUCGACAUCGAGCUAAGGCAACUUUCGAGAGGGUGAUCUCGUCUGGCUCCAUCUCAACAAAGAGCGCUUGAAAGGUGAUGGUAGGAAACUUAAACCCAUUCGCUAUAUACCUUUCAAGAUUCUAAGCAAAAUUGGUGAGAAAUCUUAUCAAUUGGAGUUGUUCGCAUACAUGAAAAUAUACACGGUCAUCAAUGUUGAAAACCUAGAAUCCUUCGAGCCAUCAAUGCUGUACGAUGAGCCCGGAGAAAUGCUGCCAACUGUGGAAGAACUUUGGUAGAAUAUGAAGAGCCACUAGCUGAGGAUACUAUUCUGGAACGUAAAAUCACAAUGGCACGCAAAGGUGAACGUGAAUCCUUCCGUGUUAGACAAAAAGGUCAAAACCAAGUGCCGCUAAGUGGUUCACAAGAAAAACUAGGAAAACUCAGUUUACUUACUUAUAGUUCUAGAUCUAGUCAAAAUCAGGGAGCCAUGAUCCGAGAAGAUCAAACAUUCCGGAUAAGUUUCAACCAUUGCAGAUAAGGCAGAGGCCGUUCGAACUACUUCGGUUAGAAUAAGGAUCGAGGUGGUUUUAGUAGAUAUAAGGCGGAGACCGUUCUAACUACUUCGGUUAGGAUGGGGAUCGAGGUGGUUUCAAAAGAUUAAAAUUAGUCAAACAAAUUGGAUAAGAAUAGAUCCAAUUUGGAUAAGGAUAAAGAUAUUAUUUUGUUCUUAUCUUCUUAUAAGCCUGAAGAUUAUAAAUAGGGGUUUCACUUGCUCUUAUAAAGUCACUCCAGUUUAGAAAAAAUUAAUAUACAAACUUUUCCAUAUGAAAAAUAUUGUGUUCUUUUCUUUUUCUCUUUAAUCUGGUUUUAUAUAUCCAUCGGGGAGGAUUUGUGAUAUUGCUUCCUCCUCCGAUAGAUCACGAGAUGAUAUAAUACGAAAAACACAAUAAAUUAUCUUAAAAAAUAGUGAAGUACAUCAGAGAGUUUGCCGAGUUUGGUGUGUCCAUGGAUUGAAAACAUUAGCUGAAAAAUUGUUGAAUCCACAUGAAAACUCUUCAAAUCAGUUAAGAAAAUACCUCCAAUCGCUCUGAUUCUAUCAAAAAGUUGUCGAUUGAAGAGGAAAUCACAAGAUCUCAUCGCAAAUUCGAAAGGUUCCUCCACCGUUUGAGCUCAGGAUAGAUUGCCGAUUUAUUUAGAGAUCGGCGAAGAGGCGGCUGAGAAAGAAAGAGAGAGAAAGGGGAGGGGGAGAGAGAGAAAAAGAAAAGGAGAGAGAGGAGAGAUGUGAUUGGAAUAGUGUAGGAUCUUUGGAAGAUUUGAGAGAGAAUAAAAAAAUUUCGUACAUCAACAAAAAAGGAUAGGUGUAGAAAUAAGAGAGAGAGUGAAAUGAUAUAGUACAAUGAGCGCCCCACCAAAAAAAAAAAAAAGCUAGGAGAUAAAAAAAUUAUAUUUUGUGGGGCCCAUAGUUCUGAAAUUAUGAAGAGCCCGAUUAAGAUUUCACUUUUGAAUGAAAUUGUGUAGAUAGUACCUUAAGAGCCUCAAAAUAUAUAUAUAUAUAUAUAUGAACUAAAAGAGAAAAAACUAUAUUUUGUGGGAUCCAUAGUUCCGAAAUUUUAGAGAGUCUGUCUGAGAUUCGCCCUUUAAUAGAAUUGUAUAGAUAGGAGGGCCCCACAAAAAAAAAAAAGGUUUAGGAGAGAAAAAAUUUUGUUUUGUGAAAUCCAUAGUCUCAAAAUUACAGAGAGCCUGGUUGACGGUUCAUAUUUUAAUGGAAUUGCAUAGAUAGUAUCAUGAGGGCUCCACAGUAAAAAAAAAAAAAAUGCUAGAAAAAAAUAAACAAAAACUAUGUUUUGAGGAACCUAUAGUUUCAAAAUUACGGAGGGCCGGUUGAGGGUUCGUCCUUUAAUAGAAUUGUAUAUAUAGAUUGGGUUAAUGGAGUCAUGUAAUUUUAUUUCUCAUCUUUAAAGGAUUUUGGAUGGCCCUUUUAUGAUUCUCCUAACGUGUUGUUGCUGCCAUUGUAUCAAGUCUUAAGAAUUUCCCUGAAAAUUUUGUACAUAGAAAAAAAAAAAUUAAAGAAAACUUUAAAACCUAUCUUUCGCUGUCACCAACUCUUCUGAGGAGUACUCCACCUUCUUUCUUCUAAUUCCAUUUUGUAUUUAUGUACACAAAAUUCGCCUUCCAAUUAUUUUCUGGAUUAUAAAUUUUGAAAUAUGUGACCAUCCAGUUGCCUUCCUCCCCUACAAUAUUAGGAUUAUAGCCAAAAUUAUUUCUUUUUUAUUUUGAGCACUAUCCAACACAAAGUACGAGUUAUCUAAUUAACUACGUGACUAAAACAACCAAUAAAUGGAAAACAUGCAAAAAAGAAAAAACAAAAUCCGCUGGGGUUCUAUUUCAUUAGGUAAUCUACAACAAAACAUGUGAAAAACAUCAUGUAACGUUUCGUAUUAAAUAGAAGCAAAUCAGUUACAUAAGUAAUAAUAAUCAGCAUAAACAUGUAAAAAAAUAUCGUCUAACAUAUUUUGUACUAAACAGAAACAAAAAGCCAAGAUACACACACUAACAAAACAAGAAACACCAAUCUCUCUCCUUUCUGAUCUAUUGGAUUAACUACAUUCGAACUUCGAAAAUUCAACCGUUCCUCGUGUUGCAACCCGCUGCGCUUUAAAGGACCGAAAACUGCAAAGGACCUUUUGAUAUUUUCUUCGUCGCUUCAGCAAAUAUUUUGUUCAGAUGUUCCACGAACACAUUGAUCAGUGUAAAGCUAAACCUUUUCUAGCUUAUCGCUUACGAGAGGGAUCAUCUCUGCCGGGCUCCUAGGAGUGCGAGGAGUACGGGGAGUCCUUGGAGUUCCGGGAACGGAAGAAGAAGAUGAAGACUGCUGCGAUAAGAGGUGCCUUACGUAGCCGUAGAAAGUGCAUCCCACAAGAGUCACCGUGCAUCCAAUAGCAUUCAUACCGGAUAUUGGGUUCCGGAAAAUAAGCCAUGACACCAAUAUUGCUACCGCAACCUACAUAACAUAUUGAAGAAAUUGGUGAGAAUUGUAAAGAAGGUAUUAGGUAAGUCCCUAAAGGUAUCAGCCAGAUUUCAUUUUUGAGAUACCCCAUUGCUUAGAUCGUAACACUUUACCACAGGAGAAUGUUCUUUAGUUGUUCGCAAGGAUUAGAAUCAAAAUAUUGUGGAAAUCCAACACUUUAUUUCUUCAACUUUCUUAUAUAGGGCAGCAAUUCCAUCCCUGAAGAUCGAAACGAUCUAAAUCUUUUUGGUAAAUUGACCGCUAAUCCCUUCCACCAUAAGAUUGAUUGCUUAUUAGGUUACCUGAAACAGGGCUAAAAAUGGUCUUUUGACAGUUAGGGAUGAAAUUGCUGUCACUUUAUCAGGACAGUACCGGAACUGUCCGUACAUUUUACUAUGACAUUGACCAAAUUAAAUCCUUAAUGAGCUACAUGAUUGUCACAUGCUAAAUUUUAUUGUGGCAUUUUUGCAAUUCAAGCGUUGAAAAUGAACUCACUUUGAGGUUGCCCGCGACAUUGAAGGUGACGGCAGUCGUUGAGUGUAUGACAUAAAAGAUGGAGAAGUUGAGACAAAAUGCCAACACCCCUGAGCUGAAAAUGAUGAAUAGUGAUGAAAAAACAGAAUCAUAUGUGUAGAACCAGUUGGUGACUCCGUUUCCUUCCAAUAAUACGGCUGGCACAGCGAGUAUCAUGGUUGCAAAGGGUGCCAUGUAGUAUACUGUGUUAAUACUGGAAAAGAGAGGAAAAAUUAGAUUCGUCUUAGCGAAGAAAGCCAAAAAAGACAGAUUUAACUGGAAUUUAUUAUCUAACCUACUCGGACAAAUUUUUUUGUAAGAAAAGCCACCAAGUUUUAUUAGAUGAAAAUUUUGCAAAUAAAACAAGUCUCUGCUUCUAGUUUUGUUGAUUUACAAGCAAACAUAAUUAGAAUUGUUAAUUUUAUCCUAAGAACAAUAAAUAAAAAUUUUCCAUGUGAAUCCAUUUGACAAACAAGCGACACAGAAAGUACAUAAAAAUCAAACUAAAGUUGGAUACUCCAGAAAAAGCUAUUGCAACAUUUGGACUUAUAUGAUGCAUCAUAUCACGAUUGAAUUAAUUUUGCGUGACAGCAAAAUAGCUCCUUUUCAAGGACUAGAAAAGAAAGAAUGAAAAAUUAUUACUAUUGCUCGAUAAAACAAAAUAGGAAAUUACGAUCAAUGUCCAGAGAAAGUGCGCAUAAAAGUAACAUGCCAACAUCAUCCUCACUGCUAAACAGAGAGAAAGUGAUCAUUUAUCAAAAAUCAAAAGAAAAGAUUUGCUACCUGUCAAAUUUAUAACCAUGAAGAAGUGACUCUGCUAGAAUAGUCUUUGUAGAUGUCGCCAAGCAGCCAAAUAGUGCAGCACAAAAACCAAAGAGAUUGAAGCUGAGCUCUGUUAUAGAGGUUAGAAGAAUUCCCCCAACAAUCGGUACCAAAGAAGCCCAUAUGCGCCACUCGAAAUAUUUUCUCCACACUAACCACUGAAGAACAACUGUUUUUGAAAGUAACAAGUCAGAAUAGACCCUAGACUCAAUGGAAAGAACCAAGCAGGUAGAAGGCUAAAUUGCAGGAAAACCCCUUAUAAUAAUAGUGAUGAUAACUUCACCCCGUGAAAUAUUGAACUCAUAUAUUAGAGCCUUUCAAGCAAUCAAUUUGCUCUUUUGCGAAUAGGGUAAAAUGUAUGAUUCAAUAUUCAUGGGGCAACAUAAAAUGUGCAAAACUAAUAAGGUGGAGUUUCAUACAAUUUAGCCAAAGAAAAAUGCCUGGAAAUGAAGCCAUGAAAACCUGUUGUUGCUGGAGUGAAUGAUUUAAUUGUCUGCAUGAAGGAGACUGGAAUGUAGCGCAAGCUCACGUUUCCCAAAACAAUGUUGAUGCAGAACACAAAAGACAUGGGAAAAAUCCUUCUCCAACGGUCCUCAGGAUCGACCUCAAUUAGUGGCUUCAAUUUGAGCACUUUGAUAACAACAUAAGCUCCAAUAGAAGAGCAUAUGAAGUGAACACAUGACACUGUGAGAGGAAACUUGAAGUCUAGUUUCUGCAUUCAAAGUUUCCUCUAAUGAUCACCGUGAUUACCGUAACAAGAUAUAAUAGUCUAAUGGAAAAUUCUCUUUCUAACUAUCUGAAAAGUUUGGAGAGAUUACGAGGGCAGAUAUUGUAAUUGACAGAGUAGAUACAUUGAAGUUAGUCAAGACUGCUAUAGGAAAAUUGACCAAGUUCAAUGUGGCUUACCAACAAAAAAUUCAGAUUUACUAAUAUCAUUACACAAUAGAAAAGUGUAAACAACUCUGAUCACAAAUCAUAUGGCAUGGAAAGUUUUAUUAAGUACGCUACCAUCACUGUUAUCACAAUUACUUGUUUACAUCAUAUUACUAAUCAUAGGUCUGUUUCUAAUUUCAUUUAUGCUCCUAGGAUUGGUACACUAAGGCUUCUUUUCCCUUUAAGAGUUUCUUCCUCAAUUUAUCACAAAGAUCCUCAUUAUAUGGAAUACAAAUCAAGUAAACGAAGCCAUAAAAUUUGAGAUAGAACAUGCUAAAAUGUUUACCAAACAAAAAGAAACAAUUAGACUUCAAAUUUUAAUGAUGCGAAAUCAUAAAAUUUUCAACUUGCUUUUCAUAAUGAAGCAAUUGAGAAAGAGUUUCAUUUAGAUUUUUUUCAUGACACCAAAAUCAAUAAGAAAUCAAUUGGCAAUAAUAAUUUCCCCGCAAUGUACUCCUAUGAAUUGUAACAAAUGAUUCCACGGGCACUUCCUGAUUCAUUCUUACUCAACAAGUAGAAUUGCACGAUUUGCAUUGAUCGAUAGAAAUGAACAUCAAAGGCAUCAACCAACCCAGUGUUUUGCGAACAAAUUUACUGUCGCCGACAUUAAGUGACUCAAGUUGUGGUGGCUCAAAGACUAUGACAGGUUACGAGUAAUUUUAAAAACAAUAAUUCAAGUUUCAGGUAGAAUUGAUCAGCCUAAUAUCAGAUGCGGGAUAGAACUGUUGUAUGGAUUUAUUAUGUUUUUUUUUCAAAAUUUAACUGCACUAAUUAUUCAGUAGCAAAAUGUUAGAAAUCUACGAAUUAUGACUCAAAUGGGUAGCUCAAAACCCUGCUAUUAACCUUUCGCCUAAGUCCCAGCACACCAAUUAUAAAAAAUAUUAGUAUCAUUUGAAAGAUGAGCCAAAUUUGUUCAAUUAUUGUUCAAAUAAAAAAAAAGCUGAAAAACAAACAUUUUUGUUCUUUUCUUUUUUUUGGCAAAUCCAUUCAUAUUUGAUAGGCUGAAAAAAAAAAAGAAGAAGAAAACCUUUUUUCACCAAAAAAAAAAAAAGAAAAGAAAAAGAACAAAAUACAUUGACCAAUUUCAUAAUCAGAUCAUCAUCAAAAAACAAAAAUUGAACAAUCCAAACCCAGAUAACCUAAUUGGCGAAGUCAAUGAUGCAUCUAGGAAACAGAUCAUCCAAUUUAAGGAAAAAAGGGUAAAAUCAUAACUUUUUUCUUCAAAAAAAAAAAAAAGGAAAAAAAUAAAAGAAUGGACGAAAGGUAUACAUAAAUAAAUUAAUUAAACUAAACCUGGAAGAUCCACUUGUUCAUAAUGAUUACGGUGACGUUAAAUCCCCACCACUGCAAAAUGGCGAGGAUCGCACGGAACGUUCCCUCACUCCCCAUCUUACUCUCCUCCAUCUCCAACCCCCGAAGGGAACAAAAGCCCUAACCCUUACCCUAACUUCGAACCCCCACAAUCAAUUCCCCUCAAGAGCAGCGCGAUCGAAACCGCCGAAGCUCUAGGGUUUCAUAUUUAAAGCUCCCACCAUUUCGAUCCGGACCACAAUGCCCAGAUCUCGCAAUUAACCCCCUCGCAGCUAAAACGCUUCUCCUCUCUCUCUCUCUCCCCCUUUGACUCUAGCGAGAGAGAGAGAAGGAGAUGGAGAGGGGUGGAGGUGUAAUAACAAUAAGAGGUGAGGGGGGGAAGAGGAGGGAGCAGGGAGAGGUCGCAUAAAGAUUCAGAUGGUGCGGACAUCCGCAUGCGAGCAUGUGGGAGAGGGAAGGGGACGGAAUUUGAUUGUUUUAUGCGGAGAAUGGAAGUUACCAAGGAUUAAAGCAAAAAAGAAAACUACUCCAUGCUCCUGCAAUGGUAGUGAUUUUUAUCACGGGGGAUUUUGCUUAUUUACUUCUCUAUUACCGCUCAAAAAAUUUAAAUUUAUUCUAAGUAAUUCUUAUUUAUUACCCCAACCAAAUAAAGUCUAAGUAAAUGCUAAGAAUUUAAAAAUAUUUGAAGAAAAUUUUAAAAUUAAAUAAGAAUAUUUUGGUCAACCAAAAAUAUAUUAGAUAUUUUUAAAAUUUUGUAAGGAUAUAUCUGAUACUAUUCUUUUAUCAUAAAUCAUAGUCAUCAAUUUUAUAUUACUUGAGAAAUUUUUUUUAAAAGCGUCACAGCACGAAAAAAUAGUGUUUAUACUUUUUAGGCCAUCCGUUUCCAAACUAGGCUUUAAAAGGUGAGUAGGGUCCUUUACUUACUUAUAAUGAAGGACAUCGUUGUUGAUCAUAAAUUUUGGCAGACACAAUUAAGACUAUUUAGAUAGAUCUUUGCAGGAAUCGAAUUUUAUAAUUCGACGGCAUAAUUUACAAAGUACUAAUCAAGUGGUCUAAAACUUCAUUUUGUAGUAACCAUUGAAAUUAUUAUUUUUAAAGGUUACUUGAAUGAAUACUAAUCAAUUAAUGCUUCAAAAAUUAAGAAAUACAGUUCGGAAAAGAUUUACAUAAAUAGUUCAGAUCAAGUUUAACAGCGUAGCGUCGAUUGUUAACUUGGCUGCUUCAUUAUAAAAUAUGAGGUAGAAGUAAACGUCUAUAUCUACUUUUAAAAGUAUUAUAAUUAUAAUAUAAUUUUAUUUGUAUGGAAGAUAGGAAAAAAACUACCCUUGUACUUUGAACUUCUAACCAAGUUUUAGUUUGAUUCUUAAACUUUUAAAUUCAAUAUUAGAGACUCUUGACUCUUUUAAAGGUUUUACUAAUUGUUAUAAAUAUUUACACUACAACAAAACUGAGAUAUAGGGACACAUUUCUGGGACACUUUUGUGUAAGUGUCCCAGUUAUGUCUAAAACCUUCUAACAAAAAUCCACCUAAGGCCCGGCCCAAAUAUAAAGCCCAAUCUUACUCCUGCUCAACCCACCCACCCACCCACCCACCCAUCCCAUUGUAAAAAACCUAAUUAAAAGUCCAACCCAAUUACCAAAAAAAAAAAAAAAAAAAAAAAAAAACACUCCCCUGCCUCAACAGAUCAUCAUCUCCCCCAAAGCCCCAAUCCCUUCUCAACCCUCAAACCUCACCAUGGCGAACUCUUACCAUGGCAAGCUCUCUCCCGUGAUCUCCCAUGGCGAGCUCUGACCAUGUCCUCCCUGCGGCAUUCUCUCUCAUCUCGUGUCGAUCUCCUCUCCGCGAAACAUCUUCCGUCGUCAAGGCGGAGCUCCUCGACGACCCCGCCUUCGACUUCACUGACGAGUCGCGCCAAUGGAUCGAUCGGGUACGUGCGUGCAUCCUCCCCCCGCAUUGCCUCGAUCUUCCGUCGAUUCGGCGUGAUCUAGGGUUUGGGGCUGGAUCACCCCUCCGAUUCCAAGAUCUUAGUGUCUUUUGGUCAAAUUUGAGGGGUUUAAUGUAGAUUCUGCGUUUCUAGAUGCUCGAUCUCCUUGCUGGGACAAACAUUUGCGUUGGUUGUGCAAUUUUAGUGAUCUGGUAGUAGAUUGUGGUAUAAUGAAUCGGAUUCUCUUUAAUUUACUCCCCCGACAAAAAGAAAAGAAAAAGAAAAAGAAAAAGAAAAAGAGAAGGACGGAUUAGAUCCGGUUUGGAGGGAGGAGUGGUGGUUAUUAAAGGGACAAUGCUUUGUCUUGUUGCUAUGAGUUUACAGUGCAUUUUUAACUUCGGCUAAGUUGGUAGGUUGACAAAUGCUGCUAUCACCAUUCAAAAGUUAGUCUUAGGUAGAAUUUAGGGUUUUUUUUCUUUGUCCCUUUAAUAACCACCGCGCUUACAGUGCAUCGAGACCUCCGCGCUUCUAAUAGCACACAAGUCCUACUCAUGUAACUAUAUAUAUAUAUAUAUAUAUAUAUAUAUAUAUAUAUAUAUAUAUAUAUAUAUAUAAAGCGGCAACAGUGAAGAGAAAAAUGAAGGUGAAAAAAAGAAAGGAGUAGGCAUUAUGAUGCUCACUUUGGCCAUCGUAGGGUUUUGCACUUCGGUUCUAUUUUGUUACAUAAUUGCAUGGUUGAAAACUAAGAGGAUCAGACAGGCUUUUAGGGAGCAAGGGAUCGAGGGGCCGCCGCCGUCGUUCGUCUCCGGUAAUCUACGGGAGAUUACGAGGAGGAGCCCGCGGCCGGCGACGGUGGCGAAGGGGCGAGGUUUUGUCGACUAUUCGCAAGCUCUCUUUCCUUAUUUCACUCAAUGGAGCAAAGAUUAUGGUAUGCAAUUGUAGUUCUUUGUUUAAUUAAUUCCAUGCGUGCAAUAUAUAUAUAUAUAUAUAUAUAUAUAUAUAUAUAUAUAUAUAUAUAUAUAUAUUUGUCAUUUAUAAAUCUUCUUUUACGUAUAGCUUUUGUUGUGGUAACAAUCAUGGUGUGAUGGAAAACGGAUGCUAUACAAUAUCAUUUGAUUAAUCGAAUUUUAACAAUAGGGUCGUUAAAAUUACAAUUUUUUUUUUUAGAGAGAGAAAGGUAGUAUGCUAUUCGCAGCUUCGUUUAUUUUUUUAGAAAUAACUUAGCUAGAAAUAUGAAUAACUAAAUUUUAAAUUUGAGACAUCAGAUACUGACUAUCAAAUUUUUUGUCAUUUGCUCUAUGAACGGUCGGUGUUAAAAAUUGCGAGUUCAAAUGGAGAAAGUAUUAAAUUUAAAUUUAUAAUAAUACACUCUUUGAUAGUUCAAGGGAAAAAAAGAUAAUGAAAAGAAGUAAUUUAUUAAUUAAUUUCAACUAGAUUUAUCCUAUAGUCAAAUUAUAUAUAUAUAUAUAUAUAUAUAGAGAGAGAGAGAGAGAGAGGCUAGAAUAUUUUUUAUAGUAAAGAAAUAAUGUUUGCUAUCAAUUUUUUAUCAUUAGACGCCUAGAGUUUAGUGGGAGUUAGUAGAAAAGUUGAUAAUAAAUACUUUUCAUAUACUUUUAGUAGUAUAAUAGCUCAAUAUAUAUAUAUAUAUAUAUAUAGAGUUGAGCUAGUUUACUCUCGAGAGUAAACUAGCCCGUUUACUCUCGAGUUGUUUUCGAUGAUAGAGCUUCCAAAUUGACGAUCGGCUCCGUUAAAUAUGAUCUAAACCAUUUAAACUAUCUAGAAAUCAGAUUUCACGCACUUUCGAUAUUGUUUUAUAUCCAUCUAGUGAACAGAAAAAUGAAUGGCUGAAAAUGAAUAUUCUUUAAAAAAUGAUGAUAGGAGUCUUGUAAUCAAGAUCAAGAGUAUAGAUCUUGUUUUAAAUAGUUUAAAGAAUUUUCUAACAAAAAUUCAAUUAAUUUGGAUAUCUUUACACCGUUAAACGAGAAAACGUCUCUUAUCCACCAUUAAAAUUACAAAUUUUGAAACCCUUUGAUCAUUAGGCAAAUGAUGUCGAAAAGAUUUGAAAUUUGAUUUCUAAACACUUCAAGUGGUAUAAAUCAUGUUCAACGGAGCCGAUCGUCAAUUCGGAAGCUCUAUCAUCGAAAACAACUCGAGAGUAAACAGACUCGUUUACUCUCGAGAGUAUUCUAGCUCAACUCUAUAUAUAUAUAUAGUGUAGAGCUACUAUGUUAUUUGAAGUAUAGAGAAUUUGAUACUUCCAAUUUUUUUUCUUUCUUAAUAAUUACAGUUUGACCCUAUUUAAUGUUCUUAUAACUUCAUUUUGAUACAGAUGUUGGACUACAAUGUGCCUGGAGGUUAGAGAAUUCUCUAUUUCUGAGGAAAUGAUGAAAUGCAUAUGUUUAAGCAGUCCCUGACUUGACAGAUAUGACUACUGGUAGGGAAACUAAACCGUGGACUAUCAGUGAUUGAUAGCUACAAGUUGUUAAAAGCCGGUGUUGAGGUCACUGAAGAUGAAAUCUUUCUUGGGUGUGCCCUUAAUUGGUUGGUGCAUUGAAUGGGUAAAGAGCGUUUUCUUUCUUAUUGAACUCUUCUUUAGAAAAUAUGAUAUAUUUUAUAUAGUCAUCCUCAUGGUUCAAUUCUUAUCCCUUUACAACUGUAAUUUGCAGCUUCAAGCAUAUUUCCUUGUACUUGAUGAUAUUAUGGACAAUUCUCAUACAAGACGUGGUCAGCUUUGUUGGUAUAGAGUUCCCAAGGUUAGUUUAGUAAUUCCUCUUCUGUAUGUUAUACUAAAUAUGAAUUUUUCUUAUUGCUAAAUAUGUAGGACAUUAAAAUACUUCAAAUUUGAUUGAUCAUCACUGUCAUCAUGGUCGUGUUUUUGCAUAAUCUUCAAACUUUGAAUAUCAGCUAAACUUGGAAACAACAAAUCUUAUGGUCGAUCUCUGCAAAGAGGAGAAGUUGAACUCCAUUUUGAAAUUGAUCCAAAACUUGGAAAUUGAUCCAACUUGCGUAAUAGUUUGCGUGUGGGAUUAUGGUUCAGGUUUAGCUCACUGAAGCCAUAAUUCCUACUUGAGGACAGAAGAAGAAGAUAGGUGUAGACUAUCACUAGAGAGUGUUCAGAAAACAAUACCACACGCAAUGAGUGGUGUUGUUGUAUGUUGACAUGCGUCACAUGCGAAUCAAUAUUUGUUUUGAGUCUUUUGGAGCCACUUAAUGAGUUGGACAGUUUUUCUUAAUGCAAGGUAGAGAAGCUAGUGCCCGUUCUUCUUAAUGCUUUUGCUUUUGAUUACAGUUAUCUUUAAUAAUAUGUUCCUUAAUUUAAAAAGCUUGGACAGUUUUGCUGUAGUAGUAAGCAGGUUGUAGUUUUGUGUUCCAAAAUAAGCAGCAGUAAUUUCGAGCUUCUAUAUCUACUGUAGAGAUAAGUUUAGAACUUGAUAAAAUACUUCUUACUUCUUAUAAUAGCAUUUCACAGACAACAUCAUCAAGCAAUUAAUAGUGUUCAUAGCUUAGUAGUAAGAAUACAAAGCAAUGUCAGAGUUUUAUAAGUAACUGAGGCUUAUAAGUAAUCUGUUCAUCUCUGGUCUUCAAAAUGUCAGAGUUUUGGAAUGCAGAAAGGUUCUUGUGCACAUGAAAUUCCUGCUCUAAGAGGCCCUCAUGUCACACCCACUUGCCUGCACCUCCUAUCUCUACUUUAACAUGCCCACUGCUCUCUAUCACUCAAUGUUAUAGUUGGAAGGUCCUUGUUUUACAUGAAGUUGACUGAUUAGUUCUAGGCUAUGGAUUAGAAGAGAUGAUAAAAGAACAUUCACAACGAGAGUAAUCAAUCAUCUAGUUAAUACCAUUGCUGUGUAUUCUUACUACUAAGCUAUGGUGACUAAACAGUGCCGACCGUGAUAGGAUUGUUCUAUUGGUUUUCAUCAAUUGCUUCAUCCAAGCAAGUUCCUCUCUUUAAGUGGGCCUUAUUUGCUUAUUUGUUGGAUCUUUAUCUAUGUUCUGGAGCUGCUGCAGAGUUUAUAUCAGUAACUAGUUUCAUCUUUGCUUCUCCAUUCUCUAUUACAACGUUAGCUUAUGGUGUGAGAAACGUGAGAAUUGCUACUCUUUGUUCUUAGCCAUUUCUUUCUUCGUUCCUCAAAAGUUCUUUAUUGACAAGGGGUUUAUUUGUGGAACUACAUGUUGUUUGAAUUAUUGAAUGAAUGCAGGCUGAUGAGGACGCUGCAGAUGCUUCGACUCUGAUAGGAAGUAAGCUAUAUGGAUGACUCUUUUCUUUUCUGUGCUUGAGAUACCAUCAUUCUAGUUCAAUAACAAUGUUUAGCCUAACCCUGCUAUAUCGCAGUUCCUCUAAAGACGUCGCACGUGAAAUUUGUUCUUCACAAGGAAUGCCUAUUUGGUCAACGGUUUCUUCUCGUUGGCGAUGACUCGAAUAUCAGUUCUUGGGAUCCAUCAAAAGCCAUUCCUUUGGAAUGGUCUGAUGGCCAUGUGUGGACAACUGAGCUGGUAAGUUUAAGAGAUCCCAUACUCUCUACUAACAUUAUUAGUUCAAUUACUUUUUACGUAUCUGAUCUGGUACUUUCAUUCAGGAUUUACCAAUCAAAGUGAUAGGUUGAUAUUAUUACUGUGAGAUUCUUCAAUAAUCAGUAUGAUUCUUUUUUGCUUGUCUUCAAAGUGCAUGAAGUUUGGAAUAUUGAUCUAAAAAAAUAAGGACUAAAUGAUUUCAUUAAAUAUUUAAAUGAUGAUUUUAAGCUUAAUCAUGUUGUGAAUAUACAAUAUGUAGUAAGACAUACAAACGAUGUUUUGGAUCAUUGUAAAGCUAGUAGCACAUUAAGCUUAAUUCUGUAGGCACUUCUCUACCCUUAAUUGGAUAAAGUGAUACAAUAUUAAAUGAUACAAUGUGUCCUAGAUUUUUGGCUCUUUUGUUGUUCUCUUUUUAUUGGUGCCAUAUGCUUCAUGAGUUGUGGUAAAUUAUUAAGUGCAAUUAGAUUGGAGCUCACCAUCUUAAUUACUCUUGAAUACAGAAAUGGAGAUGAAUGUAUUAAUGCAUUUUGGUCUGAUAAUCUGUCACCUUUUAAAAAUGUCUUUGCCAUUGUGGAUUAAUCGUCUUUUUUUAGAUGAAAUGAUUAUCUAAUCUAGAAAUUUAUUCGUUUAGUUUACAGACGCAUUUUCUACGCGCUCGUAAUAUGCAUCAAUAAUCUCGUGCCUUCAGGUAAAAAUUAACUUAUUUUAAUUGAUUGUUAUGUUUAAAAGAUUGUUUUGCUAAUCUUUUAUCUAAUUCAGUAUUGUUGAUUUGUAGGUUCAACAUUAAUUGCCGAGCUCACUGGAGACUGGAUUCUGAUAUGAUAUUAUUAGUUUUUUUUUUAUUCUCUUUCUCUUGGCGUUAAAAGUGAGAAAUUGUUGGUACUGUGAUUUAGUGCUAAUACUCAUUUAAAGAUAUAUAGAAUAGUACUUUGAAGACAUUUUGGAUAUUCAAUUAUUAGUAUGAUACAACUUCUUUUUAUAUGCUUCUUUGUUAAUCAAAUCAAGUGAAUAAAAAUUAAAGAUAUGUUUGAUGAUAAUUAUACUGGAGGGGUAUUACAUUUAAAAACCUGUGAUCAUCAAGAAAAAAUAGAUAUUUUUUUAAAAAUGGGACAAGCUAUAAAGUGUCUGCUGAAAUUUUAAAAAAAGGUCGUUGCUAUAUAUUAUUUUGUAUAUCUUUUAUGUGCUGCCUAAAAGCCUUAAAUAAGUGUCGGGUAUAUUAGUAGCACUUUUUUUUAAGUUAUACCGACACUCUUAAAACAGUGCACUAUAUACCUUAGCACGCCCCCAUUAGCAACACUUUUAAAAGUGCCUCCCGGUAAUUAGCCAGCAACACUUUUUCUGGACCGUGUACCGACACUUAAAAGUGUCGCAUAUGCCGUUUUUGUUGUAGUGAUUUGUUAUAUAAAGAUGCUCAAAGAGCACUCCUGUUCAGUACGAAUGUGCAUAACUCAAUUAAUCAUAAUAUGUUAUUUCAAAAUUUUUGAGAAAUAUUUAUUUUCAUUUCUUUAACAAAAUAUGAUGAUAAAUUGAUACAUUUGUUUCUAAGAUCUUGCAUGGAUGUGGUGGGAUUUUAUUUUAUAUGUAUCAAGAAUUCUCUAUUGAUUUUCGCGUUUAAAAACUUUUGAAAUUUUGAAUAUCCCUGAAAUGAUUUUCAAAAUUCCAUUUAUGAAAAAUUUUUAUUAAAGUUUUUUUGGGAUGGAAAAUAGAUUAUUUGGGAUGAUUACAUAUUAGAAAUUACCUUACAUUUCUUUUCUUUGAUUUUUCGGUGGCAGGUUGUUGAAAUUUGUUUGAAAUUUCUGGUUUCGGAGACGGUCUCAGGAGAGCAGGACCGUCCCUCCGCCCGACCGAUACUAAGGCUUUUGCGGUUCUUUCUUUUUACUUCUCAAUCGUGCUUUCUUUACUCCUCCCCAGAGUUCUAACAUUCUAGGUGCUUUUGACCUUCAAAUCUUCCUCAAUUUCAAACUUGAUUUUGGUAUGAUUCUUGGAUUGUUGGUUUCUUUAUUAUCAUAUAGUCCGUAUUUUUCUUUAUUUUGAUUUUUGGAGAUUGAUCUCAGAUAGAUGUUGUUAUUCUUUCUAUUUUUCCACCUGAUCUUGCCUUAAUAUGUUUAGGUUAGUCAACAUUUUCAAGCAUUAUUUCAUUUACAAAGAGUGUUUGGUUGUUUUUAGCCAUGUUUCUUCAUAAAAUCUAUUUUUCUUAUUUUUUGAAAUGUUGGUUUAUGUGUUUUAUGCAUUGAUCUGUCAUGGAGUUCUUUAGUUAUGUGGCCUCUAGGAUUAAUCUAGUAUAUUAUUAUCACAUUUGCUAAAGUGUUAUGGAAUCACUAAAAAUUAGUGGUCUUAUGUUCAUUAUGAUAUUUAUCUAUUGUUUACAUAGGGCCGUCCGCAGUCUUCGAAAAUGUACUCGUGGUUAUCGUGUUGUGGUUCUUUAUGGCUGUGGGGUGGUCGCGGUUAGCAAGCACAGCGCGCCCUCAACUAAGAGGCCGCGUUGAGCACAAUCGGAAGAUGGAAGGGGAGGAGUGAGUAAUUGCCCGCCGGUGAUGAAUCUGAGAGGACGAGCCAGAUUGGGAGACCUUUGUUUUGAAGUGUUGGCUAGGAAACGGACACUGGGAAGGCAAGCGGGAAAGGAAAGCCUGUGGAUAAAAGGCAAAGUGAAGCAACUGAACUGUCAAAGUCCGUCGUAAGUCCGGGAUUGCCAGGUGUGAAAUCGAAACGGGCUCUGACCACCACGUCGAGUUUACAGGCAUGUUCCAUCUAAUCGACGGUCAAUGUAUUCGUCGAACACUGCAUUGAGUGAGCGGGAUGUUGGGGUGGCUCAGUUUAUUAUUGUGUGCCGGGUUUCAGGAUUCUGAUUUGUGACAGGAACAUCUCAUCAGAUUUGUGAUUUCCCGGAGCAAACUUUGGUUAUGUUUGGAGCCUGAUCAGGGAAUUUUUACAUGAGAGCAGGUCACCUAGUGAUUCCGACGGGGGUCAGUAUGUUUCAAGACAUCCUGUCCGGUGUUGAGUUAUCAAUCACUCCUAGCGACAAUAGCUUCGGUGCUUGAGAUGAAGCUAAACACUGAUGGAGUGGCAGUAUUGCAAGGCUGGGUAUCGACUGACUUCGAGAUUUUAACCGUUGUCUGUGAACACUAUCUUGCAUGCCUGGUACUGAAUAAACGCGAAUUAUGUUAUUGUCAAGGAUUAUAAAAUGCAGUACAGAUUUCUUGAAUUUUGUGGUUUGCUACACAUCAUUGCUCCGCGAACACUGGAAAAUCUUGAGAAUGGAUCCGAUUCUGCUACAUGUAUCUCUUGGGUAGGCCAGAUAUUGUGAGUGCUAAAAACAUUAACAUGAAUAUCCGUGUUUCUGAUCUUGGCGGCGCGAUGAGCGAAAGAUAUCACAAAACCUUGGGCAAAAUGAGAGUUACCGUAUCCUAUGAAUUAUGCGGAUUUUGACGGCGUCGUGAGAAGGUGAUGUUCGGAAUGUACAUCGUAUGAGCACAGUUUUUGGCGGAUUAAUGAAGGACGUUGUGAAAGUCCUCUGUGCAGCUUCGUAUACCGCCGUCAAACGUGCUUCUUCCACAUCCUGCCCAGCUCCACCNNNNNNNNNNNNNNNNNNNNNNNNNNNNNNNNNNNNNNNNNNNNNNNNNNNNNNNNNNNNNNNNNNNNNNNNNNNNNNNNNNNNNNNNNNNNNNNNNNNNAUGCCUCCUCUCGUUGUUGUUGUUGAGCAGAAAUUAGAGAACACAAUAGCUUAUUUAUAGACUUUAGAAUCAUCGGAGUCGAAUUAGAAAAUUUCACGGUUCACUGUGUACGCGUAACGAAAGGCUGUCACGGUGUUACACAAGGAGCGGAAAGAAUACGAGCAAGUCUAUGUGGCAUGUACCGACGUACGUCUGUUGCGUACCGGACACAUUGCAUUUUUGGGAUUUUGCAAUUGUUUCUGGUCCGUACACUUCCGAAGCAUUUCUAAUCAACUUACUUUGAAUUAAAUGAUUCUAAUGCUAUAACUAGUAAUGAAUCACCAUAACUAAUUUAAAACUUUACCUGAGUCAUGUGCAUUCAUAUGUGAGUUAUAUUUCCAACUUCUUCGAAUCUUGAAUUCUUCGAUCUUUCGACGAUUGUCGGUUCUUCAAGACUCCGAUCAUACCCCUCACGAAAUAGCCAAUACAAAUCCUUAACAUAUGGACUUGAUGAACCGUGUCUUCAAGAAGAUUUGGAUACGAUUCAUCGUCGCAUGGUCUUUAUAGACGGACAUAUUGGUUCUACUCUCGUAGUGACGAGGGAACAUGCGAGCAUUUGAGGAUAUGUGCUUCAAGUCCUUUCGAGAGGAGAGCUAUAUCGCGUAAGUUUGAAGAAGUGUGAUUCUGGCUUCCGAGAAGUCGCUAUUUCUAUAGGCAUGUAUUUUCGCAGGCGUGGGUUUCUGUAAACCCGAGGAAAGUUGAGACAAUCAAAGGAUUGGCCGCGCGCCGACGAUGUCACGGAGUUCGAAGCUCGUGGCUAGCUGGGCUAUUAUAGGCGGUUGUGGAAAGGCUUUCACAGAUAGUGAUUCCUUGUACUCGUCUACCAGAAAGCCAAGUUCGUUUGGGACGAGAGAAUGCGACCGGAGUUUCAAAGUGGUGAAGACAAGACUGACUUCGGACUCGUGCUGCUCGCUUCUACGGUGCAGAGGCAGGAUUUUGGUUCUAUAGUGUGCUCCUAUCUUGGUGUUGGUGUGUGUUGAUGCAAAACGGGAAAUGGUGAUUGUAACGAUGCCGCCACUGAUAGACGAUACAAGAAGGAACUACCCACUCAUGAUUUGGGCUAGCGGCAGGUGAUAUCGCCUUAAAGUGUGGAGGCACUUAUUAAAUAAUGGUGCCCACUGUGAGAUCUAUACCGACCACAAGAGCUUUAAGUACUUGUUUACUCAGAAGAGUCAAUAUGCGUCAGCGGCGGGUGGUUAGGGCUAUUAAAGGAUUAUGAUGUCCGAUUCCUUCACCACCCGGGAAGGCAAAUAUGGUCCGCGGACGCACUCAGUUAGGAAGUCGGCGAAAGACCUCCAAUUUGAUGAUUACCCAGCCAACACACUUGUGGCUGGAUUAUGGCGAUUGGACUUGAAGUGGUUGUCCGAGGUCCCGACUCAGAUGAUGGCAUCUUCGUUCAACGACCUUGAUUGGAGAGGAUUUCAAAGAUCUGCAACCCGCAGACCCAGAGCUGCAAAAGGAAUGCGCGAAACAUCGAGAAAGCGGGUGGCGGCGUUUUAGUUAUAAACGCACGAUGGUGCCUUCGGUUUUUAGGGAAACAGAUGAUGUUGGCGAAAAGAUGGAGAGCUGCGCGAAUUGAUUCUACAAUAAGCACAAGAUCUCCGAUGUUGAUCACCUCAGGCGGCACCAAAAUGUAUCGAGGAUUGAAAUGUUUAUGGUGGCCGGGAAUUGAAGGGUGUAUUGGAGCAUUUGUGGCGAGUGCUUAACGUAGCCAACAAGUGAAAGCAGAGCGUCGAUUUUCAGCGGUGAAAGCUUCAAAGCCUACCAAUCCCCGUUUGAAAUGGGAGGACUAUAUCGAUGGACUAUGUUGGUUGCUUGCUCGCUCAAACGGCGCGCGGCCACGAUGCAAUCUGCGGUAAUUGUGGACCGAAUUAACUAAUGCGGCAUCAUUCUUGCCGAAUCACACCUGUGGUCAGGUGACAGGUUAGCGCAGGUAUUAUCUCGCGAGAUAGUGGACUGCAUGAGGGUGCCGAAACGAUCGGUGUCGGUUCGAUGACCCACGGUUCACUUCAACUUUGGAAAGCUGAAGGAGCCCUUGGCACGCGAUUCGAUUUAGCACCGCAUUUCAUCCCAGACCGAUGGUGCAAACAGACGGAACAAGAUUAAACUCU
rnacentral:lncRNA from 1 species